rnacentral:lncRNA from 1 species
UUUUAAUGUGUUUUGAUUCAAAAAUCCGAAAAUCCCAUAAAAAUUUGAAAAUUUGUUUUAAAACCCAAAAGAGUUGUUUUUGUGUGUUUGUUUGUGUCUUAGGUAACCUUCCAACACAAUGAUGAGGAAUCGGUUUUUAAUUGAUGACUGUUAAAGAGAGUUAUAAACAUGGAUGAAAGUUUGAUUUACUCUUGGUUUAUGCUUGGUUGUGGUUAUAACUUAUGAAUUCACAUGUAAUCAUAAAGAAAAAAAAUUAGUUUUUGUAACAUGCUUGAAGGAAGGAACUCAAACUAACGCUACAUGCCUGAGAGACUUGAGCCUAAACUUUAUUUGGAGAGUUAAAAUCUGUGCAUUCUUGUUUUCUAAAGUCGUUGCAUGAUCUCAUUAUUCUUUGCUUGGUUGUUACUUAGAAUGCGUUUCAUCACUUUGGUUCCAAAUGCUAGAACUCAUGCCAAUUUCAUUCAAAACAUUUCAUUGAAUUGCAUAACACGUAUUCAAGAUGAAGUUGUUUAGUAGUUGCCACCAUAUCCAAAAAGCCUUCAUUCCAUACAUUUGUUUUGUAGGUUUUAGCCCCGUUGAGCCUUGUUUAGCCUAUAUUGUUUGUUAACCCACGUUAUCCUUACCUAGUCUAGAUUAGGACCAUCCAUACCCUUGUUCUUAAAGCAUAGUAAGCAUGACUUAAAAUGAAUUCCUUUUGAUCAAGGGUGUGCAGAAAACAAGUGUGGGGGAAAGUGAGCCUUGUGUAUUGUGUACCAAAGUCUUAAAUGAGGCAUGGGUUAGAAAAGAAAAAGGAAAAAAAUUCGUAGAAAAGAAAAAGAAAAGAAAAGAAAAAAAUAUGUGAAAAUUGUGAAAAAGAGUUGAAAGAGCAUGAAAAUGAGCUCUAAGAUGUUGGUUGUUGAAGAAAGGGUCCAAAACAUUGAAUUUGACCCUAAGUGUUGCAUGAAUUUCCCCUUUUAGCUUAAAAAGUGAUUUUUGCACCCAAAAGUGAAUUCUAAGUGUCAAUUUCAGUGCUUUGCUUAUUAUUGUUUUAAGAACGUUUGUUUACCCUUCACCUUUCUUUGUUAGCCAAUACCCCAAGCCCCGUUACAACCCUUAACUUCUAUCUUGAGUGUUGUGUAUAUCAAUUUGUGGAGUUUGGGAUUGGUAUGAGCAUAUGGUGUCACUGGUUCUCGCGUCUAAGUAGUAGCAUUCCUUUCAUGAGAUCAUAUACAUGCUUAUUAAAUUCAGAAAAAGCUUUCCUUGUUAUAACAUAUGUGAGCAUUCGUUUUUAUAUUUACAUCAAUCUUCUCACAUAUAACUAGUAUAAGGUGUGUAGUCAGAAAAUCUGUGUGAAAAUUGAGUGCAUAUCUAGUGAGGAAUUGAGCAAAUUCUCUAAGGCAUGUUACUAAGUUCAAAAUCAUGUUUUAAUUGGUUAAGUGUGAACUAGUACGUGGUGACUAUAAUUAAGUAUGUGCGUAAGUGUAAAGAUGGCAAAAAUCUGUGGGAAUGAUGAUUUUUAAUAUGUCAUGUGCAUUGGAAAUCCCUGAGGCAAACGUUGGAAGGUUGUUUUGUUUUGGUUAGUUUGUUUCAUUUUGUUUUCUUUCUUUUGUUUGUUUUGCUCGAGGACUAGCAAAAGCUAAGUGUGGGGGAAUUUGAUAGGAGCAUAUUUAUGCGCCUUAGUUAGCUAGUUCUUAUGCAUUGUUGUUAUGUUUUCUUCGUCAAAGUAGUCUUUUAAGCUACUUUCAUGUGUUUUCAGGGUAAAGGACAUAUUACACGAAAUGAUGCAAUUUGGUGCUUUUGGAGCAAAAAAUGAGCUGGAAUGUGGUGUAUGCAAAUGGAGCACGAGGAAUGGACGAGUUUGAAGGUCGAGGGAGCUUAGAAAAGAAGAAGAAAGUAAAGAACAAAGAAGUCGGAAUUGGCAACUAAAGUUUCUAAAGUGGAAGUUUUAUUCUUGGAGGUUUCCAUUUUCGAGAGUUUCAUUCUUGACUUUGGCUUUGGAUGCCCCAUCUUUGCCUCUUGACCUAUGCUGACUAACCCUAACCCAGCCCACUUAAUCAGCCGCACUUAGGCCUUUUACAUGAAAAAAAAUCUAAUUCUUCCCUAAGCCCAUGCCCAGCCUAAUGUUCUAGAAACCCUAGUUUUUGGUGGAUUUCCUAACCCUAGCCGCACCUAAACCCUAGCCCAUUUGUCUAACCUGAUUUCUUUAGGGUUUGGCUGCCUAUAUAUAUGUGUUUUACCUCCCUGGCCGGAGAACACCCUCUCCAUAUUCAGAAUUUUCGUCCAUACUUUCAGCCACCCAUUCACACAUCAGAAAAUCCCAAAAACACAAUUCUUAGCCAUUUUUCUUCCUUGCCGCAAGCCAUCUACCACCAUUUUCCAUAUUUUCUAACCUUCCCCCAUCCUUUUGCCGCAACACAUCCAUUCCACCAAAGAGAGGAGCCUUGCCGUGACCUUAGGAGAAGGAAGGCUUUGCCGCAUGCAAUUUUCAACCAUUGGAGUUUCUAGAGUUUUCUUCCCUUGUUCUGUUUUCAUGUUUAAUUUAACUGCUGUUCAAUUAUGUUAAACAUGUGGAACUAAUUUUUUUUUAGUUAGAGGUGAAUUUGAAGCCAUGGACAUAUGUUUAUUGAUUGUUUCUUCCAAUUAUGAUUUCAGAAAUUGUGAAUGUGAUUUACUUAUCUAUUGAUGAUAACUUGUUUAUGUAUGUGGGUUGAGGCGACACUUAAUUUGCAUGCUUAAACUUGAUGCUAGGUAUAAGGAAUUUCACCUAAUCGUUAUUAACUUAUAUUCGUAAGUAGUGAAAGUCGCUAGUCACGAUUGUGUUAAGUAAAUCCUAGGCAAGAGUAAACAUGCGUAUCCCAUAGUUAUGAAUGCCUCGUCAAUGCUUAUGAUUCCAUGAACUUAAUGAUCUUUGAUAUGUGUCUCUAUCAUGCGUAUUCCUAGUUAGGGUCCUUGAUAAGAAUAAUUUGGUUUGUAAUGCGUAUUCCAUUCAUUCAAUGAAUCUAGGGAAAUCUGAGAAUUAAUGGUGCAAUCUAGUUAAUUUGGGGCAUUGUCAUUCAUGGUUUGUUGAAAGAGUAAUUGGAGAUGAGUUGUUGCAUAUGUUCAUGUGUGGAUAAGGAACCCUCUAACUAGCUUUCACCAUUCUAUUUCAUACAACUGUUUUGCUUUAGUUUGUUUUCAAGUUUAGUUUUUAAAGUUUAAUUCGUCAAAAUCAUUCCCCCAUUUAUUUUUAAAGUGUUAGAUUAGUUAAGAUCCAUUUAGUUGUGUUUUUAAGUGUUUUGAGUCAAGUCAUAGUCCAAAUUCGUCCAAAUAGUGUUAGGUACUCAAAACUGCCCAGAAAGUGGUUUUAAGGCAGUUUUGAGCCUUUAGUUGCUGUUUGAGUUUUUUAGUUUGUUUAGGUGUUUUAAAUUCUAGUUUUGCAUUAAUUGAGUCUAGUUUAGUGUCCUACAUUAUAAUUUUAUGUUCUUGAGUCAGUUUUACAUUGAUUAGCAUCCCUAGUUAAUCCCCGGUCUAGAACGAUCCCUAUUUGCUCAUAUACUACAAUUGUCAUCCAUAGGGUUUAAUUUGUGUGUCAAGUUAAUUUUCACAUCAACUCUCCCAUGGUGGCCGGCUAUUCUAGAGAGAAAAGAGAGAAAGUUUUUCCCACUUUUCAUCCUUAGAAAACCCUAAUGAGGAUGGAGCAAAGAUACCCCUUCUAUGCUUUCAACUUUUGUAUGCAUUUUGGACCAAAAGGCCCUUCCUCUCUCUAUGGCCGGUUUUCCCAAGCCUUUAGGCUGUUUUGGGCUUCUUGAAUUUGGUUUGUUAAGUUGUCAUACAACUUAAGCUAAUGGGCUUGACGAUUCGAAGCCCAAUUUGGGCUUUAAGGCCCAAACUAACCCAAGGUUUAAAGCGAACUUAUUCGUUUGAUUAAUCAACAUAUUAAUUAAUUCUUGCCUUAAACAAUUAAACCAUCUAAUUGUCCUUACUCAUCUCCAUCAAAUCCUUCAAGCAUUACGUUACACGGCGUACCCCCCCACAUUUUUAUGCCAAAACACACUUAUGCUUCAAAACACACUACAAACACUUAAAAACAGUAAAAAAAAAACAUUGUAAGUGAUAGGUGAAUAAAACCCGUUUACCCCCCCACACUUAAACCAAACAUUGUCCUCAAUGUUUCAAACAUAGAUUUAUACUUAAACAAAUAAACAACACAACUAAUCAAACAUGACAAGUAUAGCAAGGUAAAAACAAGAAAGAGUAGAGUUUAGGAACGCAAAUCUGGUUAUGGAGGUAGAUGAUCUUGUUGCCUUUCCACAGCUUUGAUCUUGCAAUGGAUUGGAAUUGUACGGCGAAGCUUUGCUCUUUGGCGAUGUUGUUGAAGCUUCUUGAGUUCAUCAACUCAGACUCCUUCUGCUUUCGAGUUGAUUCUGCAGGCUCAAUUCCUUAUUUGUUCUCCAAGCAGAUGUGGCAGCUUCUCUAGUUCUUCAACUCAAACUCCUUAUGCUGGGUUGAUUGUGCAAGCUGCAUUCUUCUCUGCUUGUUUCUUCUGCACGGCAGGCAGGCACUAGGGAGAGGUGUUGGUCUGUUUCUUUGUGCAAUCUUUCCAAGUGCCCACCUCUUGCUUUCUUUCUCCUUGUCCCUAGUUGAGGAUGAAUCAGCACGUUGUCUCCACAUGCUUCGAGGUAUCAUCUUCACUUCCCUUAUACGUGAGUGACGAAGAGGAAGCAUAAGAUGAUGAGUACUCGAGAGCAAGUGUUGGCUGGAGAAAGGACAGGGAGAAAACAUGAUAUGAGAUACUCGUGCUCUCAAUCUUUAUGAUAUGAAAUACAUGUGCUCUGGAUGGGUUGUUUGCAGGGGUAUCCCAGGGGAUGAGAAAUACAGAGUGACUCGAGAGGGUUUGUUGGAAAGCCAUUUCAGAGAGGAUGAAAGGUUAAGUGAGGCUGAAAGUUGGGUGAGACUGCUUCACUUUGAAGUUCAACAUUUAUAGAAUUUUCUUAAUGGCUGGGAAGGCAUUGUUCCAUUACUCGUGUCGGCCAGCCUGGAUAAUUAAAGUAUUUUCAGUGCAUUCCGUUUCUCCAGAAAUUUUUGGAUAGAUUGCGCGUGAUUUAACGCACGCGAUGUGCAAUUUGACAAUGCUGACACGUCUCGAUAAAGCAGAGGCCUCUUUAAUAUCCAGAAUUUACGCUUCGAGUUCUGAGCUUCGUUGAGGGCAGAGAUUGCAUGUGACAGAUGGUUGGAAUCGGUGCUUCGACAGACUGCCGUGAAUUUCGCAAAGCUUGAGUUGCGUGUGACCGGGUGCUGACGAGGCUGAGAAAGCUGAACACUCUCGAUAUCUGGAAUUGGUGGUUUGUGAGCAAGCCCAACUUUUGAGAACGCUGGCGCCUCUUCAAUCUCUUGAAAUCCCAUCACAUGUUGAUUUUUAUAAAGGUGCGUAGUUCAUUUCAAAGUGCAUUGAAUUCCCGCUUGUAAACUCCCCUUUGCACUUCUAACCUCUGAAUUUAGCCAUCUCUUCUUUCUCCAAAACCUCUGAAAUAUGUCUGGCCCUUCCGACCGUCGUUUUGACUUGAACCUUGGUGAAGAAGCAGCCCUCCUUCUCCAGACAACAUAUGGCGCCCAUCCUUCAUAUCCCCUACUGGUCCUCUUACCGUUGGGGAUUCGGUGAUGAAGAAAUGAUAUGACCGCUGCGGUGGUGGCCCGGAACCUUCUCACUCCCAAAGAUAACAGACUACUUUCUAACGGUCUGAUGAAGUUGGCUGUUAAGGAUCUCUGGCUCUCAGUGUUCAGUGUGCAGGUUCUGUGUGUCAAUAUGGCCCAACGCCUAUUUGCUCGAACCCGCCAAGUUGAAUCAUUGGCGGCUGAAGUGAAUGAGUCUCAAACAGGAGAUUAGAGGGCUCAAGCAUGAGAAUAAACAGUUGCACCGGCUUGCACACAUGACUAUGCUACAAACAUGAAGAGGAAGUUUGACCAGAUGAAGGAAUCUGAUGGUCAGAUUUUACUUGAUCAUCAGAGGUUUGUAGGGUUUGUUCCAAAAGGCAUUUAUUGCCUUCGUCUUCUGGGCUGUACCGUAGUGAAGCUCCAAAUGAUCAACCUCCGGUACCUCCUCCCUGUGGCUCACCGACUAUUGAGAUUCCGCCGACUACUGAGACUUUCCCAAGCAGCCAUUGUGAAUGCUCCUCUUGUCUUAUGCUGUGUUUCUUUAUUUCCCAGUUUCUGUUCAUUUCCAUGAAGUUUAAUGUUAAAAUCCUUUGCGUAUUGUUAUUUCAAAUAGAAAGUCAUCCCCCAAAAAUAAUUAAAGAAGCAAAAAUAUGACAAUCAAGCAAUAAAUGGGUUGCCUCCCUUGAAGCGCUUGCUUUAACGUCUUCCAGCCGGACGAUUGCCACUGUCAACCUUCAUGGGAACCCAUGACAUGCAGUGGGAUCUCCUCCACAACAUGCUCACAAAGUGUCGUAGUACGGCUUCAAGCGAUGUCCAUUCACCUUGAAUUCUGCCCGGUUCUCAAGCUCUUAAUUUGGACUGCACCAUGCACAAAAAGAUUAGUAACAACAAACGAGCCAACCCACUUGGUACGUAACUUACCAGGAAUAGACGAAGACGGGGAGUUGAAACAACAACACUUUCUGCCCAAUUUCGAAAGUCUGCCUCGAAGCAUCUUAUCAUGGAAUGCCGUGGUUUUUCUUUGUAAAUUCUAGCAUUCUCAUAAGCUUCAUGCUUAUCUCAUCAAGUUCACUCAUUGAAGCUUUCGAUGAUUCCAGCUUGGUCCACAUUCAAAUUGAAGGUCUUGAUGCCCAAUGAGCUCUAUGUUCUAAUUCCACGGGAGAUGCAAGGCUUGCCAUACACAAGUCGAAAAGGAGACAUACAAUGGGGGUCUUGUAAGCUGUUCGAUACGCCCAUAGUGCAUCAUCCAACGUAAGCUCCAAUCUUUUCUAUUUGGCCCAACGGCCUUCUCCAAAAUUGUUUGAUCUCACGAUUAACACCUCGGCUUGGCCAUUGGGUUUGGGGGUGGUAAGGUGUGGAAACCUUAUGCAUCACAUGGUACUUCUUGAGUAUGCCCCAAUGGUACGGUUGCAAAAAUGAGACCCUCCAUCACUGAUAGUACCCUAGGCAUCCCAAAUCUAGAAAAGAUAUAUUGUUUUCACAAAAUCUGCCACAACUUUAGAAUCGUUAGUUCGAGUGGCUUUGCUUCCACCCACUUUCAAACAUAAUCAACGGCAAGUAAUAUGUAGGUGAAACCAAAAGAUGAAGGAAAAGGACCCAUAAAAUCAUACCCCAAACAUCAAAGAUUUCAACAACAAAGAUGGGUACCUGCGGCAUUUGAUCUCUUUGUCUAAUAUUACCUGUCCUUUGGCAGCGAUCACAUGUUAAACAAAAGGUUCUAGCAUCUUUAAACAAAGUAGGCCAAUAAAAACCACAUUCAAGAACCUUAAAAGCUGUCCUUGGGUGCCAAAGUGACCCCCACAUGCAAUGUGUGACAAAAACUUAAAAUUGAGUGAAAAUCUGAUUCAUGCACACAUCUUCUUAUAACCUGAUCUGAACAAUAUUUCCAACAAGUAUGGGCAUCCCAAACAUAAAAUCUAGCAUCCUUUUUAAGUUUAUCACGUUGGAAUUUGUUUAGGGGUGCUAGGAACUUGUUUAGUCACCAAAUAAUUCACCAAAUCUGCGUACCAAGAAGCACUUACCUGCACGGACAAGAGUUGUUCAUUCGGAAAUGUUUCGGAGAUGGGAAGAUCCUCUUCUUCACGCACCAACCUGCUUAGGUGGUCGGCAACAACAUUAUCACUCCCCUUCUUGUCCUUGAUUUCGAUGUCAAACUCUUGAAGUAGAAGCAUCCAACGAAUGAGUCUAGGUUUAGCUUCUUUCUUGGUGAACAAGUACUUCAAGGCUGCAUGGUCAGUGAAAACAAUAACUUUAGUACCAUUUAGAUAUGAUCUAAAUUUAUCUAAAGCAAAUACAACCCAAAAGUUCUUUUUCGGUUGUAAGAAUAAUUCAACUGAGCAUCAUUCAAAGUGCGUGAAGCAUAAUAAAUAACAUGGGGCUGUUUAUUUUUUCUUUGUCCCAAAACAGCUCCAAGUGCAUAAUCUGAUGCAUCACACAUCAAUUCAAAGGGAAUGGACCAAUCCGGGGGAGUUAUGAUGGGUGCCGUGGUGAGAAGGUCCUUGAGAUGCUUGAAUGCCUUCUCACAUGCCUCGUUGAACUCAAAUGACACAUCCUUUUGUAGGACACGGCAUAGGGGUUGUGCAAUCUUGGAAAAAUCCUUGAUAAAUCGUCUAUAGAAUCCUGCAUGACCAAGAAAAGAACGAACCUCUCUCACCGAAGUAGGAGAAGGUAAGUAGCGUACAAGAUCUAUUUUAGACUUAUCAACCUCAAUUCCUCGUUCAGAAAUUAUAUGACCCAAAACAAUAUCUUGUUUAACCAUAAAAUGGCAUUUCUCCCAAUUUAACACAAGGUUUGUCUCAACACAACGUUUCAAGAUUAAAGUGAGAUUAUCCAAGAAAUUAUCAAAUGAAUUACUAAACACACUAAAAUCAUCCAUGAAUAUCUCAAUAAUCCUCUCAACAUAAUAAGAAAAUAUGCUAACCAUACACCUUUGAAACGUGGCAGGGGCAUUGCACAAACCGAAUGGCAUGCGUCAAUAUGCAAACGUUCCAAAGGGACAAGUAAAAGUGGUCUUUUCUUGAUCAUCCGGGGCAAUAACAAUUUGAUUAUAACCGGAGUAUCCAUCAAGAAAGAAAUAAAAAGAAUGACCUGUUAACCUUUCAAGCAUUUGAUCUAGGAACGGCAAUGGGAAAUGAUCUUUCCUUGUGGUUGAGUUUAGCUUCCUAAAAUCAAUGUACACCCGCCAACCGGUUUGAAUUCGGGUGGGCACAAGCUCAUUCUCCGCAUUCUCGGUCACUCCAGAUUUCUGGGGUACACAUUGGAUAGGUGAAACCCAACGGCUAUCGGAGAUGGGAUAAAUCACCCCACAAUCUAAAAGUUUGAUUAUCUCUUUUUUCACAACUUCCAUCAUCGGAGGGUUGAGACGGCGUUAAGCCUCUCUUGUUGGUUUGGCCCCCUCCUCAAGAAAUAUGUGAUGCAUACAAGUCGUAGGGCUUAUACCUUUAAUAUCGGUCAAUGUCCAACCUAGGGCAGAUUUGAACUCUUUCAAAACUCGAACUAGUUUCUCCUCUUCUUGUCCGUGAGGGAUGAAGAGAUGAUGGCAGGUAGUGUCUCGUUUUCCCCCAAAAAGAUGUACUUCAAAUGGCUUAGUAAAGGUUUGAGUUCAAGGAUAGGUGCCUGAAUUAUAGAUGGAAGCAAUUUAUUAGUCGAAAUGGGAAUGGACUCACGGUUAAAAUACUUACCAUCAUGUAUAGGCAAUGAAUCAAGGGCAGCAACUACUUCAAGGAAUUCCUCACUAGGGGGCACGGCGUAGGAUAGUUCUUGCAUGCCGUGGCUUAGCAUGGGUAUUAUCCCCUUGGUUUUGACGUCUACACCUCUUGUAAUGACCUUUUCAAGUGCGUCGUCAUUCAAAUCUUCAAGAUAUCCCUGCACCAAAGAUUCAACAAUAUCAAUAGAGAAACAUGAAUGGUCAUCACUAGGGUACUUAAUGGAAUCAGAAAGAUUAAAAUUAACAACUUCCCCAUCAAAUUCCAUGGACAACGUUCCACUAUACACGUCAAUCUUCGUCCGGGCCGUUUUCAUGAAUGGCCUUCCAAGGAGGAUGGGCAAUGAAGGAGCAUGAUCCGAUUCAUCCAUUUCGAGCACAUAAAAAUCUGCUGGGAAGACUAAAUGAUCAACCUGCACCAAAACGUCUUCCAAAACUCCCUUUGGAUAAGCGUUAGAUCUAUCGGCCAAUUGUAUGAUUACACCAUCAUGUUUCAACUCACCUAAGUUCAUGGAUACAUAAAUGGAGUAUGGCAUAACAUUAUAGAGGCUCCUAAAUCUAGCAUGGCAGAUUUGAAAGGGGUUUCCAAUGACGCACGGAAUUUGUAAAGCUACCCGGAUUCUUUGCAUUUGGGGGGUAGUUUGCGUUGCAAGAUGGCGGAGACAUUCUCACCUACCUUUACCACUUGCUUAGUUGAAAUCCUCUUCCUAGUGGUGCAUAGCUCCUUUAAAAACUUAGCGUAUCUCGGGACUUGCUUAAUGGCAUCCAACAAGGGUAUGUUGACUUGAACUUUCCUAAGUGUCUCAAGUAUGUCCUUUUCAGCUUCUUCCUUCUUUGUUUGCACAAACCUGCUAGGAAAAGGAGCAUUCGAAGGCACAACAUUAGUAGAAACUGAAUUUGACACAUUCUUACCUUUAUUGGAUGAAUUGGACAGAUUUGGAGCCAUGGGGGCUUGCGGUAUAGGUGUGUCCACCUUUGCCGUGGGUGGGCAUGCUUCCUCCUCCUCAAAUUGAAGUUUUUCAUCCUCUUUGUGACCUGUUUUUGAUGAAGAACCUGCCCCAAUCUCUUUUCCACUUCUCAAGAGUAUGGCCUUUGCACUUUCAAAGCCUCCCUUCGGGUUUGGAAUGGUAGAACUAGGAAGCCUUCCUUGGUCUUUAAUCUGCCCAACAACCUCGGCAAUCUUCCCCAUUUGUUUCUCUAGUUGGUCCACUCUUUUGUUUUGAUUUUCUUGCCCAUUAGUCAAAGUGGUUAGUAACUUAACAAGUGUAUCAUUAUUCAAAGCAUUACCUGAAGUAUUUGGGGCAGAUUGUGGUUGGAUUUGAGGGGGUGCGUAUGGUUUGGUGUAGAAGCCCGGGGGUUGUUGCCUAAAGCCUCAUUGUGGUUGGGCUUGUUGUGGCUCUCUCCAUUUGAAGUUUGGAUGGUCUCUCCACCCCGGAUUAUACGUGUUGGAGUAUGGAUCAUGUCUUGGAUGAUUUUGGCUUUGAAAUCCAAUGGCAUUAGCGCUCUCCCAUCCACCAUUCUCAAUGAGUUGAGGACACUUUUCGGAUGCAUGUUCUUGGAUAGAACAUACGCCACACACCAUGGGUCCUUGAAUCUUCAUUCCCUCGGCCAUAUGUGAAACAAUAGAAGUAAGAUUAGCUAACUGAGAUUGAAUAUUGGAAGUGGAACUUACCUUAUGCACUUGUUGCCGUAGGGGUCCUCUUUGGCCUACACCUUCGUAUUCUUGAGCGUUUAACGCUCGAUUAGCAAUCAAGAUUUUUGCAGCCAUGGGCGUUUUGUCCACCAAUGCUCCACCCGCCGAGGCAUCGAGCAUUUGACGUUCUAGUGGUAGGAUCCCUUCGUAGAAGUAUUGCAAAAGCAACUCCUCCUUCAUCUGAUGCUGUGGACAAGAAGCAACAAGUGAUUUAAAUCGUUCAUAAUAUGUAGGAAAAGACUCACCUUCAUCUUGUUGAAUUCCACUUAUUUUUUUACGAAGAAGAAUGAUGCGAGAAGUUGGGAAAAACUUCUCCAGAAACGCCCUCUUCAUACUCUCCCAAGAUGUAACUAUACCGGGAGCCAACUCGUAUAACCAAUCCUUGGCUUUGUCCAUUAAAGAGAAUGGAAAAGCCUUCAUCUUUAAAAUACUUCCGUCAACGGUAACCGGAGUCAUACUUGAGCACACCACUUCAAAUUCUUUCAAAUGUUUGUUCGGAUCCUCCAUGGACAGCCCAUGGAACUUUGGAAUGUGGUGGAGCAAACUUGACUUUAACUCGAACUCUUCGGUUUUACCUUGAGCAGCCGUGGAAUAUUGGAUACAUAAUGGUGCGGCAUUAUCCAAACCCGAGGCGGCAAGCUCCUUGAGCGUACGGUUGUCCAUGGCUAUACCUUGCGCUUCUCCACCCACUUGUGCCGUGGGAUCCUCCUUGUGCUGUUGGUUCCUCCUUCUUCUCAAAGUUCUCUCGAAGUCGUCGUCAAAGUCCAAAAUAUGCUCACGAACAGGUCGGGAACUUCGAGUCAUGCACUAGUACCUAAAAACAAAGAAAACAAAACAAAUCAGCAACUUAAACAGAAACUUAAACAAAAUACAAUAAUUCGAAAGAAAACAAUCCAAGAGAUUAGCAAAGUUGCUAAUCCCCUACAACGGCGCCAAAAUUUGAUGUGAAAAAUAAGUUAACACACAAAAUUAAACCCUCUUUUUAUCAAUUGUAGCAAAGUAUGUAAAUAGGGAUCGUUCUAGACCGGGGAUUAGGAGGGAUUGCUAAACACUUGAAAACUGACAUAGAAAUGUAAAAACAAAGUUUAAAGCACUAGAUUAGACUCAAAGAAUGCAAAACUCACGUUUAAAAUACUAAAAUAAACCAAAAACUCAAAACAGCAAUCAAAAGAUUCAAAACUGCCUUAAAAACACUUUCUUGGCAGUUUUGAACACAAAGCAUCAAAUUGGACGAAUUUGGGUUUUAACUUGUACCAAAACACUUAAAAACAUAAACCAACACACUUUUCAAUUAAUCUAGGAAUUCAAAAUAAUUGGGGAUUUGAUUUGGACGAAAAUAAACUUAAAUGGCAGAUUGUAAGAGAAACAGAUUGUAAUACAAAGUUAUGAAGAAUCAAUGGAUGAUGGAAUGGCUAAGGGGUUCUUCUCCACACAUGAAAUAUAUGCAACCUAAAUCGAUUUCCAGUUAUCAAUUGAAUAAGUUAUGAACCUCGACACUCCAAGUUAAUUAGAUCCGCUUAAAUUAACCUUCGGAUUUCCCUAGAAUCAUUGAAUUGGAUGAAUAUGCAUCGCAAACAAAUUAUUCCUAACAAGUUCUUUAUAUGAACAGCAUGAUAAAGAUACAGGUUAGAAUCAUUACGUUCUUUGGAAAUCAUAAGCAUCAACAAGGCAUUCGUAACUAUGAAAAGCAUGAUACUCUUGCCAAGAAUCUACUUAACAUGAUCGUGACUAGCGACCUUUACUACUUACUGAUGUGAAAAUUAUGUUGACACACAAAUUAACCCUCUUUUUAUCAAUUGUAGCAAUGUAUGUAAGUAGGGAUCGUUCUAGACCGGGGAUUAGGAGGGAUUGCAAAAUCACUUGGAAUUGACUCAAAUACGUAAAAACAAGUUUAAAACACUAAAAUAGACUCAAAGAAUGCAAAACUAAACUUUAAAACACCAAAACAAACCAAAAGACUCAAAACAGCACCAAAACACUCAAAACUGCCUUAAAAACACAAUCUGGGCAGUUUUGGACACUAAGCACCAAAUUGGACGAAUUUGGGUUUUAACUUGAAUCAAAACACUUAAAAACACAAAGUAAAACACUUACUAACUAAUUUGACACUUUAAAACAAAGGGGGAUUGGUUUUGGACGAAUUUAAAACAAAACAAACUUUGUAAAUUAGAACAGAUUGUAAAAACGAAUUUGAUUUAAAUGGGUGAAUGGAAGGCUAGCUAAGGGGUUCAUCUCCACACAUGUUACACUUGCAUACAAAACGAUUUCCAAUUGCUUUUCAAUAAACCAUGAAUUCUCUCAAUGCCCCAAGUUAAUUAGUUCCGCUUAAAUUAACCUUCAGAUUUUCCUAAACGUUUAUUGAAUUGGAUGAUUGCAUACGACAACCCAAAACAUUCCCCACAAGUCCCCUACAUGAUUGCAUAAUAGAGAUACAAGCAAGAAUCAUUAAGUUCUAUGAAAACCAUAAGCAUUGACGAAGCACUUGUUACUAUGAUUGCAUGAAACUUAUGCCAAGAAUUUACUUAACGCGAUUGAGAUCAUCAACCUUUACUACUUGUGAAUAUAAGUCCAUAACGAUUAGGUGAAAUUUCCUUAUAUCCUAGCAUUCAAUUUAUGGAUGAUAAUUAAGCGUGCACUCUCAACCAACACACACAAAUCAAUGUAAUUCACAUAGAUAAGUAAAUUGAAUUCACAACUUAUGAAACGCAAUUAGAAGUAAUCAAAUCAUAUCGCAAGCAUAAACAUGUAUUUCGAAUCCCCCCCUAGCCAAGGGGGGUUUAGUUCCUCAUAUGCACAAAACAAAGAGAAUUGAAUUUAAACAUUGAAAUCAAAGGAAAAGAAACACCUAGAAAUUCCAGCGACGCGAACUUGAAUGGCAUGAACUUCCGAGCUUCCUUCUCCUCCUCCUUGGUGCGGCAAAGGGUCUAGGGACAGGUUUAGGACCUUAGGUGUAUGGAUGCAUGGUUAUGGAUGGAUGUAGUAGUGUUUAGGGGAUGGGGAUGGUGCGGCAAAGGGGUGGAGAGGUGUUUGGACGAAUUUCUGAAUUUGUGGAAUGAAUGAAUGUGUAUGAGAGGUGCUGUGAAUGAAUGGGUGCGGCACCAUGUAUUUAUAGGGUCCUAAAAGUCUAGCAAAUCAUAUUAGGACUUGGAGGAUUAAAUCCCAUCAGGAAAGAGCUUAAAACAAUCAGAUUUUGGGUAGGAAAGGUCCUCCUAGGUGCGGCAGGGAUGGAUUAGAGGGAUAAGGCUUCUAGAUGGCCUUGCAAGGCAAGGAAAUCAGUUUUCUAGAAGGGAUAGGUGCGGCACUAAAGGAUAGGGCAGAUUAGGGCUUCUAGAAACCCUCUAAUGCAAGGAAAACUCACGGCAAGGAUGGAUAAGGUUUCUAGAACAAGGAUGAGGUAUCCUAAAUGGAUAAGGUGCCCUAAAUGGAUAAGGAUUCCUCAUUGCACUUGGAAACUUUGCCUAUUAGGAUUAGGAAACCUUGUCUUUGUCAUUCCUUCUUCAUCUUGGACUCCUUUUCCUUCUUGGACUUGGAAAAAUUCUUUGUUGCUUCACUUGAGACCAUUUGGAUUUUGACUUUCCUACAUCAAGUAGGAAACCUUAUUUGAGUAGGAAUCUUCAUCUUCAAGGAAUCCUAAUUCAACUAGGAAACCCAUUUUGACUAGGAAUCCUAAUUCAACUAGGAUUUCAUCUUCACCUAGGCGCUUUCCUACUUCGACUAGGAAACCUUUUUCAAGUAGGAAACAUCAUCUUCAAAUCUUCAAUUUCGUCCAUCCUCUUGGCUCCAAGCAUAUGAUGUCCAUUCCAAGCUCUAUAUUGCUCCAAAAGGCUCCAAAAUGCAUCCUUUUUCAUAUUUUGCCCUUAGAACCUGAAAUCACAUAAAACUAGCUUAAAAGACUACUUUACUAAGGAAAAACACUAUAAAUGCACAAGAACAAGCUAAACUAAGGCGCAUAAAUAUGCUCCUAUCACUUACGAAUAUAAAUUCAUAACGAUUAGGUGAAACAAACUUAUAUCCUAGCAUCAAAUUCAAGUAUGCCAAUUAAGCGUGCACUCUCAACCAACAUACAAGAACAAGUUCUAAAUCAAACGGUUAAGCAAAUUGUAUUCACGACUCAUGCAACGAUAACCGAGAGUAAUCAAUUUAUUUCACAUAUAUAAUCAUGGUUUUGAAUCCACCCUUAGCCAACACGAAUUUAGCCAAUCAUACUUAAAGCAAAACAAAGAUUACAUGAAUUAGACAUUGAAAUAUAAGAUAGAAAACACCUAAAAUCGUUCAACAACUCAGAAUGAAUAGCCAAACAAUCGUAGUGAAUCUGUCCCCUUCUUUGCUUGCGGCAGAUUGGGUUGUGAAGAUGUUUUGGGUAGUUUUAUGGUGUAGAAUGGAUGGGGAAUGGUAUGGAGAGGUUUAGGGUGAGUAUGGAGGAGUGUUUGAUGGUUGAAGGAUGGUAGAGAACUCGGCAAAGAGGGUGGAAUAAGGUGGAGUGGCUGUUAUGUUUUAUGGGCACUAGAAUGGUGUUUUUAGGGUGUUUUGCUGCCUAGGGUGAGUAUGGACGAAUUUUCUGCAUGAAUGAUGAAUAUGAGAGGUUGAACCCUUUGCCAAGGACAUGUAUAUAUAGGCCCCAAAAACCCUAGAGAAUCAGAUUAGGCAGUGGGGGAAAUGCACAGCAAGGAGGGUGAAUUUGUGGUGUGCAAUGGUCCAAGGAUGAAAAUGGAGCAAUGAUGCAAAGUAUGGAGGGUAAAAUGGAGUGGUAUUUCAGCUAGGGAGCAUGAAUGAUUGUGUUCAUUGCAUGGAAAUGAAAAUGGGAGGUGAAAUGUUUCAGAAAUUAGUUAAAGGUGCAGCAACAUGUGUUGCACACGACAUUGGAUCCCAAAUGUGGAUGAUGGAGCAUCAAUUGGUGCAUGGAAUGAUUGUGAAAGUUAUGUGAAAUCUGAUGGGUGAAUGGAACAAGAGGUAUGCAGCAAUUGAGUGUGAUAAUUGAGUGUAUUGAGGCAUGAAAUCAGAAAUAUUUUAGGGGACAAGGAUGAUUUAGCAUGCAUGGGAAUCCAAAGGGAAUGCUAUGUGGAUUGCACGGCAAGGAUGUGUGUCCUUUUGUGGCUGAGUUCUUGAUCCUUGUACACUAAUUCUUCACAUUCUUAGCCUCUUUAAGUCUUCAAUUUCGUCCAAACCUUGGUUCCAAAUAUGUGACUUGCAUUCCAAGCUCCAUUUUGCUCCAAAAUGCAUCUUCUUGCCUACUUUGUCCUUAAAAUCUGAAAACACACGAAAAUGACUUUAAACAUUAAAAUAACUAAGGAAACACGACAUAAAUGCACAAGAACAAGCCAACUAAGUCGCAUAAAUAUGCUCCUAUCACCUAACCAUAAGACAACUAUGAUGCCUCAGGACAAAGGACUACUUUGCAUUAUCCCAACCAUGAGUUCUCAUGUGACAUGAGUAUGAGAACUCCUUGUUGAUCGUGUUCAGUGGGCUUAUUCUAUUGAGCACCUACAGGCUUGUCUUGGUGUCAGUCACACCAAUGACUCGAGACCAGCCACUCUCCCUAAGAGAAGACAUAGCACGUACUAAUCUUAAUGGACUGUCAAUGCCGAAUUGGCAAUCUUAUGAUCAGGAACGUUUAGGAUAUGUAUACGAAAGAGAAUGAUCUCAUGAAUCUAACUUCUUUAGAUCGCAUUCUCCCAAUUACAUAUUCCUUGGACUUAUCGUUUAAGCGUAUAACAUUUAUAUGAGACGGCUUCAAACAAUAAUCUUUGCCCUUUAUAUUAAACUAUAUUAGUUUAACAUGUGAAAUGUCCGUAAAGUAUCAUCAUAUGAUUGGUUUUAGGGCACAUUUCCAACAAAAAAGACUCAAAACAGCACAAUACUAACAAUUAGACUUAAAAAAGACUCUAGGGAGUGAAUUGGACGAAUUUAAGACUAAAUUGAGUCUCAAACAACUUUUAUGGAUUAAUUCUAACUUAUAUUAACUCAAAACACUCUAAAAAACCUAGUUUGGACAGAUUCUAACCUAAAAACACCAAAUAGAAAAAGGGGUUUGGUUUUGACGAAAUUGAAGUAAAACUAAACUGAUUGCAAAACAAAGUAAACUAGAUAUGAAAUUUGGGUGAAUUGAAUGGUGAAAUAGGCUAGUUAGACGGUCCUUCUCCACACAUAAACAUAUGCAACAUAAAUCAAUUUCCAGUAUUGUUUCUUUAAACCAUGAACGUCAAUGCCCUAAAUUAAUCAUGAAUGCACAAAUUAAUUCUCAGAUUUCCCUCAAUUCAUUGAAUUGAAUGGACAAUGCAUCACAACCAAAUUAUUCUUCUCAAGUUCCCUUUAUGAACAACAUGAUAGAGAUACAUUCAAAGAUCAUUAAGUUCCAUGGAAAUCAUAAGCAUUGACAAGAUAAUUAUAACUAUGAACUGCAUGAUACUCUUGCCAAGAAUCUACUUAACACGAUUGUGACUAACAAUCUCCACUACUUGUAAUUAUAAGUUCAUAACGAUUAGGUGAAAGUCCCUUAUAAUUUAGCAUCAAAUUCAUGUAUGCAAACUAAGUAUGCAUCCUUAAUCAACACAUAAGAUAAGUUAUCAAUCAAAUAGAUAAGUAAAUCACAUUCAUGUUUUACGAAACAAUAACUGAAAGGAAUAAAUUCAUAUUAAACACAUGUCCAUGGCUUUGAAUUCACCUUUAACUAAAAAAACUUAGUUACACAUGUUCAUAGCAAUUGAAAAGCAAACUGAAAUAAACAUUGAAACUAAAACAAGGGAAGAAAGAACACUUAAAACUCCAAUGGUUGCAGGUGGCUUGUGCACAAGGUUCUUGCUCCAAUGGAAAGCUCGGCAAACUUUUCUUCUUCCUCCCAAGGGUGCGGCAAAGGUGUAUAAUGGUAUAGAAUGGUGUAGAAUGCGGCUGAAAGGGUUUCUGAGUUAUAUGUGGGGUGGUGGACGAAAUUGUGGCUGAAAACACAUAUUUAUAGCCUAGGGUUUUGACAAAUUCUGAUGGGAAAAGGCUUAGGAUUUUCGGCAAAGGCUUGGGCCUCAAUCCAAGGGGGAAAAAAACUAGGGUUUGUGUAGAUUUUAAGGUUUCUAGAAGGGUUUAGGGCGCCACUUUUGUAGGGCUUCUAGAAAGAGUGUGUUUUGGCUGAUUUCUAACCUUCUAGAAGAGUUUGGGGUGCCACCUUUCUAGGGCUUCUAGAAAGGUGGGUGCAGCUAAUGUAUGAGAGCAUGGAUAGGCCUUCUAGAAGGGUUUUAGAUACCCUUGCAGCUGAUUACUCAUCUUCCAAGUCUUGAAUUGAUUUCUCCAUCUCUUUAGCACGUUCCUAGCUUUACUUGAUCUUCAAAAAUGUCCAUUCCUUUUGCUCCGCAUGCAUGCAAUCCAUUCCAGCCCAUAAUUGCUCUAAAAUGCUUCAAAAUGCACUUUCUUGCCAACUUUGCCAAUUAGUCCUACAAACAAAUGAAAAUAGUCUAAAUCACUAUAAUAAGCACAAACUAACUAUGAAAAUGCAAGAAAACAAGCUAACUAAGUUCCAUAAAUAUACUUCUAUCAAAUUCCCCCACACUUAGCUUUUGCUAGUUCUCGAGCAAAAUAAAGGAAACAAAACAAAGAAAACAAAACCUAAACCUUCUAACGUUUGCCUCAGGGAUUUCCAAUGAAACAUGACAAGUUAAAAAUCACCACUCACAUAGAUUUUAGCUAUCCCUACCCUCGAGCGCAUACUUAAUCACAGUCACCACUCACUAGCUCGCAUUUAAUCAAUUAAAACAACAUUUUGAAGGUAGUAACAUGCCUUAGAGAUUUCCCUCAAUUCCUCACCUGAUAUACACACUAUUUUCACACAGAUUUUCUAACUACACUCCUUAUACUUGGUAUAUGUGAGAAGAUUGAUGUAAACAUGUAGACUAGCCACUCAUAUAUGUUUUAAGCAAAGAAAGCACUUUCUAGAAUUAUUAAUGCAUGUAUAUAUAUGAUCUCAUGAACGGAAUGCUAUUACUUAGACGCGAGAACCAAGGAUACCAUAUGCUCAUACCAAUCUGAUUACUCAUCUUAGUAAUUGAUUACUCAUCUUCCAAGUCUUGAAUUGAUUUCUCCAUCUCUUUAGCACGUUCCUAGCUUCACUUGAUCUUUUAAAACGUCCAUUCCUUGUGCUCCGCAUGCAUGUAAUCCAUUCCAGCCCAUAAUUGCUCUAAAAUGCUUCAAAAUGCACUUUCUUGCCAACUUUGCCAAUUAGACCUACAAACAAACGAAAAUAGCUUAAAUAACUAUAAUAAACACAAACUAACUACAAAAAUGCAAGAAAACAAGCUAACUAAGUCGCAUAAAUAUGCUCCUAUUAGACAACGAUCACAUGUUAAGCAAAACGUUCUAGCAUCCUUAAAGAUAGUAGGCCAAUAAAAAUCACAUUCAAGUACUUUACGUGCAGUCCUUUGAGUGCCAAAGUGACCUCCACAUGCAUAAGUGUGACAAAAAGUUAAAAUGGAUUUAAAUUCAAAAUCAUGCACACUCCUACAAAUGAUUUGAUCAGGGCAAUAGUUCCAUAAGUAAGGAUCAUCCUACACAUAAAAGCGUGCCUCUUUCUUAAGUUUAUCACGUUGGUGCUUGUUUAGAGUGCUUGGAACUUGUUUAGACACCAAAUAAUUCACUAAAUCGGCGUACCAUGGCACACUUACCUCAAUGGACAGUAGCUGCUCAUCUGAGAAUGUCUCUGGGAUAGGCAUGGCAUCUUCUUCAUGCAUCAUAUGGCUCAAGUGAUCAGCCAUCACGUUUUCACUUCCUUUCUUGUCCUGGAUUUCGAUAUCGAACUCUUGGAAAAGAAGCAUCCAACAAAUAAGCCUUGGUUUGGCCUCUUUCUUCGUAAGUAAAUACUUCAAUGUUGCAUGAUCAUAAUAGAUUAUAACUUUAGUACCAAGUAAAUAAGAACGAAACUUAUUUAAAGCAAAAUUAACAGCAAGAAGUUCUUUUUCUGUUAUGGAAUAGUUCAAUUGAGUGUCAUUCAAGGUCCGAGAGGCAUAGUAUAUGACGUGUGGCUACUUGUGCUUCCUUUGUCCUAAAACAGCCCCUAAUGCAUAAUCGGAAGCAUCGCACAUAAGCUCAAAAGGAAGCAUCCAAUCUGGUAGGACAAGAUGAGGGCCGAAGUUAGCAUCUCUUUGAGGUGUUUGAAAGCCUUCUCACAUUCCUUGUCGAACUUGAAUGGGACAUCCUUUUGGAGGAGACGGCAAAGGGGGUUGGAAAUCUUUGAAAAGUCCUUGAUGAAUCACCUAUAGAAUCUUGCAUGUCCAAGAAAAGAACGAAACUCUCUAACCGAAGCAGGAAAGGGUAAGUAGCAUACAAGAUCUAUUUUUGAUUUAUCAACCUCAAUUCCCCUUUCUGAAAUGAUAUGACCUAAAACUAUACCUUGUUUUACCAUAAAGUGACAUUUUUCCUAAUUUAAAACAAGGUUAGUUUCAACGCAUCGUUUUAAGAUUAAUGUGAGAUUAUCCAAACAAUUAUCAAACGAAUCACCAAAUACACUAAAAUCAUCCAUGAAUACCUCAAUAAUCUUCUCAACGACAUCUGAAAAGAUACUUACCAUACAUCGUUGAAAUGUGGCAGGUGCAAUGCAUAAGCCAAAUGGCAUGCGACGAUUGGCAAAGGUACCAAAGGGGCACAUGAAAGUGGUCUUUUCUUGGUCAUUCGAAGCUACGAAAAUUUGAUUAUAUCCCAAAUAACCAUCAAGAAAACAAUAAAAAGAAUGAUUGAUAGGAGCAUAUUUAUGCGACUUAGUUGGCUUGUUCUUGUGCAUUUAUGUCGUGUCUCCUUAGUUAUUUUAAUGUUUAAAGUCAUUUUCGUGUGUUUUCAGAUUUUAUGGACAAAGUAGGCAAGAAGAUGCAUUUUGGAACAUUUUGGAGCAAAAUGGAGCUUGGAAUGCAUGUCACAUAUUUGGACCAAAGUGGAUGGACGAAUUUGAGAACUAAAGAGGCCAAGAAUGUGAAGAAUUAUGGUCCAAAAGAUGAAGAACUCAGCCCAAAAAUUUGUCACCCCAACUUGCCUUCAUUGCCAUGCAAAAUAACAUAGAAUUCCCUUUGGAUUCCCAUGCCAUGCUUGAUCACUCUUGUCCCCUACAUAAUUUCUGAUUUCAUGCUUCAAUUCAUUUAAUUAUUACACUUAAUUGCUUGAUACCUCUUGUUCCCUUCACCCACAAAAUUUUAUACAACUUUCACAACCAUAACAUGCACCAAUUGAUGCUCCAUCAUUCACAUUUGGAAUCCCAUGCCUUGUGUACCACAUGUUGCUGCACCUUUGACCCAUUUAUUGACACAUUUUCACCUCCCUUUCCAUCUCUAUGCAAUGUACACAAUCAUUCAUGCCCCCUAGCUACAAGACCACUCCAUUUUACCCUUCACACUUUGCAUCAUCACUUCAUUUUCACCCUUGGACCAUUGCACACCACAUACACUCUUUGCCAUGCAUUCUCCCCUAGCCUAACCUGAUUCUCUAAGGUUUUUGGGGCCUAUAUAUACAUGUUUACACCCCUUGGCAAAGGGUUCACACUCUCAUAUUCACCAUUCAUCACAGAAAUUCGUCCAUACUCACCCUAGGUAGCAAAACACCCCAAAAACACCAUUCUAGUGCCUAGAAAACAUAACAGCCACUCCACCUUCUUCCACCCUCUUUGCCUAGUUCUCCACCACCCUCCAACCCUCAAACACUCCUCCACACUUACCCUAAACCUUUCCAUACCAUUCCCCAUCCAUUUCUACAUCAUAAAAACUACCCAAAAAUCUGUCCACAAAGCAAUCUGCCGCAAGCAAGCAAAGGAGAAUUCUUGGAUGCACUUGCUACCCAAGUUGGAGCAUUUUAGGUGUUUUUCUUUCCUUUGAUUUUAAUGUCUAAUUUUAUGUAUCUUUGCUUUGUGAGUAUGAGGAACUAAACCCCUCUUAGUUAGGGGGUGAUUCGAAACCAUGUUCAUACUUGCAAUAUGAUUUGAUUACAUCCAGUUGUGAUUCAUAAGUUGUGAAUUCAAUUUACUUAUCCGAUGGUAUAAAAAAUGAUUUGUGUAUGUUGGUUGAGAGUGCACGCUUAAUUUUCAUGCAUGAAUUUAACGCUAGAAUAUAAGGGAGUUUCACCUAAUCGUUAUGAACUUAUAUUCACAAGUAGUGAAGGUCGCUAGUCACAAUCACGUUAAGUAAAUUCUUGGCAUAAGUUUCAUGCAAAUCAUAGUAACGAGUGCCUCGUCAAUGCUUAUGUUUUUCAUAGAACUUAAUGAUUCUUGCUUGUAUCUCUAUUAUGCAAUUCAUGUAGGGAACUUGUAGGGAAUGUUUUGGGUUGUCGUAUGCAAUCAUCCAAUCCAAUAACUUGUGGAAAAAACUGAGGGUUAAUUAGUGCAAUUCACGGUUAAUUUGGGGCGUUGAGUAUUCAUAGCUUAUCGAAAAGCAACUAGAAAUCGUUUUGUAUGCAAGUGUGACAUGUGUGGAGAAGAACCUCCUAGCUAGCCUUCCAUCCAUAAGUUUCAUUCAAAUUCAUUUUUACAAUCUGUUUUGAUUCACUUAAAUUUGUCUAAGAAUUUGUUUACUUUGUUCUUGUCUUAAUUUAAUUAUUUUCGUCCAAAAUCAACCCCAUCUUAUUUCUUUGAGUCAUAUUAAUUAGAACUUGUCUUAGAUUAUGUUUUUAAGUGUUUUAGUUCAUUAGAAAAACCAAAAUUCGUCCAAGUUUGUGUUAGAGUCCCAAAACUGCCCAGAUUGUGUGUUUAAGGUAGUUUUGAGUGUUUAGGGGCUGUUUUGAGUCUUUUGGUUUGUUUUAGUGUUUUAAAGUAUAGUUUUGCAUUCUUUGAGUCUAGUUAGUGUUUUAAACUUUGUUUUUACGUUUUCAAGUCAGUUUCCAAGUGAUUUAGCAAUCCCUCCUAAUCCCCGGCCUAGAACGAUCCCUACUUACAUACUUUACUACAAUUGAUAAAAAGAGGGUUUAAUUUGUGUGCUUAUAUAUUUCGCAUCAAUGAUCGGCUAACCUUUCAAGCAUUUGAUCAAUGAGCGGCAAAGGGAAGUGGUCCUUCCUUGUGGUCGCAUUGAGCUUCCUAUAAUUCAUGCAAACUCUCCAACCUGUUUGGAUACGUGUUGGCACAAGCUCAUUCUCGGCAUUCUUCACCACCAUAACUCCCGAUUUCUUUGGAACAACUUGAACCGGCGAAACCCAAUGGCUAUCCGAGAUAGGAUAAAUCAUUCCACAAUCAAGAAGCUUGAUAAUCUCCUUCUUCACAACUUCCAUCAUUGGAGGGUUGAGUCGGCAUUGAGCCUCUCGAGUUGGUUUAGCCCCCUCCUCUAAAAGUAUGUGAUGCAUGCAAGUUGUGGGGCUAAUACCUCUAAUGUCGGCCAAGGUCCAUCCUAUGGCUAUUUUGUGCUCUUUCAACAUCGAAUUAGUUUUUCCUCCUCUAAUGUCGUGAGUGUUGAAUAGACUAUGACCGGCAAUUGGUGUGAAAAUAUAUAAGCACUCAAAUUAAAUCCUCUUGUUAUCAAAUUGUAGUAUAAAUGCAAGUAGGGAUCGUUCUAAACCGGGGAUUAGAAGGGCUUGCUAAAACCUCUAAAUUGACUCAAAACAUAAAAGCAAAGUUAAAAACGUUUGAAUAGACUUAAAGGACCCAAAACAGGUUCACAAGACUCAAAACAACUUAAAAACACUCAAACUGCCUAAAAACACCAACUAGGCAGUUUCUGACUCUAAACACAACUUUGGACGAAUUUAGGGUUUUGGCUUGAUUCAAAACACUCAAAAACACAAACAAAACAGAUUUUAAGCACUUUGAAACAAGAAAAGUAAAGAGGGGGUUUGUUUUGGAUGAAUUUAAAAUAAAAACAAGUAACUAAAACUUAAGACAGAUUUUGGACGAAUUUGGUUGAAUUAGAUGGAUGAUAAGCUAGCUAGAGGCUCUUUCUCCACACAUGACAUGUAUGCAAACGAAUUAAUAUCCAGUUACUCCUUCAUUGAAUGAUGAACGACAAUGGCCUAAAUUAACCGUUACAUCACUAGUUAACCCUCAGAUUUUCCUUGUGUUAUUGGAUUGGAUGACAUCAUUCAACCCAAAACAUUCUUCAAAAGUUCCCUACAUGACAUCAUAAUAGAGAUACAAUCAAAGAUCAUUACGUUCAAUGAAAAUCAUAAGCAUUGACAAAGCACUUGCAACUAUGACAUCAUGUCACUCAUGCUAGGAAUUAAACCUAACACGAUCGUGACCAGCGACCUUCACUACAUAUGAAUAUAAGUUUGUAACGAUUAUGUGAAACUUCCUUAUACUCUAGCAUCAAAUUUAUGCAUGCUAAUUAAGUGUCGACCCUUAAUUAACUAACACAAAUAAGUUAUCAAUCAAAAAGUUAAGCCAAUUGCAUUCAUGAUUCAAGGAUUCAUAACUGGAAUUUAUCAACUCAUAUUGCACACAUAAUCAUGGCUUUGAAAUCACCCCUAGCCAAUAGGGGUUUAGCCACUCAUGUUUACAGCAAAAUGAAAGGAAAAGAAAUUAAACAUUGUAAAUAUAGAACGAAUUACACCUAGAAUGCUCCAACAAUCAAGCUUGAACAUCUAAGAGUCCUUCAUUCUUUCUUCUUGCUGCGGCACAAAGGUGGAUGGGGUGUAUGUGAUGUGUUUAGGGGUUAGAGAUUAUGAAUGGGCUAGGGCAAGAAUGAUUGUGUAUGGUUCUUUUUGUGUAUGGGUGCGGCUAGAUGUAUAGAAUGGUGAAUGGUUGAAGGAUGCAACUAAGGAUGGUAUAAAAAGGCUCUCUCCUCGGCUAGGGUUCAGAAAAGGGUUUUAAAUACUUAACUAAAUUGUCCCACAAUUGAAUACGUAAGCAAGAAUUAGAAAUUAAAGAGAAUUAAGUAACAAAGAUGCGGCACAAUAUAGGAAAGGUAUUUAAGGUCAGAAUUUAAGAGAGAAAAUGGGAGGAAGGUGUGGCUGUCUUUAAAUUGAAAAGGGAAUGUGAUCUUUGUUCAGAAUUAGGCAAGGAGAGGAUCCCUUGUGCAGCAAGAAAAGGAAAAGACCUAGAGUUGUGCGGCUUGGACUUUAGGGAAGGUUUAGGGCUUUUAGAAUAUGUAAUUAAGUGUCCUAACAUAUUUUGGAAUCCUUUUGUGGCUGGAACAUAGGUGAGGAAGGAUUAGGAAACUUCCAAGUCAAGAAUAGAAACUUUCAAGAAUGGAAACCUCCAAGAAUAGAAACUUCCAACUUUAGACACUUUGGCUUCCAAUUCUGAACUCUUUGUUCUUCAUUUGCAUUUCUUCAUUUCUUUCAUCUCAUUAUUCAUUCCUGGCCUCCUUUGAUAUUUAAUUUCGUCUAUCUCCCUUGCUCCAUUCAUAAGCUAUCCAUUCUAUGCUCGAAACUGCUCCAAAAAGCUUCAAAAUGCACUUCUUUGCCUCGUUAACCCUUUGGACCUACAAACACACGGAAAUGGCUUGAAAUACUAAUUUAACUAAGAAAUAACAACCUAAAUGCACAAGAACAAGCUAACUAUGUCGUAUAAAUAUGCUCCUAUCAGCAAUGUUUCUUUGUCUCCUAAAUAAACGUACUUCAAAUGACUUGGCAAUGGUUUAAGUUCAAGAAUUGGGGUCUGAAUCACUGAAGGUAACAACUUAUUAGUAGAAACGGGAAUUGAAAUUAGGAUUGGAGGCUUACCAACAUGUUGCGGCAAUGAUUCAAGGGCUGCAACCAUCUCGGCCUCUUCUUCACAUUUAGGCACGGCAAGGAUCUCCCUAUCCAUGCCGUAAGUGUGCUUGACUUCUGCUCCUUCACUUUUGAGUCUAAUUUCCAUGUGCAAUUGUUGUUUCAAAGGGAUCUUUGUCCAAUGAAUCAAGAUAGUCUUGCGCCAAUGAAUCAAACACAUCAAUAGAAAAACAAGAAUGAUCAUCUUUAGGAAAUUUAAUAGCUUCAGAAAUAUUGAAAUCAAUAAUCUCCCCAUCAAAUUCCAUCGUUAAAGUCCCUUUGAACACAUCGAUCUUUGUGGUGGCUGUUUUCAUGAAAGGUCUCCCAAGAAGGAUCGGCAAUGGGGUAGAAUGGGCUGAAUCUUCCAUGUCAAGCACGUAAAAGUCCGCUGGAAAUAUCAAAUUGUUAACCUGGACCAAAAUCUUCCAAAACUCCUUUCGGAUAUGCAUUAGAACGAUCGGCCAAUUGAAUAAUCACACCAUCAUUUUUAAGCUCUCCUAAGUUCAUAGAUGCAUAAAUUGAAUAAGGCAUGACAUUAAUUGAAGCUCCUAGGUCUAACAUAUCAUGCUCAAGCUUAGUAUUUCCAAUAAUGCAAGGAAUUGUAAAACUACCCGAAUCUUUGCAUUUAGGUGGUAGUUUCCUUUCUAACACCGCAUAAACAUUCUCACUUACCUGGAUCACUUCUUUAUUCGAAAUCCUCUUCCUCGUUGUGCAAAGCUCUUUCAAGAAUUUGGCAUACUUAGGAACUUGCUUGAUUGCAUCAAGGAGCGAGAUAUUAACUUAAACUUUCCUAAAGGUUUCCAGAAUGUCUUUCUCGUUCUCUUCUUUCUUUGACUGCUUCAACCUACUAGGAAAUGGCACAUUUAGUGCAAUAGAACUAGAAGAACAUGAAUUUGGGCUUUACCUUGAUGGGUUGGGACGGUUUAGAGGCUUUAGGGGGCUACAGCAAGGUUGAUUCCUCCCUUGCCGUGGCUUUUAUUUCCUGUUCUUUUUCUUGUAAUAGCUUUUCCUCCUUGUUAAGGCCUUGUUUGGAUGGUUUUUGAUGGUCUCUAAGCUCCUUGCCACUUCUCAACGUAAUGGCCUUGGCGGUUUCAAAGCCUCAUUUCGAAUUGACAAUGGUUGAACUACGAAGUUUGCCUUGUUUUCGAAACUGCCCAAGGAAUUAUGAAAUCUGCCCUAUUUGCUUCUUUAUGUCAUCAUCUCCUUGUCUUGAUAUGCUAUUUGAUUAUUUUGAUUUUGUAAUCCCUGCGAUAAAGAAGUUAGUAAUUGAAUAGCUUGAUCAUUAUCAAAUAAUGAACUUAAGUUUUGUUGGGCAGAUUGUGAUUGAGGUUGAUAUUGUGCGAAUGGCCUUUGAUAUAUCUCAGGGGGUGGCUGUCGAAAUCCCCUUGUUGUUGAUGUUGUUGAGGCUCCCUCCACUUAAAGUUUGGGUGAUCUCUCCAUCCUGGAUUGUAUGUAUUCGAGUAUGGAUCAUUCCUUUGCUGAUUUUGGCCUUGAUAACCUAUGGCAUUGGCACUUUCCCAUCCUCCAUUCUCUAUUAAUUGGGGACAUUGAUCAUUGAGGUGCCCUUGCAUAGAACACACACCACACACACUUGGUGUAUUUCCUUGCACUUUCGAUCCUUCAACAAAUUGUGACAACAUAACAGUGAGAUUAGCCAUUUGAGAUUGAAGUUCUGAAAUUGCACUUACCUCAUUCACUUGCUGCCGUGGGAUGCCUCUUUGUCCAACACUUUCGUAUUGUUAUGCAUUCAAGGCUUGGUUUACAAUUAAGAUCUUGGUCGUCAUCGGUGUUUUGUCAACCAAAGCACCCCCUGCCGAGGCAUCUAACAUUUGCCUCUUAAUUGGAAGGAGUCCUUAAUAGAAAUAUUGCAGCAAAAGUUCUUCCUUCAUUUGAUGUUGAGGGCACGAGGCAACUAAAGCCUUGAAACGGUCAUAAUAUGCUGGAAAGGAUUCGCCUUGGUUUUGUUGAAUGCCACUAAUCUUCUUCCUCAAAAGAAUAACUUUUGAAGUUGGGAAGAAUUUUUCUAAGAACGUUCUCUUCAUGCUUUCCCAAGAAGUGACGGUUCCAAGUGCUAAUUCUUAGAGCCAAUUUUUAGCCUUGUCCAUAAGAGAGAAUGGAAAGGCCUUUAUCUUCAGAAUGUUCCCAUCAACAUUGAUGGGUGUCAUGCUCGAACAUACCACUUCAAACUCCUUAAGAUGCUCAUUUGGAUCUUCCAUAGACAGCCCAUGGUAUUUGGGGAUGUGAUACAACAAGCUCGACUUCAAUUUGAACUCAUCGGUCUUUCCUUGGGCAGCCAUGGGGUAUUGAAUGCAAAGGGGCACGUCAUUGUCCAACCCUGAGGCUGAAAGUUCUUUGAUCGUACGAUUAUCCGCUGCUAUAACUUGUUCUUCUUCUUCUUCUUCCUCAAAUUCAGAUUCAGCCUCUGAACUUGAACUAGGUGGAUUAGGUUCUGGUUGCUUCCACUUUCUUCUCAAAGUUCGUUCAAAACCAAAUUAUCCUUCUCAAGUCCCCUAACUAUGAAAAGCAUGAUAGAAAACAUAUCAAAGGUCCUUAAGUUCUUUGAAAAUCAUAAGCAUUGACGAGGCAUUUGUAACUAUGAAAAGCAUGAUACUCCUGCCGAGGAUUUACUUAACGCAAUCAUGACUAGUGACUUCCACUACUUGUGAAUAUAAGUUCAAAAUGAUAAGGUGAAACUCCCUUAUCAAGUUUAUGCAUGCAAACUAAGUAUCGACCCUUAAUUAACAAACACAAACAUGUUUUAAUAACUCAGAUAAGCAAAUCACAUUCAAAACUCAAGAAACAAUAACUGGAUGUAAUCAAUUCAUAUAAAGCAUAUAAUCAUGGCUUUGAAUUCACCUCCAACUAUAAAGAAAUUAGUUCCACAUGUCUUUAAAAACUGAAGAUAACAUUAAUUUAGAUAUUGAAAAUAAAAGAUAGAAAAAACCUAAGAAAGCUCCAACAAUCCUAUGUUGAAUGACAAUGCACGGCAAGGGCUCAUUCUCUCUCAAUUGUAUCUGAAUAUGUGGGUGUGUGGUGUAGGAAAAUAUGGUAGAGGGUGGUGAUUUGAAUUGUGACAAAAAGGAUGUAUUUAUAGGCUAUAACCCAUGACACAAUCCUAAGGAUUAGGAUAGGUUCCUGAAAUCAAAGUGGGACAAGGUUUAUAUAACCAAAACCCAAGUGGAAUUGGUUAAAACAAUUAGAAAUAAAAGGGGAGUAGGUUAGAAAGGUGCGGCACCUAUUCCUAAAAGGAAAAGGAUAAAUUUAGCCUAAUUCAAGAGGGAAAAGGAUUAGGGUUGCAGGUUCUAGGGCUUGUAGAAGAGCUUAAAGGAUGCAGCACCAAAAUAGGGGUUCUAGAAGGAAUGAGGCGCCACUUUUGUAGGAGAUGAGAUAAGGCUUCUAGAAUCAUAUUUUUAUGUGUCCAAGUUUGAAAAUAAUAUCCCUUGCAGCUGGAAUUAAGGUAGGAUAUGAUUAUGAUAAGAUAAGAUAAGAUAAGGCUUAUUUGGAUAAGAUAAGGUAGUUUAGAUAAUGUUUUGGAUAAUAUUCCUUCUUUUGAGCUGAUUCCUUAUCUUCUUUGUCUUGGAUUUAUUUUCUUCAUCUUUUCAGCACAUUCCUAGCAUCUUGAACUUCAAAUUCGUCCAUCCAUCUUGCUCCAUUCAUAAGCUAUCCAUUUGGGGCCCAAAACUGCUUUAAAAUGCUUCAAUUUGCACUUUCUUGCCAACUUUGUCAUUUGGACCUACAAACACACGAAAAUAGCUUAAAACACUAAAAUAAGCACAAACUAAUUAUGCAAAUGCAAGAAACAAGCUAACUAAGUCGCAUAAAUAUGCUCCUAUCAAUUUGAUUACAUACAAGCAUGAUUCCGCGUUUAAUUGUUAAUUGCAUGUGUAGUUGUUAAACUCAAAUGAACUUAAUAAAAUCAAAAUUUUCCUUCAUAAUCUUAACCUUGGAACCCCAAGUUAAGAUUAAGGGGGAGUAAUAACAGAGAUGACAUGCGUCAAAUGUGGAAGCAGCAAAAUCUCAUUAGUGUAGAGGUUGCUUAAAAGUUAAGCUGGAUAGUUACUUACUAGUUAAGGAACUGUGGUAUAACUAUGUAUAGUAACUUGUAUUGUUUUAUUACAACUAAUGAGAAUCAGAACCUUUCAUACAAAUCCCUAUCUUCUUCUUCAUUCUACUACUUCAUGAUUGACAUUCACAUGUUCUGAAACCCUAGAUUCCUUGAUUGUUCAAAGAGUCGUUCUCCCCCUUUGAGAUUGUCAUGUAAAAAGCUCAUAGGAUUGUUGGAGAUAUGCCCUGAAAGUCAACCUUUGGAAGAAACCUUUCAGGACAAUGUCUAUAUGUAUGGAUAAACUCUAAUACAUCAAAAGGCAAAGUCACUCAUUAGGACUAUCUCAAUAAACGAUAUACGUCCUAAAGAGUGAAUCCAUGGACAAUGGAUCAAUGGAAGAAGUAAUCUAAUGAUGUUAGACUGCAGAGACCUUCUUCACAUAACCAUGAUGUCCAAAAAGGUUCCUGGUCAUAGGAUUGUCGGAGGGACACUGACAAUACAUAGACCAGUACACACUAUGUCCCCUUCCAAUGGGAAUGAUGGAAAGUAUCAUGCCAUUCGUGUAGUGACACUAAGACAAGUAUGUAGGUGCUCAUUAUGGGAAUGAGUUCACUGAACACAAUUAAACGAGAGUACUUGCAUGGAGGUCUACUCACAUGUCAAGCAAGUGACUCUGCUGGUUGGAAUAAUGUAACUAAUCCUUUAACCUGAGACAUCAUAGUUAUCUUGGGGAUACGUUGCUGAUCAUUUGAUAAUGAGACGUGACCACAUCUCAUCUUGGAUGUGUUCUAUGCAUUGUUGGGGUCAGUGAUUUAUUCUCAGAGGCAUGUGAAUGAUCAACAAGGGAUCUCUAAUCCUCGUUAUGAGAGGAUGAAUACUCUAAGAUAUGAUUCAGGAAUCUUCGCCCGAAGUAUCGAUCGUAAUGAAGGAAAGCGUUCCUAUACGACUCAAUAGAAUCAUAUAACUUAAUAUAAUCACAUUAGGGGUUUGACAUUAAAUAUCCAUACCCUAGUAAUGUGAUUGUGAGUAUUGUAUUAGAGAAGGAUCGAAUUACAUUGUAAUUCCAACUGAAUAGGUUCUCCGAACAAAUUCUACAUUAGCUUGGGUAGCCAUGAUAUAUGGUUAGAUGUCACUCAUGGCUUGUGGGUUCUUCUAGAUGAUUAAAUAAGUAGUCAUCAAAGAAGAAGGAGAAUUGAAAGUAAGUUUUAAUUCACUAAGUGAUUAGAUUAAUACAAAUCAAUUGGAUUGGUGCCAAUCACCUCACUGCCUUGCUAAUUAAAACCUAAAAUGACUGUACACCGAAACACUUUUGUAGUGAGACAACUAAAGGAUGAUGGAAUAAAUUAAUUGGAUUAAUUAAGUGUUAUGAUUAAUUAGAAAGUCUAAAGAAAUCAUAAAAGCGAUGAAAGAUCGUUUUGGACUUAAAGAAAAGUUCGGGUUCAUUUGGGCCCAUUAAGUCCAAACCCAUUGGGCUUUUAUUUAAGCAUAGGAUGACUUGAAAUGAUAAAAGCCCAAAGCCCAAACAACACAAAAGGGGCCGGCCAUUGAAGAGAGAAAGAGUCAAGUUGUUGACUCACUUCUUAGACAUUUAUAAAGGAAGUUUAGUGAAAUAGUUUCAUUAGGGUUUUGUGUGUUCUUUUCACAAAAGAAGAAAAACAUCUCUCUCUCUCUACACUCACACAAAGCCGGCCACCAAAGGGGAUUUAGCUAAUCAUCUUCUCUCCCUUUGGUUAUUCCAUUAUCCAUCUCACUACAUUAGUGGGUGUGGAUCUUUAGAGGUCUUCUACUUUGGAGACUAAAGGAGAAAAGAGCUCUAAAUCUUUCAAGGUGGAGGAAGCUAGGAGGGAGGCUAAACUCAAGUAGUUAUAAGAACAAAGAGCUUGGAGGUGGUCCAUCCUUGGUCUCAAGUCUAGAUCAAGAGGUAUAAAACUAUACAUUCACUUUGUUCUUCAAUAUUUUCUUAGAUGCAUCAUAUAUGAACCUAUGCUUCUUGAAGGGGAUUUGCAUGACUAUAGCUUUGAUAUUAUGGGAUAACAUGCUUCCGUUGCAAAUGUAUAUAAAUUUUGAAUUGUAUAUGCAUGCUAGUCACUAGAAAUCCCACAUAAAUCUCAGUGUUUCCCUUCAAGGAUUCAACCUUCAUAGGGUUAUGUGGUAAGUGGUUAAUUAACUUGUACGUUUAGGCUUGAAUUAAAUCCUUACGGGCGAUAGGAGCAUAUUUAUGCGAUUUAUUAGCUUGUUCUUGUUCAUUUAUGUUGUUAUUUCUUAGUUGAUUUAGUAUUUCAAGCCAUUUUCGUGUGGUUGUAGGUACAAAGGGUUAAAGAGGCAAAGAAGUGCAUUUUGGUGCCUUUUGGAGCAGUUUUGGGCAUGGAAUGGAUAUCACAUGCAUGGAGCAAAGUGGUUGGACGAAAUUAAAGAUCUAAAUAAUCUAGGAAUGUGCCAAGGAAAGGAAGAAAAUAAAUUGAGGACCAAGGAAGACAAGGAAACCAUUAAGAAUGAGGAAAGACUAGUCAAACUUGCCUUAUCUUGUCGUUACCUUUCCUAAUCCUAAAUUACCAAAGAUUUAGUCACACGAAGGGUUCCUAAAUACUUUGGGACAUUUCAUUACAUAUUCUACAAGUCCUAAACCUGCCCUAAAAGUCCAAGCCAUACCAUCCUUCACCAUUUCUCUUCAUUGCCGUGCAAGGGAGCCAUUCUUUUCCUAUUUUCUGCCAUAAAUCACUCCAUGCCGUGCACAUUCAUCCAUGUUCCCACCUUGAUCUCAUUUGCUGCACCAUUCCACUUCCUUUCCUUUGUCUACCAUGUGCACAAUAUCCUUUCGCCUCCUUGCACUCAUUGAGUCACCACUUACUCACCUUUCCAUCCAGACCAUGCAUAAUCACCCUUGUCCCCUUCAUGCACAAGAUUUAUUGCACUCAUUUCAUGCACCAUUACACUCAUUAUCCACCCAUGCCGUGCACCACCCUUGUCUCCUUCAUUAUUUAUGAUUUCAUGCAUUAAAACCUUGAAUCAUUGCACUCAAUUGCUGCACAUUUUUUGUCCCCUUCACCCAUCAGAUUUCAUACAACUUUUACCUCCACCACAUGCACUCAUUGAUGUACCAUCUGAAGGGAAAUCUAUGAGAUUCAUGUAUGGGAUUUCUAAAUGACUAUCAUGCAUAUCCAAAACAAUUAUGAUAUACGAAAGCAGCGGAAGCAUUUAUAACAUAUUAUCAAAGCUAUAAUCAUGCAAAUCCCCUUCAAGGUUCAUAGGUUUAUAUAUAAUGCAUCAAAACAAAUUAUAGAAUCAAGAACAAAGUGAAGGUUAGUCUUAUACCUCUUGAUCUAGACUUGAGACCAAGGAUGGACCACCUCCAAGCCCUUUGCUCCUUGAAAUCCUUGAGCCUAGCUUCCCUCCUUGCCUCCUCCACUUUGAAAGAAUGAGUGCUCCUAGGUUCUCUUCAAGUUUCCAAAGUAGUAGGAAACCUCUAAAGAUCCUCACCCACACUAGUGUAGUGAGAAGGAUGAAGGAAUAACCAAAAGGGUGAAAGAUUGUUAGCUAAAACACCCCAAUGGUGGCCGGCCCUUUGAUGUGUUAGAGAGCUUUUUUCUUUUGCCUCUUUGUUGUUUAAACACUUCAAAAAACCCCUAAUGAACUUUAUCACUAUAAAGUUCCUUAUAUAGACAAAAGAAAACCUAGUCAACACUUGACUAAAUAUCUCUCCUUCCCCACAUAAUAUGGCCGGCCCUCUUUGUGUUGUUUGGGCUUUGGGCUUUCAUUUAUUUCAAGUCAUCCAAUGCUUGAAUAAAAGCCCAAUGGGUUUAGGCCCAAUGGGCCCAAUUAAACCCGAACGUUUCUUUAAGCCCAAAACGAUCUUUAUCGCUUUUAUGAUUUCUUUAGACUUUUCUAAAUUAAUCAUAACACAUAAUUAAUCCAAUUAAUUGUUUCCAUCAUCCAUUAGUUACUCACCACAAUAAUGUUUUGGUGAACAAUCUUUUAGGUUCUAAUUAGCAAGGCAGUGAGGUGAUUGGCAUCAAUCCAAUUGCUUAUAUUUAAUUCAAUCACUUAGUGAAUUAAAACUUCAUUUUAAUUCAAUCACUUAGUGAAUUAAAACUUCAUUUUAAUUCACCUUUCUUCUUUGACGACUACAUUUAAUCAUCUAGAAGAACUCACAAGCUAUGAGUGACAUCUAACCAUAUGUGAUAGCUACCCAAGCUAAUGUAGAAGUUUAUUCGAAGAACCUAGUCAGUUGGAAUUACAAUGUAAUUCAAUCCUUCUCUAAUACAAUACUCUCAAUCACAUCAUUAGGGUAUGGAUAUCAUGUCAAACCCCUAAUGUGAUUAUUCCUUCAUAUAUGAUUCAUUUGAGUCGUAUAGGAACGCUUUCCAUUCAAUACGCUCGAUACUUCGGCCGAAGAUUCCCGAAUCAUAUCUUAGAGUAUUCUUCCUCUCUUAUCGAGGAUUAGAGAUUCCUUGUUGCGCAUACACUUGCCUUCAUGACUAAGUGGCUUAACCCCAAUUAUGCCGUGGACACCCUCGAAUGGGGAGACUUUGACAUAAUCAAAGAUUAAGUACUUAACCACAAGACAACGACGAUGCCUCAGGUCUAACGAUUACUUACAUCUUUCCAACCAUUAGAGUUACUUGCUUGACAUGUGAGUAGACCUCCAUGCAAGUACUCUCGUUCGUUUGUGUUCAGUGAACUCAUUCUCCUAAUGAGCACCUACAUACUUGUCUUAGUGUCACAACACGAAUGGGAUGAGACUUUCCAUCCUUCCAAUUGAAGCAGACACAGUAUGUACCAGUCUACGCAUUGUCAGUAUCCCUCCGACAAUCCAACGACCAGGAACCUUUUGGACAUUUGGUUAUGUGAAGAAGGUCUCUGUAGUCUAACAUCAGUAGAUUACUUCUUCAAUCGAUCCAAUGUCCAUGGAUACACUAUUUAGGACAUAUUUCGUUUAUUGAGAUAGUCCUAAUUCGUGUCUUUGCCAUUUGAUGUAUAAGAAUCAUCCAUACAUCGAUUCAUUUGUCCUGAAAGGUUUCUUCCAAAGAUUGACUUUCAGGGCAUAUUUCCAACACCAUCCACCACAUUUGGAAUCUCAUGCCAUGCAUCAUGAGUCUUGCUGCACCUUUGACUCAUUUCUGCACCAUUCCACCUCCAUUUCCUUUCUCCACCAUGUGCACAAUCAUUCAUGUUCCCCACUUGCAUUCAUAGCUGCAAAACCACUCCAUUUUACCCCUCAUGCUUUGCAUCAUCACUUCACUUUCACCUUUGAAUCAUUUCAACACCACUCCAUGCACUCAUUGCUGCAACACCACUCCAUUUUACCCCUCAUGCUUUGCAUCAUUACUUCAUUUUCACCCUUGAAUCAUUGCACACAUCACCAUUUUUUCCCUCAUUGCCGUGCAGUUCCUCUAUAAAGGAAGUGUGUGUGGCAGCCAUAUAGUUUAGUUUUUGCUUGAUCAUUCAUCCCCAUUUCAAUAUAACCUUCAUCCAAACACAUCAAUUCAUCUUUACAUCCAUUCCUCCAUACAAACAAACCUUCAAACACUCACCAACACCUUGUGCCGUAGCAAAGGAAGGGACGGAAAGUGCUUGGACGUGCUUGCUGUCCAACUUGGAUUGUUGGAGCGUUUAGGUGUUUUCUUUCUUUUGUUUCCAAUGUUUAAAUUCAUUUUCUUUCAUUUUGUUGUGAAUAUGAGUGGCUAAACCCCUCUUAGCUAGGGAUGAUUUCAAAGCCAUGAUUAUAUGUGUAAUAUGAUUUGAUAAAUUCCAGUUAUGAACUCUUGAAUCGUGAAUGCAAUUGGCUUAACUAUUUGAUUGAUAACUUAUUUGUAUUUGUUGAUUAAGCAUCGACACUUAAUUGGCAUGCAUAAAUCUGAUGCUAGAAUAUAAGAAAGUUUCACAUAAUCGUUACAAACUUAUAUUCAUAAGUAGUGGAGGUCACUUAUAAACGAUCGCAUUAAGUUUAAUUCUAGCAUGAGUGACAUGAUGUCAUAGUUGCAAGUGCUUUGUCAAUGCUUAUGAUUUUCAUUAAACGUAAUGAUCUUUGAUUGUAUCUCUAUUAUGAUGUUUGAUAGGAGCAUAUUUAUGCGCCUUAGUUAGCUAGUUCUUAUGCAUUUAUGUUAUGUUUUCUUAGUUAAGUUAGUGUUUUAAGCUAUUUUCAUGUGUUUUCAGGUUUUAGAGACAAAGUGAGCAAAAGGAUGCAAUUUGGAGCAUUUUGGAGCAAAAUUGGGCUAGAAUGAAGUUCAUGCACAUGAAGCACAAGGGAUGGACGAAUUUGAGGAAUUGAUGAAGCUAGGAAGGCGUGUCAAAGUUGAAGAAUUGAAGAAAUAAAGUUUCCUAGUUGAAGAAGGAAAUGGCUUGAAUGAAGGAUUCCUAAAUGAAGAAGGAUUCCUAAUCAAUGUAGGAGUCCUAAUUGAAGAUGGAUUCCUAGACAAAUGAAGUUUCCUACUCAAGUAAGGUUUCCUAUGUGAAGAAGAAGAGUAAAGUCAAAGAAUCAGCUCAAGAGAAGGAUCUUAUCCAAAACCUCAUCCAUAACCUUAUCUUAGCUUAUCUUAUCCAAUCAAACCUUAUCCUAUCCUAUCUUAUCCUUAUCCUAAACUAUCCACAUUUCAGCCACUUAGGAGGGUUUCUAAUUAGAUUAGGAUGCUUAAAAUGGGAUUUCUAGAAGCCUUAUCCCUUCCUAGACAAGUGCCGCACCCUAUACCUUAUUUCCCUUGGAAUUUUAGAUUUCUAGAAGCCUUAUCAUCCCCUAUCUUUGUGCCGCACCUUAUCUCCCAAUCCCUUUGGGUUUUUGACUUGUUUUCCUUAUAGGAUUGUAUGUUAUUAUCCUAUGCAGAUUAGGCCUUUAAAACCUUGUCCUUGGCUACCUAGGAGAGGGGAUUUUCAGCCUAUAAAUACAAGGCCUUGCCGCACCCUUUCAUUCAUGAUCCUCUACCAUAUUUUCACUACACCAUUCACUCAACAUACCUCAUUGUGCCGUGAGUUUGCAAGGAGAAGAAGGAAGAAUUCUUGGAGCCGUGCAUGCCAUUCAAGGAGCUUGGAUCGUGGAGCGAUUCUAGGUGUUUUCUAUCUUUGUUUCAAUGUUUAAAUUUAUUUAUCUUUGUUUAUUUGCGAACAUGAGGAACUAAUUUCUUUAUAGUUAGAUGGGAAUUCAAAGCCAUGAUCAUAUGUUUUAUAUGACUUGAUUUCUUCCAAUUAUGAUUUCAUGAAUCGUGAAUGUGGUUUACUUAUCUAUUUAAUUGAUAACAUGUUUAUGUAUGUUAAUUAAGGAUGCAUACUUAGUUCGCAUGCAUGAAUUUGAUGCUAGAGUAUAAGGAAAUUUCACCUAAUCGUUAUUAACUUAUAUUCAUAAGUAGUAAAAGUCGCUAGUCACGAUUGUGUUAAGUAAAUCCUUGGCAAGAGUAACAUGCGUAUCCCAUAGUUAUGAAUGCCUCGUCAAUGCUUAUGAUUUCCAUUGAACUUAAUGAUCUUUGAUAUGUGUCUCUAUCAUGCGUAUUCCAUAGUUAGGGUCCUUGAUAAGAAUAAUUUGGUUGUAAUGCGUAUCCUAUUCAAUUCAAUGAAUCUAGGGAAAUCUGAGAAUUAAUUGGUCAAUCUAGUUAAUUUGGGGCAUUGUCAUUCAUGGUUUAUUGAAAGAGUAAUUGGAAAUCGAGUCGUAUGCAUAUGUUUCAUGUGUGGAGAAGGAACCCUCUAACUAGCCUUUCCCCAUUCUAUUUCAUCAAAAUCGUUUUCAUUAAAGUUUGUUUUCAAAGUUCUUGUUUUAAAAGUUAAAUUCGUCCAAAAUCAAUCCCCCUUUACUUGGUUGAGUCAUAGUAGUUAGAAUCAUUGUAGUUUGUGUUUUUAAGUGUCUUAGGUCAAGUGAAAACCAAUUUUCGUCCAAGUUUGUGUCUAGUGUUCAAAACUGCCCAGAUUGUGGUUUUAAGGCAGUUUUGAGUGUUUCUGGGCUGUUUUGAGUCUUUUGGUUUGUUUUGGUGUUUUAAAGUUUAGUUUUGCAUUCUUUGAGUCUAGUUUAGUGUUUUAAACUUGUUUUACGUAUUUGAGUCAGUUUUCAAGUGAUUUUGCAAUCCCUCCUAAUCCCCGGUUUAGAACGAUCCCUACUUACAUACUUUGCUACAAUUGAUAAAAAGAGGGUUAAUUUGUGUGUCAACAUAAUUUUCACAUCAAUGUUAUGUAGAGAACUUUUGAAGAAUGUUUUGGGUUGUCGAAUGAUGUCAUCCAAUCCAAUAAAACAAGGAAAAUCUGAGGGUUAACUAGUGAUGUCCAAUUAAUUUGGAGCAUUGUCGUUCAUAAUUCAAUGAAGUAGUAACUGGAAAUUGAAUUAUUUGUGUACAUGUCAUGUGUGGAGAGAAAGCCUCUAGCUAUCCCAUCCAUCACCUUAUUUCUCACAUUCGUUUUACAAUCUGUCUAGAUUUUCAUACUUGUUUGUUUGUUACAACUUCAUCCAAAUCAAAACCCCCAUUUUAGUUUUUGUUUCAAGUGUUUCAAAUCUUUUUAGUUAUUGUUUUCAAGUGUUUUGAUUAAAGUAAAAGUCCAUUUUCGUCCAAAGUCAUUCCUAGUAUCUAGUUUAAGUUUAUUUGGUUGUUUUGAGCUGUUUUGAGUAUUUUAAGUUUACUUUGAGUCUUGUGGAUCUUGUUAAGUGUUUUUAAGUUUAGUUUUAUGUUUUUGAGUUAGUUUAGAGGUUAUUAGCAAGCCCUCCUAAUCCCCGGUCCCAAAACGACCCCUACUUAUACUUAUACUACAAUUGUCAAAAGAGGGUUAAAUUUGUGUGUUAAGUUAAUUUUCGCAUCAAGUUUUUGGUGCCGUUGCUAGGGAUUAGCAUUGCUAAUCCCUUGUUAUUUCUUUUUGUUUAUUUUCAUGUGUUUUUGUUCCUAAUUGCUGAUUUUACUUGUUUUCUUGUUUUAGGUGGUUUAUGACUCGAAGUUCUUAACCUGUUCAUAAGCACAUCUUUGACUUUGACGACGAUUUUGAACGAACUUUGAGAUGAGCAAGGAAUCAACAAGAACCCCAACCAUCUCAACCUGCACCAGAUCUUGAAGAAGACAAAGUAGAAGAGCAAGAGGACCUCAUGGCAAGGACUUUUGAAGAAGUCCAAGAUAUGGCAGUAGACAAUCGAACAAUCAAGGAGCUUUCCGCUUUGGGAUUGGACAAUGCUUUGCCUUUAUGCAUUCAAUAUCCAAGGGCGGCCCAAAACAAGAUCGACGAGUUCGAAUUAAAGUCUAGUUUAUUGCACCAUAUUCCUAAGUUUCAUGGGUUGUCCAUGGAAGAUCCUAAUAAACAUUUGAAGGAGUUCGAGGUUGUUUGUUCAAGCAUGACCCCUGUGAAUGUUGAUGGGAGCAUUCUGAAAAUGAGGGUUUUUCCCUUUUCUCUCUUGAAAAAGGCUAAAGAUUGGUUGUAUGAGCUAGCCCCCGGAACUGUCACAUCAUGGGAGAGUAUGAAAUGGGCAUUUUUGGAGAAGUUUUUCCUAACUUUUCGAGUCAUUCUACUAUGCAAAAGGAUUAGUGGCAUUCAGCAAAACCAAGGUGAAUCCUUUCCCACUUACUAUGAGCGUUUUAAAACCCUUAUUGCUUCAUGUCUACAACACCAGAUGAAGGAGGAGUUUCUUCUUCAAUAUUUCUAUGAAAGGCUUCUACCAAUUGAACACCAAAUGCUAGACGCCUUAGCGGGAUGAGCUUUGGUGGACAAAACACCCAUGGCUGCCAAGACCUUAAUUGCUAACCGAGCAUUGAAUGCUCAACAAUAUGAAGGUGUUGGUCAAAGAGACAACCCACGACAGCAACAAGUUAAUGAGGUAAGUGUUAUUUCCGAACUUCAAAAUCAAAUGGCUAAUCUUACUACUCUUCUUUCACAGGUGGUUGAAAACCAAAAGAACAAAGUGUAGCUGCGUGUGGCGUGUGCUCAAUGAAUGGACAUUUCACGGAUAAGUGAAGGAUUUAUUUUGAAAAACAUGUUCAUUUGAGCAACAUCAUAUAGCAUGCAAUUAACAAUUAAAGGCGGAAUCAUGCUUGCAUGCACUCAAAAACAAAACAUUACCAUGAAAUUCAAAGCCUAGUAGAUUGGUGAACCAUUAAUCAACUCAAAACAAAGUGAGUUGAAAUUAUUACCUUUGUAGAUUCCUCUUUGCAUAAGCAAAGGCUAAUCACCCAAAGAGAUAGGGCCUUCAUUCCUUGCUUCUUAGAUCCAUGGAUUUGGAUGGAAAAAUAGGUUUCUCCAAGUUCCCAAAAUAGGGAACCUCUAAGUCUCUUCACCAAGGUUUGAUUGUAGAAGAAAUGAGUGACCUUGGAGUAGUAGGAUUGCUAGAUGUACCCUCCAAGGUGUUGGCCUCUUUAGAGAGAAAAUGGAGAGACAAUUCUCACCAAUUUUCCCCCAAAAUUAAACCCUUAAUCACUUAAUGAAUAUUUAGUUAUAAAGUCAUUUAUAUAGUCACUUCUUUAAGUGACCUAAAUAACCAAAACCCUAAUUCAUCACACUAUGGCUUGCCAUUUAGGGGAUUUUUGGGCUUUUGGGCUUUAAUGAAUCUUCAUUCAUUAAAUUGUCAUACAACUUAAGUUAAUGGGCUUGACGUUCGAAGCCCAUUGGGCCUUAAGGUCCAAAACUAUCCCGAAGUCUUUAACGAACUUAUUCGUUUGAUUAAUUAACAUAUUAAUUAAUCCUUGCCAUAAAUAAAUGAUUAAACCAUUUAAUCAUUCUUACUCAUUUCCGUUUAAUCUUCAAUCUCCACCUUUUAUGGUGUGCGAUCCAUUAGGUUCCUUUUAGCGAGGUAGUGGGCGAUUAAAAACCAUUUUACAUCGAUUGUGAAUUGAAACUAUUUUCAAUUCUCCCUUUAGUGAUUACACACGUUUAGGGCUUCCACAAACCAUGAGUGACACCUAGCAGCAUAUCAUGGUUACCCAAGCUAAUCAGAAGAGGAUAGAGAACCUAUUCAGUUUGGGAUUACAAAUGCAAUACGGUCAUUCUCUAAUCUAAUACUCUUGACCACAUUGUUUGGUAUGAUAGUUUAUUUAUUCAUGUCUACUAUCCAAUGUGAUUCGUGUGCUUAUAUGAUUUCCUUGAAUGUGAUUUGGAACGCAUUCCCUAAUCUCAUUCAUACUCUGGCCAGAGAUUCCAAAUCAUAUCAUAGAGUAUUCUCCCCUCAACUGUUUGAAGGUUUAGAGAUCCCUUGUUGCGCAUUCACUUGUCUCCAUAGCUAAGUGGCUUAACCCCAACGAUGCCGUGGACACCCCGAGGGGGUGACUUUGACAUAAUCAAAGAUCAAGGACUUAACCACAAGACAACUGUGAUGCCUCAGGUCAAAGGACUACUUUGCAUUAUCCCAACCAUGAGUUCUCAUGUGACAUGGAAUAUAAGAACUCUUCGUUGAUCACGUUCAGUGAACUCAUUCUCUAUUGAGCACCUACGUACUUGUCUUGAUGUCACACACACCAAUGACUCGAGACUAAUCACUCAUGUGACAUAGUACGUACUGAUCUUAACGGACUGUCAACGCCCAAUUGACAAUCCUAUGAUCAGGAACGUUUAGGAUGUGUCUACGAAAGAAUGGUCUCAUGAAUCUAACUUCAUUAGAUUACAUUCUCCCAAUCACAUAUUCCUUGGACUUUAUCGUUUAAGCAUAUAACAUUUAUAUGAGACGGCUCAAACAAUAAUGUAUGCCCUUUAUAUGUAAAACUAGAUUAGUUUAACAUGUGAAAUGUCCGUAAAGUAUCAUCACAUGAUUGGCUUUAGGGCACAUUUCCAACAAUCUCCCACUUGCACUAGAGCCAAUCAGCUAGGUCAUCUUGAUGAUACCUCUUCUGUAGUCAUUUCAUAAAUGGCUGAAUAGUAGGCCUAGACAGUGGAUAUCUAUAUGUGUUAUCCACAGAAGCAACCUUGAGAAUAACGACGUCACCAUUAUACAUGAUUCUCUCAAUCAUGUGGUUUAGUCUCUCAUUUGUGUUCGGAUCUUGAUGAGACCUUGAUUCCCAGGCUUGAGCUAUCGCCCCAUUAGUGUCAUACACUUUCUGUUGGUUGGAAUCGAAUAGAGAGUUCAUAAAUGAACUUUCCCAUCCAAACAACAUUGUUGUAAACUUCUAUAUGGCAAUAUAUCUUGCAUUCCAUAAUGGAACACACUAAAGUCAUUACUUUAAUGUUUCCAUCCAAAUAUCUCUUUAGUCAUAAUAAAGAGAUAUUUGUUUAUAUCUCUUCAUUCAUAAUGAAGAAACAUCCAAUGAUGGAUCAGAUUCAUAAUCUAAUACAUUUACGCUUCCAUUACGUUACUCUAAUUCUUCCUCAUUCUUUGAGGAAUCUAUCUUUAAGUAUUUCUUAAAUACUUAAGGACUCACUUGACAGUUGCCACGGUUCUGAUCCUGGGCUUGCACUGAUAUCGUCUUGUACCGUUCUAGGUACAACUCAUAUCAAUGUUUUUCAUAUAAUAUGAAAUACAUAAAUCACCUUUCUGCUUAUGCAUAAAGGAUUCAAUUUACGCAUUAUUUCUAUGGGAGUCAAAGGGUACGUUCCCUUUGAGAAGGGCAACUUGCUAGUCUCACUAGAAUCGUCCUUCUUAUUGAAGUUUAUCAUCAUAUGAGAAACUUCCUAGCAUCCAUUGUCUAUUAUUAGGGAUUGAUAUAAUCCAAUUAUAUCAUGAAAUAUAUCAUUAUAGAUUUCCAUCCCAUGUACAUAGACUAUAUCUCCCAUAUACAUUCUAUCUUCAUAUAAUGUAUUAAAGUCAUAACUUUAACGAAGAAGUAUUAUUUUCAUUUCCAAAAUAAAUAUAUCAUAUAUAUUUAAAUUUUUAGGAACAUGAUUAACUCCCACUAAUCUUUUGUAAACCUAGUAAACAAAAGAUUCAUUUACAUCUUUAUGAGAAAUCAAACGAUUUGAUCUUUCUCUCAUAAGACGCAUAUAGCUCCCACUAGCUUGCUAAGAUUCAUGAUGGAUGGAUCUCUACAACUUACAUGUCUUGUGAUUUUUAGUUUUAGACAUAUAUUAUCAAGACUAUCUUAAUAAUGGUUUCGGAAACCCAUUAUUAUGUCCAAACAUUGAAUCACCAUUUAGUUGUAGCUAGCAAUCUUCGAAUUAAUUGAAACUAAGACUAUCUCAAAGAUGGUUUCUUCAAAGUCAAACCAUUCUCUUUGAUUGUAGUCACCUUAAGCUACCAAAUUAGCUAUGAAGGUUUCAUUAUUUCGAGUCAAAUGGUACUUUACCAUUUCCUUGAGUAUAUAUCGUAUAUGCACUCAGUGUAGUCAUAAGGAUUUUCAUUCUUACUUCUUUCGAAUUAAGAGGUGCAACUCUAUGACAUAGUCAUAAAGUUCAAAACCAUUCAACUGAGACGGUUUAUAAAUCCUUAUCGACUACCUUGGAGCUUGAGGUAUAGGAACUAGGUUGUUAUAUUUGUUGAUUACUUUCUUGUCUCUCAAAGAACCCAUUCUUCGAGUUCUAUCUUUCGUUCAUUUGCUCUUAGGCAAAUCACAUUGUAGGAUUACAAUGAACUUCCCAACAAAACAACAUUUGUUAGUUGGAUUAUAGAAGCGAUAUCCAAAAGUUAAUUUAAGGAUAUCCCACAAGAUUGUUUAUCAAACAAAUAUUGCUUAUUAGCACACAACCUCAAAUCUUAACAUGCUUAAGAUUUGUCUUUCUUUCCAACUACAUCUUAUGGAGUUAUGAAAAAUUUUGGAAGAUCUUCUAAUUGACAAUCAUAUUGUUUUUAGAAGUAUAUAUCCUAUAUAUGGGUAAUAGAUAACAUCUAACGAACUAAAUCUUAUUUUUAGUUCGUUCUUCUCCUAAUGGAGAAAUACAUUAUCUUAUGAUGCUAUUUUCCUUGAUAUCAUUCAAGGAAAACUCAUCUAAAGUGUUACCUUUCCUUGGAUCAAAUCUAAAGAGGUAAAUACUUUAGAUAUCUUACUCAUCUAUUUACAUUUCUUGAAUUCUUUGAAACUUUUUGCAAAGUAUUCGGACUUGUGUUUAUUCAAAAUAAACUAUAGUCCAACCGAGAGUGAUCUUCGGUGAAUGUCAUAUAACAUGAGUAGUAUUAUGUUAUGUUGAGGACAAGUGCCACUAACAUCUAAGUGAAUUAACCUCAACAACUUUUGUGAUUCUUUCUUCUUUCCAAAAGAACAAAGAUUCGAACAUUUCGCCUCUAUACAAUUUUAACAAGAAGGUAUUGGAUCCGGAUCUAACGAUCCAAAGCAUCCUUGUUUCACCAACUCGUAACUUAUGUUUUAGAGGUAUCACAAUUUAGUUGGGAUUAGUCACUACCUUGCAAACCUUUUGGGUUUUAAGCAUCAUUAUAUUCUAAACAGUUAACACUACCAUAUCAUCUCUACUAUAGAGACAAUCAAUUAGAUUACUAUAAUCAAAUUUCUUUGGUAGUUCAUAUGAGGAAGUAAGUACUAUCUGCUUUCGCAGAGAUCUAUAUCUUAUUCACGUUCCGUAUGUGAAGUACCUUUUCUUCUCUCAUAUAUCUUCUACUUCUUAUUAGUCACACUUUUACAACGAUUUGUAAAACAUAGUUACUAAUACGGAAUCAUAUAUUCAAGUAGAAGAACCAACUGUUUUGAACUAUUCAAGAACAAUUUACAACACCUUCGAAAGGUGUGUUCUUUGAUACAUGCAAGACAUUUCUUGCAAAUACCCCUUCCAAUGUCCAUCAUUUCAUAAAGAAAGUUUGUUCCCUUGGAGUUAUUUAUCUUCUUUAUUUGACUUUCACCUUUGACUACAUUAGUCAUGGUCCCUAAACUCCCACUAUCUCUCUUGAAACCUUUUUUCAAUUGUGUUAUACACAUCAAACAAUUUGGAGAGUAUGUGGUUAUUGUUCACUACAUAGUUUACCAUAAACUUAGUGAACCAUUAGGAUAGGGAAACAAAGGUGAAGUCCUUGCCUAGUUUCCGUCUCGUUAAGUGGUUUAACACACUUCAACACUCAAUGAUUCAAAAUCAUCAUAAGUCCAUGUUAAUGGACUAUUUUUGUCAACCAACCAUUAUGUUCUAAACAUAAUUACAAACUUUCAAGAGUUGUACAAGGCAACUCUCAUUUCUUCAUACAACAAUUUGUAAGUGAAGAAUCAUGGCACAUAAAGUGUCCAUGCCCUUGUGCUUACUUCUCAAGUUCUUUGUUCAAUUAACAAAGAAAUAAGCACUAAGUGUUUGUAUUGACUAAGGGUUGUUCAAAACAACUCUUAUUUCUUCAUACAACAAUUUGUAAUUGAAGAAUUAUGACAUUAAAAGUGUUGUCCUCUCUAUGAUAGACCUUUUCUAACAUAUUCUUCUAAUGAUACAUUAUCAAUAGGAAGAUUGUGAGGAUGAGACUACUUUGGUACUUUUACAAGCCAUUAAAGACAAUCUAUGGUUUUGUAGUACCAAGUCCGUAAACUAAACGUUCGGCUUUUAUUUGUCAAGUGUUUGGAUAGCGUUUGCAAAUAUAUUGGUAAUCAAAUACAUAAACGAAUAUAAAAUUGAUUGAUUUUAAGCCAUUUGAUUUGGGUCUUUAAAUCAAAUAGCACCACCCACUAUUUUUGGCAAAUUCCAUAUCCCUCAUAGGAAUUCGAGAGUUUUGGAUGAAACUCCCUAGUAGGUUAUGGGAGGCUCACUAUUACCAAGCCCACCUCACGAUGAUACGAUAUAUGGCUAGCAACAAUAAUAAUGAGAGAGUACGCUUACUCAUUUGCAACUCAUGCAAGUACCCAUCUUAUUUGGCCUCUAGAGAAUGUCACCUCACAAUGAUAUGAUAUUGGUUCCAUUGCACUUAGUUAAGUCAUUCCCACCAAGCUUAGUUCAUGAAGGGUUUCAAGAAUAGCCUCACGAUGAUACGAUAUUGGCCAUCCUCGUUGCCUACACUCACUUCAUCAUAUGUAUAUAGACUCCUCCUGAGUAUAAGCAUGCACUUUGUACUUCCCCAUGAUAGGGUGAAGCCGGUGUACAAGUCAUAAACGAUUGGAACUACCAUGGUGGAAAGGCCACGAAAGAAUGUUCUAAGCACUCUCACGCUUUCAACUUAAUAUUGGUUUGGUUGAGGGUUUUAGGUCUCAUCACAUAUCAAUAUACAUUUUAAUCUCUAUUAAAACAAUUUUGGUCCUAUUACAACUAUUGGUCCAUAUGAUUGUUUUAGUUGUACAUAAUACUCCCACUAUGCUUUUUAAAACGGUUUUUUUAAAGCAAGAGUAUAUGUUACUACUAACAUAAGGUUUUGCAUUCAUUUGAUGGACUAUAUAGUUGCCUUAGGGCCUUAGGAUGACUAUGAACCUUUGUUUAGAUUCAACACGAGCCUUGUGUUGAAUCUCGGUCUAGGGAUGGAGAUUGAUUUUAGUUACGCGUUUAAUCACAUUAAGGCGUGUUGUCUUAGGGGCGUUGGACCCAAUUACUUCAUUUUCAUGCAUAUCAUAUAAAGCAAGAAAGAAAUACUUCAAAGUAAAGGAUGAGCUUAUGCUCAUUACAACAUUUGCAUAAAACAAAUUACCUUAAAGUAAAGAAGGACUUAUGCCCUUUUACAACAUUUGAUCAAAUCAAAUUACAACCAAAAUCUAAUCUACACAUUCCCAUGGUUCAAACAAAUUUGAAACGCCUUUCACAUAGCUCAAUUAUAUUAGGCUUAGGUUCAUAAUCAUCCUUUAAUUAAUUAACGCUUUAACUAAUUAAUUGAAUGCAACAUUUUCAUUUGGUUUUUGUAUCCAUAAAAUUGAUUUAAGUGGAGCUAAACAAAAUGAAAAUCCAAUUCUCAUUUAAAGAGACAAAACAAUUUUGUUCUCAUCCUAUUUGGGCCAUCAUGCAAUAACCACAACUUUUUGGGCCAUAUUGCGAAAACAUAAACUUUUGGGGUCACUUUGUAAAAACACAAAAGUCACUACUUCAUGUAAAUACAACUAGAACCCAAAAUUUAAAUAAAUUCAAAAACUUCAUUAAAGGAGCAAAACAAUUUGUCCUUUAGCGUUUUUAGGCCUUAACGUCAAAACGUAAACUUUCGGGUCAAAGUACAAAUACACAAAAGUAUCAAAACUUUAUGUAAUUGCAUAAAAGCCCCAAAAUCACCCUAUUUUAUUAGGGUGGCCGGUUUUUAAGGAUAAAAAGGAGUGGUGGAUGUUUUGAUUUAUUAGUUUUGUCAAAAACAAUCAAGUAGUGCUUUCAUCUUUCAUAAAAAUAAUAAUGUUUUGAUGAUUGAUGUUUCCAUCAUCAUUUAUACAAAUAUUUAACACUUUAAAUACUUUCAUAAAAUUAAUAUAUGUUUUGAUGAUUGAUGUUUCCAUCAUCAUUUAUUACAAAUAUUUAACACUUUAAAUACAUGAUAAAUCAUUUGAAAAACAUAUAUCAUAAAACUUUAUGAAAUAAAUCAAAAACUUUUGAAUCAAAACACAAACCUUUGUGUUCUUGGCAAGAACAUCAAGAACAUAUGAAGAACAUCCAUGAAAACCCAUAAGAGCUCCAUGAAUGUUUUCAUGCAAUAAAACUCAAAUUUUUAUCAUUCAAAAUGAGGCUAACAUCCUAGGGUACUUAGGGGUUCCAAAAGUCACCUUAAAACCAUUUUAACAAGACAAACAUGAACCAAAAAAAUCACCCUUUGGAUUUGGCCGAAAAUCCCUAAAAAUCAUGGCACCAAAUUUUUAGCUCCAAUAUUCAUCCUCAUAUGAAACUACAUCUACAACAUUUGAGAUGGCAAAUUUUCAAACAAAAUUUACAUUCAAAGAAGCAAGAAUAAAGCUUGUAACAAUUACAACUUUUAAAUCAUAAACUUAUGAACUACAAAACCCAAAAGGAUUCACCAACUACUAGACCUAGGCUCUGAUACCACUUGAAGGAAUUAUUUUGAAAAACAUGUUCAUUUGAGCAACAUCAUAUAGCAUGCAAUUAACAAUUAAAGGCGGAAUCAUGCUUGCAUGCACUCAAAAACAAAACAUUACCAUGAAAUUCAAAGCCUAGUAGAUUGGUGAACCAAUUAUCAUCUCAAAACCAAGUGAGUUGAAAUUAUUACCUUUGUAGAUUCCUCUUUGCAUAAGCAAAGGCUAAUCACCCAAAGAGAUAGGGCCUUCAUUCCUUGCUUCUUAGAUCCAUGGAUUUGGAUGAUGGAAAAAUAGGUUUUUCUCCAAGUUCCCAAAAAUAGGGAACCUCUAAGUCUCUUCACCAAGGUUUGAUUGUAGAAGAAGAAUGAGUGACCUUGGAGUAGUAGGAUUGCUAGAUGUACCCUCCAAGGUGUUGGCCUCUUUAGAGAGAAAAUGGAGAGACAAUUCUCACCAAUUUUCCCCCAAAAUUAAACCCUUAAUCACUUAAUGAAUAUUUAGUUAUAAAGUCAUUUAUAUAGUCACUUCUUUAAGUGACCUAAAUAACCAAAACCCCUAAUUCAUCACACACUAUGGCUUGCCAUUUAGGGGAUUUUGGGCUUUUGGGCUUUAAUGAAUCUUCAUUCAUUAAAUUGUCAUACAACUUAAGUUAAUGGGCUUGACGUUCGAAGCCCAUUGGGCCUUAAGGUCCAAAACUAUCCCGAAGUCUUUAACGAACUUAUUCGUUUGAUUAAUUAACAUAUUAAUUAAUCCUUGCCAUAAAUAAAUGAUUAAACCAUUUAAUCAUUCUUACUCAUUUCCGUUUAAUCUUCAAUCUCCACCUUUUAUGGUGUGCGAUCCAUUAGGUUCCUUUUAGCGAGGUAGUGGGCGAUUAAAACCAUUUUACAUCGAUUGUGAAUUGAAACUAUUUUCAAUUCUCCCUUUAGUGAUUACACACGUUUAGGGCUUCCACAAACCAUGAGCGACACCUAGCAGCAUAUCAUGGUUACCCAAGCUAAUCAGAAGAGGAUAGAGAACCUAUUCAGUUUGGGAUUACAAAUGCAAUACGGUCAUUCUCUAAUCUAAUACUCUUGACCACAUUGUUUGGUAUGAUAGUUUAUUUAUUCAUGUCUACUAUCCAAUGUGAUUCGUGUGCUUAUAUGAUUUCCUUGAAUGUGAUUUGGAACGCAUUCCCUAAUCUCAUUCAUACUCUGGCCAGAGAUUCCAAAUCAUAUCAUAGAGUAUUCUCCCUCAACUGUUUGAAGGUUAGAGAUCCCUUGUUGCGCAUUCACUUGUCUCCAUAGCUAAGUGGCUUAACCCCAACGAUGCCGUGGACACCCCGAGGGGGUGACUUUGACAUAAUCAAAGAUCAAAGGACUUAACCACAAGACAACUGUGAUGCCUCAGGUAAAAGGACUACUUUGCAUUAUCCCAACCAUGAGUUCUCAUGUGACAUGGAAUAUAAGAACUCUUUUGUUGAUCACGUUCAGUGAACUCAUUCUCUAUUGAGCACCUACGUACUUGUCUUGAUGUCACACACACCAAUGACUCGAGACUAAUCACUCUCCCUGAGAGAAGACAUAGUACGUACUGAUCUUAACGGACUGUCAACGCCCAAUUGACAAUCCUAUGAUCAGGAACGUUUAGGAUGUGUCUACGAAAGAAUGGUCUCAUGAAUCUAACUUCAUUAGAUUACAUUCUCCCAAUCACAUAUUCCUUGGACUUUAUCGUUUAAGCAUAUAACAUUUAUAUGAGACGGCUCAAACAAUAAUGUAUGCCCUUUAUAUGUAAAACUAGAUUAGUUUAACAUGUGAAAUGUCCGUAAAGUAUCAUCACAUGAUUGGCUUUAGGGCACAUUUCCAACAAUAAGUGCCCUUAAUUGAUCGAGAACGGAGGGUGGGAAUCUACCAAUGCCGUGGGUUUUGGGAGUCAAAACCAACCAAGGAAUGAUCCGUUCUCGAAUACAUACAAUCCAGGCUGGAAAAGAUCAUCCAAAUUUCAAAUGGAGGGACCCCCAACAAACCCAACAACAAAGUGCAUUCAGACAGCAACCUCCGGGCUUCUAUCAAAGGCCGUAUACACCCGCACAACCCCAAACACAACCUGCCCAAAAUAACUCAGGUUCGUCUUUUGAUAAUGCUCAAGUUAUUCAGUUACUAACUACGUUGGCGAAGGGUCAGGAAAAUCAAACCAAAGAUAUGCAUAAUUACGCCAAUGAAGUGCAAAAUCAAGCUUGAGAGGUGACUGAAUUGAAGAGACAAAUGGGAUAAAUGGAUGAGUUCAUAGGGCAAUUUAGUAGAGAACAACGUAAGUUACCUAGUUCGACAGAUGUGAAUCCAAAGGGAGGCUUCGAAUCUGCCAAAACCAUCACCUUGCGAAGUGGAAAAGAAGUUGGAUCUGAUCCCAGCCCAUCUAAAUCCAUUCAAAAGGAGGACGAAAAGAUGCAAUCUGAGGGGAAUGAACAAGGCCUGCCCUCGGCAAGGAUUGAGCAAUCUUUGCCGUAGCCACAUACACACCCUAAUUCGACCACCAACGGUAAGUUGGAUUCAAAUUCCAUGACUUUUAAUUCCAUUCCACCCAAUGCACCCUUUCCUCGCAGGUUUAUGCAAUCAAAGAAGGAUGAGAGUGACAAAGACAUCUUUGACACAUUCAGAAAGGUGCAAGUCAACAUUCCACUUCUAAAUGCAAUUAAAUAAGUCCCCAAGUAUGCUAAGUUCCUGAAAGAGAUGUGCACUAAAGGGAAGAGGGCUUCGAACAAAAAGGUGGUAAGGGUAAGUGAGAAUGUCUCAGCUGUGUUGCAAUGAAAAUUGCCUCCUAAGUGCAAAGAUCCCGACAGUUUUACAAUUCCUUGUGUUAUAGGAAAUACUCGCUUUGAAUCUGCCAUGAUAGAUCUAGGUGCAUCAAUAAAUGUCAUGCCUUAUUCAAUAUAUGCAUCUAUGAACUUGGGAGAAUUAAAAAAUGAUGGAGUGAUCAUUCAAUUGGCCGAUAGAUCUAAUGUGUAUCCAAAAGGUGUUUUGGAGGAUGUUUUAGUGCAGGUGAAUCACCUAGUCUUUCCUGCGGACUUCUACGUGCUUGAAAUGGAAGAUUCGAACCAUUCCCCUCAAUUACCAAUAUUACUUGGCCGACCAUUCAUGAAGACUACCCGUACAAAGAUAGAUGUAUUCAAGGGAACAUUGACCAUGGAAUUUGAUGGGGAAGUUAUUGAUUUCAAUAUUUCUGAUGCUAUAUCCUCAUGAUGGUCACUCUUGUUUCUCUAUUGAUGUGAUUGACUCUUUGGCGCAGGAAUUCCUUAAUGAUUUGAGUGAUGAUGCACUUGAAAAAGACUCUCAUGCAAAGCAUUGGACUAAAAAACGAAGGGUUAGCACUUAGGCAUGCACACGGCAACAACAAGGAACACUUUGCCGUGCCUAUUCAAGAAGAAUUGGAGGAGAUGGUUGAUGCGAGAAUUACUUGACACACAAAUUAAACCCUCUUUUUGACAGUUGUAGUAUAGUUGUAAGUAGGGUAUCGUUCUAGGCCGGGGAUUAGGAGGGAUUGCUAAUCUAUUCUAAAUUAAUUUAAAAAUAUUAAAUAAGACUCAAGGACACAAAACUAGGCGAAAAACUCUAAUAACUCGAAACACACUUAAAAUGACUCAAAAUAAUGAAAACAAUUAAAUUAAACACUAGGAACUGAAAUGGACGGAAAUUAAAUUAAAAGACUAACAAUAAAGAAAACUAACUAAAUAAUAUAAUUUAAUAAUGGAUGGGUGUUUGGUUUUGAUGAAAAGUAAAUUAAACUUAAUUAAAUUACAGAAUUGACAAAAACAUGAAAUUAAGAUGAAAAGAUAGGUGACAGACUAGCUAGAGGGUUCUUCUCCACACAUGACACAUAUGCAACCUAAAUUGAUUUUUCGGUUGUUCUUUCAAUAAAUUGUAAAUCUCAACGCCCCAAAUUAACCGUGAAUUGCACUAAUUAACCCUUAAUUUUUCCACAAGUUAUUGGGUUGGAUGAUUGCAUACGACAACCCAAAACAUUCCCUACAAGUUCCCUACAUGAAUUGCAUAAUAGAGAUACAAGCAAGAAUCAUUAAGCUCUAUGAAAAACAUAAGCAUUGACGAGGCACUCGUUACUAUGAUUUGCAUGAAACUUAUGCCAAGAAUUCACUUAACGUGAUUGUGACUAGCAACCUUCACUACUUGUGAAUAAGUUCAUAACGAUUAGGUGAAAUUCACUUAUAUUCUAGCAUCAAAUUCAUGCAUGUAAAUUAAGUAUGCAUCUUUAAUCGACAUACAAAAAUAAGUUAUCAAUCAAACAGUUAAGCAAAUUAAAUCACAACUCAGAAAUCACAACUGAAGGUAAUCAAUUCAUAUUACAAAUAUAUUCAUGGCUUUGAAUUAACCUCUAGCCAAAAUAAAAUUAGUUACACAUUAUUAAAACAGAAAUAAAAUAGAAGUUUGGAAAGAUUAAACCGAAAGAAGGUGAUCUGUUGCGUUCGUGCCCGUGUGAACUGCGCCUCGCUGGCGCCCUCUCCUUUCCUGCAGCUUUCCCGUGUCUUAUCCAGCUCAUCCUGCCCUUCCACCUGCCCGCUGCUGUCAGUCCUUCUCUUCAGUUCACGCUGCCAAAUGGCAGCUUCCCCCCGCGUCACACUGCCUUGCGUCCCUGCUGACCUUCUCUCCUUCCUGCGUCUCUGCGAGCUGCCCAAAGGGCAGCCCCUUUCUCCUUCCCGCUUCUGUCUCUCUAACCUCGCUGCCAAAGUUGCCAAAUGGCAGCUUUCCUCUUUUCUUUCUCUCCUGCCCCGCGUGUUCUCUUCUUUCCGUCUCUGCGAGCUGCCCAAAGGGCAGCCCCUUUCUCCCGCUCCCCCCUGACCUCCUUUUCCGUUAUUUUCCAUCCCUCUUAAAUUUCUCACGUCUCAUGUCUGCCUUCUUCUCACCCACCUAACUCUGUCCACUUCCUCUUAUUUCUUUUCCGCACCUGGCUCCUCACGUCACUCCUCUUUGCUUCAUUUUUUUAUUUUCUCCACUAUCUCAUGUUUCCUGCUUUAUUUUCUUAUUCUUUCCACCAAUCCAUGCGCAUUCCAUUUCUAUUUAUUUUCUUUUGUUUUUCACUCAAUGCUCACCCAUUGUCUCUCCACUCCCUCUACUGGUAAAGGCAGCUUUUUAUUCAUUUUUCUUCUUCUUUGCCGUUCCUUUCUUCUUCUACAAAACAUGAAUCAUGAUGAUGUUUCAAACAUCAUCAUGACUUAUCAUUAUUAUUUUAUUUAAAAGCUGAUCUACACAGACAGUUUUGACGAAUUUAUUACAUAAAAUUUCACUUGAUCUAUUUUUAUUUUCUUUGCUAGACAAAUCCUAUAAUAUGCAAAAACAAAGUAAAUAGCUCAAAAAUAUAAGGAACUAACUAAGAAAAGACGAGUGAAUUCGAAGUAAAAAUAUAUAUAAAUAUGAUCCAAUCAAAUACCCCCACACUUAACUUUUGCUAGUCCUCGAGCAAAACAAAGAAAACAAGAACAAGAAGUAACAAGAAAAACAUUAGAUUCCCUCUAUGUGACCCUCAUAGAAUUUCAUUCAAGAAAACAAAUCAUCAAGAACCAUAGCUAGCAUCAAGGAACUAAUCCAAGUUCAUCUUCCUAAUUCAAAUAUUAGUAGUAAUCUUUAAAUCAUCCUUGAAGUGUAGUGUGUGAGAUAGCCAUGCUAAUGCAAUUUCAAGUUUUUAUUUUUAAAAUCAUCAUAUGCAAACUAGCAAUCUUGUCACGGGAUAUACACUCAAUCACACAUGUGUUUAGUUUUAAUGUGUUUCGCUCAAAGAAACAAAUGUGAAAUUUCUACCAUAAGCUUGCAUAAAGAUCACUUCUCCACAGUCAUAAUUGCAAAACUUAAAUCAAGAGGACUUUUAUUGGAUGUAAUGAGGCUUAGGGAUAGGAUUAUUGAAACGAAAGAAUAGGAAAACACAAGUUCCAAGCUACAUUGCAAGCAAUUCUUUUGUUUAGAUUUAUAAGAACUCAAGCUCUCCAACGAUUCUUCUGAAACCUCCAAUCACACCCUUAAACUGAAACUUUAAAAACUUUUUAUUUUCUUUGUAUACAAUCUUUCUUUUUCUUUUUUUUUUUUUUUUUUUUUUUUUUUUUUUUUUUUUUUUAAAUACAAACAUGAAAUACCCCAUACUUAUUCUUUUGCCAAACACCUUCAAAGUACUUCACAAACAUUUCUCAUAAGACAAUCUCACAUUGCUCACUAGCUUGCUUGGAAAGGGUAAGGAAAAAUGUUUCAGGUAUAAGGGUAGACAUAUCUGGUGAUAAGAAAUAAAAGGCUCAACAUACACGACUCAAAUUGGCAAUCUAAUGAUAUCAUUUUUAUUUGGGAAACAUGGUUAUUUGGGCCAUAGUGGUAAACCUAAUGCCUCUAUUAUUUCCAAGUUCAUGCAAUCAAUGACAAACAUUUCGAAAGAUCGUUACGCAAGUUCUAGAGAUGUAUCUCACAUAAGUUCAUCACACAUGAAAGAAUAGGAGUGUAUGAAAAAUGCACACACUUUCAAUCGGCUCAAAAACUCACAUAGGAUGUAUAUGGUCACUAAAUUGUUGCUUUUUGUUUUCUUAAUUAGUUUUUUUUUUAGAAAACAAAACUAAUUAAGAAAACAAAAAGCAACAACACAGAAACAAAUGAAAUUCUAGAGAUUUCUACCCCCACACUUAAACUUGACAUUGUCCCCAAUGUCAGAAAACACUAUAACGCAAAUAAAAUAAAAUAAAUAAAUAAUAAGAAACAAAAUAAAGCAAUUGGACUGAAAACUUCCCUAAUUUGCAGUAAAAUCAAGCGAUGACCCCCAAGAUAAAAUUCUGCAAUCAACUUCAAGGGUGGAAAUAACCAAAAGUUCCUGCAAAGAAAAGAAAUAAUUCAGUUAAGUGACGCAAGAAAAUGUAAAAAAAAAUUGCAAACGAAAAAUUGAAAAUCACGAUAAAAGACAAUGAAUAGAACUAAUAAGUGAUCAUUGGUCGUGCUUGUUGACUUUCCACAGCUUUCCUCUUGAACAGGGUGACACUUAGCUUUUUACUUGCAAGUGAUGAUUUGAUGAUAUUGUACGGCGAAGCUUUGCUCUUUGGUGAUGUUGCAGUUCCUUAUUUGUUCUCCAAGCAGAAGUGGCAGCUUCUCUAGUUCCUCAGCUCGGACUCCUUCCGCUGGAAUGAUUGUGCAAGCUGCAUUCUUCUCUGCUCGUUUCUUCUGUACGUUGUCUCCACAUGCUGUUGGUAUCAUUUUCGCUUGCCUUAUCUGUUCUUCAGGUAGAUGUGGCAGCUUCUUUGGAAGUACAUCAGCAAUGGAAGACGAGUACUCGAGAGCAAUUUCUCCAUGUCCUGCAGGUUAGAACAAAGACAAGGAAAAGGACAUGGAGAAUGCAUGAUAUGAGAUACUCUUGCUUUCAACCAUUAUGAUAUGAAAUACUUUUGCUCUGGAUGGGUUGUUUGCAGGGUUCCUAUCCCAGGGAAUGAGGAAUACAGUGUGACUCGAGAGGGUUUUUUGGGAAUGCAUUCUCGGAGAUGAAGAAGUGCUGAGAGGGUGUGCCUUUGCUGUGGAAGGCGAAGGUAAAUACUUAUAGGACUUUUCUUCACAACCGGAACUAUUCUCUCACUCAUUGUCGGCAGCCGGUGGAUGGAUGAAAUAGUACAAAUUACGCGCUUUCUGACAAAGCUGCCCGUAAUUUUCGCAAAGCAGAUUCCUCAUUGAUAUCUGGAAUCGGCGCUUCGAGCUCCUGAGCAUCGUCGAUUUGAGAGUAGCAUGUGACACGUGCGGAUAAAUCUGGAAAAGAAGAUUUGCCCGUGGGUUGAAGCCCAGCUUUUGAGAAAGCUAGCGUGUCUUUGACUGUUGAAUUUCCCUCUUCGAUUUCUGAAUUGGUGCUUCGACAAACUGUCCGAGAAUUUCGCAAAGCAAUUUGCGUGUGACAGCAAGUGACGACACGUCUGGACAAAUUGAUCUUUUGAAAUCCGGGGUUCGGCUCGUGGUUUCUGAGCAAGCCCAGCCUUUAAGAAAUGAAACGCCUCUUUUGAGAAAAGAAUCCGGCUUUUAAGAAAUGAGCGUCCUCUUUUCAGAAAAGAAUCCGGCUUUUGAGAAAGGAGCCCCGCCUCUUCGAUUUGCGAGAGGACGCCUCUUCAAUUUCUGAGGAGCGCCUCUUUGAUUUUUAUAGAGGCGCUAAUUUUGUUCCACAACACACUUGAGCUCCCUCCUGUAAACACUCCCUUCUUGCACUUGUUUAAUCUUGAUCUGUCCGACUCUCUUCUUUCUUCACCACCUCUGGAAAAUGUCUGGCCUUUCCGAUCGUCGUUUUGACUUAAACCUUGGUGAAGAGGCAGCUCCGCCUUCACCAGACAACAUAUGGCCAUCCUUCAUAUCCCCUACCGGUCCCUUACCGUGGGGAUUGGUUGAGAACUGAAAAUGAGCUGUAGGGUGGUGGGGAGCCCUGUCACAGACCGUCGACUGCAUCGUAGACGAUGAUCCAUGAGUUGGCGAGCGGUUAAAGAAGCGCUAUGUUUCAAGACUCUCAAGUGAUGUCAACAGAGAGGCAAUCCGAGUGUCGCCCUCGAUUCCUCGCUUACGUAGAGGAGAAGUAUAGGUAUUGUUUGCGAGACCGCUAUCAAUCUGUUUCCUACCUCUAGAGACUCACCGACGUCUAUGAAGCCCGGUGGGUACAUAUUAACAAGGGGUCUUAGGUGAAGAUGAAAGACUGUAAAAGUGGAAGAAAGAAUCGAAGACAAUGAGUAACGAAUUACCACAGCAUGACCUCGCGAGAUGCUGCGCUUAUUACUCUCCCAAGUCGACUCAGAAAGAUUGAUUAAUUAGGCAGGGUUUAUUCCCACAGACAUAAAUAUGGAAGGAACGGUAUGUAGUGAAACAACAUCCGUACCGUACAAAUUUCUAUAAACUCUGACUUUCCUGUGCGUGAGUAAAGGUUCUUUGAAGGAUAAAAUAUGUCUAAAAAGUCUGACAUUUAUGUGAGUGUCUUAUUGGAGAGUGUGGUAAUCGCUGGAUCGGUACACUAGGUCGUAAGUUCUGAAAUACGGAUAUUUAUGAUAUGUACACCAAUGUUGGCUCGAGAUAUGAAAAUUCUAUUUACUGCGCCUUUUCAAGAGUCAGUUUCUAAAACCACGAAACCCGAGACUCUCCCUGCUGAAUAUAGCCGUUGAGACACGUAGUCAACUUUCUUAUUUACCCUGGAAUGCCCAUCAACAACCAAAUCCGAGCAGAUGCUCCGGCACUAUAUAGCGCAAGUAAGCAAUAGUGUUAUAACUAACUUUUAACAUAUAUACAUACCGGUGUCUUUUAUUUUUUAAAGUGUGUGUUUUUAUUAUCUCAAUCAAUUUCUUUAAAUAUUUUUUGAAUUUGUCCCUCUACUAUUUGCAGAUAGUUUUUAAAUCUAUUAAGAAUAAUGCCUUUUUAUAAUAUCCUAUUUAUUAUUUUAAUCCUCCUUCAGUUCAUAAUUUGUGUUUAUCGGUAUGAACAUUAUAUUAUGGAUACCAUCAAUUGGAUCUUUCUCGAGGAGUAAUUCUGUGAUCGCGCUACAAAUUAAACUAUAUUGAAACCAAUACUAUCUCUUAACGAAAAUUAGAAGAAAAAUUUAAAAAUGAAAUGAAAAGGAUUAACCUUAACAUGAGAAAAAAUGAAACGUCGAAGUAUAAAACGAUGUUAACUCAGGUGGAAAGAAAUGACUUAGAGAGCAAUGUCAUCUUGGGAGUUUUUAGUUAUCCCUAAAAGUCUUAUCCCGGUCAUCUGAAUGUCUUGAGAUUAGCUACCACCCAAAAAGGGCGGGUGUUGCGACCGUGUAUAACUUAUAAUGAGGUCAUAAAAAGCGACACCCGGUGUACGAGGAUUACACUCUACCUGGUUUGUAAAUUCGACACCUGGCUAGUAAUAUUGAUAGCAUAUACAGGAAAGAAGUAACACAACUUAUCAUCAUACCAAUAGUCAAGGAUAAUUCCUUGGAAACACAAUGAAUAAGUUACAUAUUACCCUAAAGAUGCACAAUUGGGGACGUAUAUUGCUAAACCUGUAGCAAUACAAAUAAUAGCACAAUAAAUUCCUACACGGACAAUGUGCGCUUACAGCCUUGCUGCUCGAAUCCUUUAUUAGCCUAGAUACAGGCUAAUUCGACGGGCCUGCCACACACCGGCAACACUCGAUUUGCAGUAGCAUGUGUUGAAGAGAAAACUUGACAACAAUCUUAAAUCACUGUACUAUCCUCAUAGUUAUCCUAAGUGUAGAUUAUAUUUUGUAAGCUAGUGGGUACUUUUCCGUCUCCUAGGGGGCGCGGAUUAUAGGUUAUUGUUAUCAUUACUUAAUCCCUCUUGAUUCAUUACUACAUUCAAUGUGUUAAAAUGAAUAUGUUCACUGACCACCCUCAAGGCGUAAUACGCGCAACUCAAAGAGGAAAUAUAAGAAUUCCUCUAAUUCAGAACUCGUGGAGAUUCAGUUAUCGUAAAAUAUGGAGUAAGUGUACUAAUGAGAUAAAAGAUACAUACCAAACAUGUAAUACAUUAACAACCCCAUAAGAGCAAAACAUUGCUCAACUGGAACGAGCGGAGAAAGUCUCCUCCUCCUCCUCUCCACCAUAGGUAUUGAAGAAGACACCAGACACACCUAUAAUAAAUAAUAAUUCUACUUAUGAAGUGGUAGCGAGGAUGCAGAAACGCAAUCGUUUAUGGUUGUCGUGACAUAUCGAUAAUAGCAAUUAAAACCUUAAAUAGUAAUAGAGAAUUUUCUAAUCAAGAAGAUUAUGACGAGACAAUCAAAGACGUCAAGAAAUGGGGUUGACAUAAUUUGCAAGAACUGAGGAGGCGAGUUUACAAUGAAGUAACUACGUAGGAUUACCUUAUAUAGACAAGCAACCGAAUUCGAGAAUUCUGUACACAAUUCAAGAUACAAUUGUAGUGCUCGCGCUCUGGCGCGUGUACUCGUACAUAUCUUUUAAGAAGAUGCAAAACAUUGUCAGAACGCAUGCCCUACCGAGAGCCUCGAAGAAUUGGACUGAGUGAACAAAUUGUCAAUAGGAAGAUGAACGAGACAACAAAUCCUUUCAUGAAGCCCAUAUAGACUGUGCCGAAUGGGUCUGAUUUUUGAACUACUCGCAACAAACUACGCAACAAAGCCAGCAUAACAGUAUACAUUGAAGCAAUGCACAGGCACCUAAAUCCCCGUUGCCGCACCGAGACAAAUACACGUAGAGUAACCGAGUGCCUCAGACCAUAAGUUGAUAUAACACAAAAUGUUCUCACCUCCUCUCUCCGAAAGGUUGCGUACCUCUUGUUACAGAGCUAUGCUGGUCUCUAAGGAACACCGGUAUGCUGGAUAAGAAAAUUAAUUUGAGUUCGUGUAACUUCGAUUAUCGUGUUGUAUUCUCUAAUAAAUGCUUAGAUUAGUAUACUGUACUUUAGAUAGCGUCUAAUGAGUCUGAGUAAUUCUUAAGAUAGUCGACUCACGUAAUCACAUAAUUACUUUUAAGGACAAUCCUAGACUUCUUUUCGCUAAACUUGAAAUAUUUAGGAUGGACAUAUAUGAUUUAAUAACCACUAUCGUGGUGGUUAUUUGAACUAACCAGUUAAAAACGAGAUUUAAAAAAUACAGCGACACAACUCAUUAUAGACAAAGAUGAAAUAUCUUGAACUCCGGGUUAUUGAAAGUGGUGGGAGCGUACACUUAUGUUCCCAAGUUGUGUUAUCGUUUGAGUUAAUUUAAAAGAUUAGUGUAAUAGAAACAUACUUAUCGAUAAAACAUCUAAAGUUCAUUGAAUUCUUUACUUACAUAUCGAAGAAAUCAUUAAAUGUGAAGUUUUCCUGCUUAUUGGUAACCAAUUAGGGAUUAACCGAUGAACGAGCGUUUCUAAGAAGGAAGUAGUUUUGUUACAUACUAUGGUUUCCGUGAUGUAUUCAACUUAAAUUGUUGGAAGAACCUGGCUCGGCAUAACACCGAUUGGGUCUGCAUUUGUACCCUCGUGGUGUGAGUAUUGUUUUCUUCAUCUUAUAGCUUAUGUAUGACGAAUCUGAUCGUUGUUCUGCAUACUGACUGGCUAUUACCUGUGUCCAAAGCUACCUUACAUGUGAGGUGGAAGUGUGCCUUGGCAGCUAACAAUUGAUGCUCUCAACCAUAGCCGGUAAUGUGAUUGCCGCUACUAUCCUGUGUUAAAUCCUAGAAGGGCUAAUCCUGCCGGUCCACAUAGAUCGUAUCUCAUCCUUCGCAGGGUACUAGAGUUUGCUCAGUAUUUACCUAUUAAAGAGACAAUGACUCUUAUCCUAAACAGUGCGACCGACUUUGUUUGUCCCUUCUAAUAACUCUCUGUGCCUACUAUAAAGAUUAGUAAAAUGGGCACGAACCUUAUAGAGUGAAUUCAUAUAUCACCUCCAUACUCGACCACAUUAACACUCCAAGUUCUGCUCUUUCUCUGCCUUUCUCCUCUAUAGUAACUGUCUGCAAGAACCAAACCAGGGUGAAAAUGCUCUUUCUACACACCUCUAGAGGCCAUCUUUUUAAUCAGUAUAUUUAGGAUUUCCUACAUAAUAACUACUCGUUAUAUAUUAUAUUAUAUUCUUUCAUACAUAAUAUAUGCGGUUCAACUAUAAUAUGGGUUUAUAAUUCUCCACAUAUUCUGACUAUCGGCGCCUACCGGAUCCGAUAUGAUACUAUUAUACAUACAAUCUUUUUUAUUUUUGUUUCCUUGCAUGGUGAUCAAGAAAAAGUUUCUUUACUGCAUGUUAAUUUUCAGUAAUUUCAUUCUACCUAGCUAAUAUUCUUUUGUUUUGCUGCAUUUCUUGAGUGUAUCUCUAUAAUUUACUAUUUGUUAUAUUUAAUAUAAUUCCUGACACUUGGGUACUCAGUGGCCAUGAGGUGUGCUAUGUAGGACGUAAUAGCAUUCUCUUUAACACAAUAUUUGUACUAUCUUAUCUUCUUAGCACUGAUAUCCAUGGUUCUCAUCUGAAAUUCAAUGAUCUUAGUCAGAGUAAGAUGUUAAUCCGAAAACUUAAAAUAUCACUUCUUACUCACUUUUACAAGUUCACAAUUAAUGAGUAAUAAUAUUACACAUUUUAAAUAGGAACAAUGGCCUUGAAGUUUCACUAAGAAAGGUGUGUCUAUGAUAUACCGCAUCAAAAUUAACAUGUUAAAAUUUUUUAUUAUUUUUCUUUAAGUAUUAAAUUGUUUACUAAUUGUCUAACAAUUAGUAAUUGUCCCGUAUAGAUCACAUUCAAAAAAAAAGAAAAUAAACUAUUAGGAAAUAAUUUUAAGAAGUAGAUCUGAGAAUUGAAAUGGUUGGAUUAUAUAUUUCCAGAAGGCUUCAAUAAUUCAAUAAUAAUCAUGAAAUAUUUUUACAAUAAAUGACACCAAUUAUUGUUAUUGACUAGAAGAAUUACCUAUAUGUACAAAAUGGUAAUUAGUUAUUUGGGGUACGCUCUACAAUUCUCAAAUCCUUAAAUUUUUUUACUAUUGGUAUACACUACUAAUUUCUAUGAUUAUGAAUCCAACCCACUAAGGUUGUAAUUGGUGCAAUGUUUCCAGAACCUUAAUACUCAGAGUUAGUGUAUUCGAUUCUUAUAGAAUCCAAGUUUUUUUUCCUCAUUCAAACCAACUAUGUUAGGGGGUCUCUGAAUACCUCACACACCCUAUAUUGUUUUUUUUUUGUGUAUGCCUUUUCUUAUUUUAAUUGCGUUCUGUGCCCGAGCCAAAUUUGAAAUUUUGGUUGGUCCCAAUCAAUUUUUUUUGGGUAGAUGAAUGAUUAUAUUAAAAGAGAAACCAAAAGAGAAGAAACAGAAGAGCCACAGCACCUAAGCUAAGUCCCAAUCAAUACCUAAUUCCAAAUCCUCACUGCAAAAUGGCGAAGCGAACCAAGUUGGUGAGAGGCCAAGCUUGCUUCGAGAUCCAUCAACCAUUUGAGGAGAGGGAAAAAAAGCAAAGAAUAUAAAAAAGAAGACAGAAUACACACUUGACCAUGACAAAAACCGACCAAUUAACCUUUGAGAGAAACAAGAAGGGGAAGACAACCUCAUUCUUAAAGAAAAAAGAAAAUACGCGCAACAACCCCGAAAUACAACAUGAUGGCAAUGCUUGUGAAACAAAGAAAAAAUCUUAAGACAAUCAUCCCGAAUAAUAUUAAGAGUAGUAUAUUGAAACAUGUAGUUUAUAUCUACCACUUAUUGCUGAAUAGACACAAAUUUUGAAUAGGGUAGCGAUUUUGUGCUGGUAGGUGACCCAAAAGAUUUCCCUUAGACCAUAUAAUGGCAAAUCACGAGAGGACAUAACCGUGCUAACGUGUGUGUAGAGUAUAAAAUGGAGCAUUUAAUCUAAAUCCUUGGUUAGUGACGCGCACAUAUACGUCGGAAUACGGCAAUGUCGUAUUUCUGACACUUACAAUUUAGAUUGCGCUUUCUUGUUGGCCAAAUAGUACUACUGAGACAAAGCUGCUCUGAAGAAGGCUGCAAACUUAAUAUAGAAUAAGCAUAUACACAUCACUGCCUGACUUAACGUAUACUUAAUCCAUUGUGGACCAAGAGUUAUAAUGGAGCAGCCCCAGUGAUAAACUCAUGUCAAUCCAAAAGGGAGGAGGAUCUAUCAUCUCCACUUACUUUUGAUAUGUUUUAUGCACCCAUGAUGACCAUAAAUUGAGUUAAUAGGCGGACUAUAAUUAAACAUGGAUGGUGUACACCCUCAAAGAACAAGCAAAAGUGGAAAUCUGUUGUACAAACUUAUUACCUAUGUCCAUAUUUUCAGGAUGAACAUGAACAUGUAAACGCAAACGAAUGACAUAUGUUCGAGAGGGUCUGAUCCGAAGGAAGGUAGACAGGACACAUCACCCACGAAACAUUCCACUAAGUAGAGGUGUACAUAAACUUGUGUAACUGCGCUCUUAAAAUUUUACUAGCAACGCCAAGAAUGGUAAUGUGUAAGCGAAAUACAGAUCCUUAAGUGUGACAAAUGAGCGUGUUUAUUCCAAUACGCGACAAAUGAGACUAGCUCAAAUGUGAUUCUAGUGUUUUUCUUAUAGAUCGUCUCACUUGAAAAUUAGAAAUUGCCUUAGUUCUAACACUUCCCGUAUAGCCCUUUAUGGAAGGUCUCAUAGUAGCUUCCAUUAUCGAAACGGAAUGAUCCGAGACUAAAUUCUUGAAAAGUAAUAAGAAUCACGCAUUUUAGUUCGUUGGCGUUUCGGAGAAAGAGGGAAACAAAAAUAGAAAAACUCGCCAAUAUUAAUUUCUCAAUUAAAAAAUACCCUAUUAGGGAGAAUUGUGAUAAAAAUAUUUCCUAUGCCUUCCAGCCUGGAACUGCCAAUAUCCAGGGAUUGACUGCGUAUUACUAAUAAUCAUAUACUACAAAUAGACAAUCUUGAUAGUCCAAACAACAGAAUUUAUUUUCUUGGUUGAAAGACGCGCUGGAAAGGUUCUCGUUAUUCUCCCAUUGCGAAAUGUCACAUAGGAGAUGUUAUAUUCUGACAAGGAAGUGUGCAUCCGAAGGUAAAAAGUUGUGGUCAGAAAGUCCGAGUGCAAUUCGUCAUAUACGAGUGCGAAAUGAGGUGGAUGCCUUGCUGUUCUCAACAGGACCCCGGAGAUCCCUCAGUGGGUCUAAUAAAACGAAAGGAGAGAAUGUUAUUGAUUAUGAAUCUCUCCAAAAUCCUCAACGAAAAAACUGGUGAGAGUCAAUUACAGCUAACUAAGCUCUCAAAAUUAAAAACUUGAACUAACGGAGUUACAAUAUAAUGAACAGAUAUGUUCGUGUCCAUUCUAUAUUAUAAGAUUAAACUUCAUAGUGAAAUUGCGUUACAAGCUCAAUUAUAAUAACAUAUGGUAUGCCUUAUGUCAAUAUUACGUAGGCUACAUCAAUCAUCGUGAAUGUUGUGGUAUAUCAUAUUCAAGUCUAACCCCUACUUUCUAGAUAAUGUCUUUCUGGGGAAGUAUAAAAACACUGUCGCUAUAAAUAAAUAAAUUUUAUAUAUGGUGAGCUCUCAACAGCUCUCUACCAACUAAGAAAAGUAAAAGCGUGGAUCUCAUUAAGCACCUUAGUUCGCCUAACAUUAGCUAUUAUAUUGAAUCAAAAUUGUUCAUAACCUUAACUUGGCCCAAAUAUCUUAUAAGAAUAUUACGUGUGUAUUGUUAAUUUAUCCUGACAUUCAUGUGAAUCCAAAGCGAUGAAAUAAUUUACGUUUUAUCCAAACAAAGAAAAGUCAGUGCUAAAUCCGCGACAUCAGAGGACAAUCCGCUCACUAGUAAAGGAAUUUGAUACCAAUUUAGCAAGAGGAGGCUCUUCUAAUUCAAAUUUACUUUCGGUAAAAUAAAUGAAAAUGUCAUAUAAAAGUGUGGAGAAAGUAUAUAGCGACGACAAAAACCAUACGAUCAUCCAUGCAUACCGUGUUCAUGACAUUAAGCGCUCCUGCAGUGUGGUUUGUCGGAAUGUUUCUAAUGAUACACAAUAUUGAAAUUACAACCCUGUCUCAAACUUCAAACACAUUUUCCUAAAAGUCAUCACAUUUUCUCCCCUCUUGUUGUGUAUCUGCUUCAGGCAAUAUGUAUACCCUGUUCUUUAUGAACAGCCAGUGAACGGCCUGUCAUGAUUAACAACCUCCCAUUGUACACAUAUAACUAUUCUGUCGCCCAACUCAGUGAGCAACUCAGCCUUCAAAGACCUGUAAUAACCUGAACCUAAACAUAAAGUUGUAUACGCUCAUAACCUACACACACGUAAAAGUAAAUCAAAACUUCUUAAUAACCGAAAGCGCCUACCGCUUUUCAUUAUUAUCUGGAUUCCUUAAUCUAAUCCUAUUCUGUUGAAGAAACUCCAACGAUUACUCAUCUUCGACCACACUUGACAUGCGAAUAUGUAAUUUGGUUAUGCGAUAUGUUAACAAAACCUAAAAUAUUAGCCUCACUAAUCGCACGUCUUACAACUGCAAGUGCACCAAGGAUCAAACAAUAGGUAAUACGAAAGCCAAGUACGAAGAUCUAUUCCAGUUCGAAGCGAUUAUCGUUGACGUUUAAUCAACUCUUAAUAAGUAUUUUCAAUAGUAAGGCUCUUAUGCAAUUUUCUUAACAGAGUGUGUGACAUAUCUCAUCUCUCCUAGCGCCAUCUAAUAUAAACAUAACUAUAAAAUACUAAGAGUGCGUUAUUACUAUGUCACAGUAAAGGUGAUAUGUUUAAACGGAGAGUAGAGUGUUUAAGAAUCAUUUUAUUGAGAUGUCUUCAAAAUGACUUGUGUUUUAUAGAAGUCAGAGAAUAACAAGAAUCAACAAUUAAAUUAUAAGAAUGUUAGAGCAAAUAAAAGUAAUUGGCAAUAAGGGUUUUUAAAAUAAUGUUGAAUGUUAGGACUUGUAUCCAUUCUCUAACCUUUUUCGCCUAAAUCAACUGAUACACACGAUGAUAACAAAACAGAUUUCUUGAUGCUUACGUUUUGUCAACCUAAAGGCAUAGGUAUCUACUCCUUAAGCUAUUGAUUUCCCUAAACAACGAAUUAGGCAUGGGUUGUCUACACUAAACUCUUUUCAUUUCUGAAGUAAUUUAGCAUGGUAUCUACUAAGUUGCACCCGAGGAAGCAUAAUAACAAUGGAAAAUCGACAAACCACAUGAAUCCCAGAACCAAUGCGAUAAUCUAUUACGGAUUAUCCGUGAUAAUGAAAUUCCAAAGAACCGUAACUAGUUCUUUUGUUACCUUGGAUUAGGUACAAGACUCGAUCAUCCAAAAUUUACCCAUGUAACAAAAAAUCGGAACAUUACAAAGGCAUUAUUAAUUAGAGUGGAUGAAAGAAUGCAUAUUCAUAAAAGAAAAUAACUCAAAAAAUAAUUGAUAUAAGAGUAAUUGAAAAUCACAGAAUGAGAUAAUGGUGGUAGCUGAAAAAUCAUACUUAUUUACAGGUCUUAUUCAAUCUUCCACUGCUAUUUGGGUCUGUAGUUAUCAACCCCAAAAAUGUUGGAUCGAAAAAAUACUAACGGCAAACAUGAUUGAGUAACUUCCAAAAUCAUAGCCGGCGAACCUUAUGAAAUUUUAGUACUCAAUAAUGUUAGGAUACCUGAGGCAGACAAAGACAAGACAAAAUAAAUAGAUAAGAUAAAACGCGUAGAAGAAAGAAACAACUCUUCAAUGGAUUAGAAUAUGCACAGAAUUAAUGGGAGCCCUGGUCCUUAUCCUCUUUCAAUACAUACCUUACUUGUCAGUGUCCGUCCUUACCCUUUGGUGGCUACUGUUAUAUUUUAUUACUCUAAAAUUGUUUUAUUAGCUCGCGAUAUGUCGUGUCAUGAUUUACUCUGUCCUGAUUCGUGUCUUGCGCAAGUUGUGUAAUUGGAGGGUAUGAAAAUGAAUCUUCGCCCCUUGUGCGAUUUGUUUAGAAAUAGCCAACAAGGCGUGAAUAGCCUUCUUUUCUCAUUAUAUAUCUAAUUUCAAUGAGCUAUGUUAGAAGUUUGAUUUAAUUUCGAUUAUUAGUGUCUUCUUUAAUUUAGUUUUCGCUUAACAGAUCUUCUCAUUAUGGUUCUUCUUACCUGCAACUUGGUUAAUAAAACUCAAUAAUUUAAGAGCUCAGUGGAAUUUUUUUAUCUUUAUCAUAUUUUAUUAAUUGCCACAUGUCUACCUCAUCGUUGUGUUAGUAACACACAUUCUGUUAGUGUUCUGUACCUCGCGUCGCUUAGUACCUUAUCAGAUUUUCUAUAUGUUACUAAAACUGCACAUAACUCCCUACUUAGAGUAAGAUUAUGUGUAUUUACAGGAAGCCGUUAAAGUUUCUUAAUAAAUGAAGCGACAUUACCGAUUGGUCUUUCCAAAAUAUAAUGGAUGGUACAUCUCCGUGCUUUUAAAUUCACCAGAAGUCGAAGUCAUCAAUUUUAAUCCUUACGAAAACUCAACGCAUUAUUGGUCUCUUGCAGCACAUAACGGUGUAUGCAAAAGCAAAUAACUACCGAGUUCGUGUGCUUGAGUGAGUAUAACAAUACGUGAUUGUUGUAUAUGAUAUCGGGAAAAGGACAGAACCCUAGUGAGUAUAUAGUUACCCAUCAUCUUAUUUUUGGUGAAACGACUCUUUUGCUUGUUACCACCCCUGACAAAACACAAAUUGUCUAUUUUAUGAAGUAAUUGUUAAAUGUUAAAUCUAUUUACAGAAAGCAGUCACUGGAAAAGUCACCAGAAAAGGUGGGUAAACAACGGAAAGAAGAAUGUAUAUAAAUAAUAUAAAAUAGCGACAUUUGACGCAGCCAUACACACAAUAGAUUCAGUGCACACAAUACUUUCAUUUAUAGUGUCAACCAAAUGCCCGCAACCAUUUUAAAUGUGGAAAUCUUUGAUAUAUGGGGUAUGGAUUUCAUGGAACCCUUUUUGCCCUCAUAUGGUUUUACUUAUAUUUUGCUAACCGUUGAUUAUGUGUCAAAAUGGGUGGAAGCCAAAGCCACCCGUACUAACGAUUCUAGAGUGGUGGCAGAUUUUAUCAAGGCUAACAUCUUUUCCAGAUUUGACAUGCCGAGGGUGUUCAUAACCGAUGGAGGCUCCCACUUUUGCAAUCACACCAUGAGGCGCUGUUUAAAAAGUACAAUGCGAAGCAUCUGGUUUCCACGCCAUACCACCCUCAAACAAGUGGCCAAACUGAAGUCUCGAAUAGAGAAAUCAAGCAAAUCUUAGAGAAGACUGUUAGGCCAAACCAGAAGGAUUGGAGCUUGCGUUUAGAUGAUGCACUGUGGGCAUAUCGCACUGCCUACAAAACACCUCUAGGGAUGUCUCCAUUUCAACUAAUCUACGACAAGCCGUGUCACCUACCUAUGGAAUUGGAGCACAAAGCGCAUUGGGCUGUGAAAACAUUCAAUUUGGACUUAGAUGCUGCUGGAAUGAAUAGGAAGCUCCAACUGAAUAAACUUGAGGAGAUACGGAACGAAGCCUAUGAGAAUGCACGAAUUUACAAGGAGAAAACAAAGGCGUUUCAUGACAAAAUGAUUCGGGGAAAAACAUUCUCAAUUGGACAGAAAGUGCUACUAUUCAAUUCCCGUCUACGAUUGUUCCCUGGUAAGUUACGGUCUAAGUGGAUUAGGCCAUUUGUUGUCACUAAUGUUUUUCCCCAUGGUGCAGUCCAAGUUAAAAGCUUAAGGAACGGCGACGAAUUCAAAGUGAACGGGCAUCGUCUGAAGUUAUACUAUGAGAGAGUUGUGGGGCAGAUUGUGGAAGAAAUCCCACUUAGUGCCGUGGGCCCUAUCCAAGCUUAGAAGGAAGUUUCGUCCGGCUACAAGACGUUAAAGCAAACGCUUCUUAGGAGGCAACCCAUGUUUUGCAUUCCUAAAAACCUUCCCUUUUCUGCAGUUUUAUUUUGCCAUGAUUGUCAUUUUUAUUUGUUGCUUGUUUAAUUGUUUUUGGUAUGGGUUUAUUUUUGAAACAUUGACAGAUAUGCAAGGUAUUUUUACAUUAAAAUUCGUUGAAAAUGAACAGAAGGCAGAAAAAUACAAAAGAGAGCCUUCCCAAAGGCUGCUUAGGAGAAGUCUCAGUAGUCGGCGAAGCCUCAGAGGUCGGCAGAGCCCCAGCAGUCGGCGGAGCCCCAGAAGAAGGAGGUAUCGAAGGUUGAUCAAUUGGAGCUUCAUUACGUGGUACAGCUCAGAAGGCGAAGGCAAAUGCUGUUGGAACAAACCCACAAACCUCUGAUGAUCAAGUAAAAUCUGACCAUCAGAUUCCUGCAUCUGGUCAAUCUUCCUCUUCAUGUUUGUAGCAUCGUUAUGUGCAAGCCUGUGUAACUGUUUAUUCUCAUGCUUGAGCCCUCUAAUCUCUUGUUUGAGACUCAUCACUUCAGCCGCCAAUGAUUCAACUUGACGGGUUCGAGCAAAUAGACGUUGGGCCAUAUUAGACACAAAACCUGCACACUGCACACUGAGAGCCAGAGAAUCCUUAACAGCCAACUCAUCAGACCGUUUGGAAAGUAGUCUGUUAUCUUUGUGAGUGACAAGGUUCCGGGCCACCACCACAGCAGUCAUAUCAUUCUUCAUCACCAAAUCCCCUACGGUAAGAAAACCAAUAGGGAAUAUGAAGGAUGGGCACCAUAUGUUGUCUGGAGAAGGCAUGGAUGCCUCUUCACCAAGGUUCAAGUCAAAACGACGGUUGGAGGGGCCAGACAUUUUCGAAGGUGUUGAAGAAAGAAGAGGUCGGACAAAUCGAGAUCUUAGAAGUGCAAUGAAGGGAAUUUCUACAGGCAACAAUUCAAGUGUGCUUUGAAACGAACUACGUGCUUCUAUAAAAAUUAGCACUCGACGGGAUUUCAGAGAUCGAAGAGGCGAGCUUCGAAAUCGAAGAGGCGCUAGCUUUCUCAAAAGCUGAGCUUGCUCAGAAACCACGGGUCAUCCUCUUUUCCAAAUUUGUCCGCACUUGUCACAUGCAACCUCUGCACUUGACGGAGCUCAGAAAUCGAAGAGGCAAGCUUAGAAAUCGAAGAGGCAUCUGCUUUUCCAGACAUGUCAGCACCUAUCAUAUGCACACUCAGCCUUGUGGAAAUUACGAGCAAUCUGUCGAAGAUUUCUGGUGACGUAGAAAGCACGUGAAGUUUACUGUUCAAUUAUCCAACGGUUGCCGACAAGAGUGAAAUAAUGGUACCGGUUAUUAAUUUAUAUAAAUGUCGACCUUCACCCUCAAUUGCAAGGUAGACAUACAUAACCCUUCUUUAUCUCCGAGAAUGCCUUCCCAACAAAGCCUCUCGAGUCACUCAGUGUUCCUUAUUCCCUGGGAUACCUCUGCAAACAACCCAUCAAAAGCAAAAGUAUUUCAUAUCAUGAAGGUUGAAAGCAAGAGUAUCUCAUAUCAUGCUUUCUCCCUGUUCUUCUCAUUGUCGUUGUUUUCACCUGCGAGACAAGGAGAAAGAAAGCAAUCAGCAAACACUUGGUAUCAAUCUUUCGAUUUGGAACCGACUGCCUGGAACCCCUUCCUGAUUGCUUACCUAGCCUUGCUCUCGAGUACUCAUUUUUCAACAUCUUAUGCUUCCUCAAAAGCUAUCACAUCUGCCUGGACAACAGAUAAGGGAAGUGAAAAUGAUACCUCGAAGCAUGUGGAGACAAUGUGCUAAUUCAUCCUCCGCUAGGGACAAGGAGAAAGAAAGCAACUGGUCAGCACUUGGAAAGAUUGAAAAAGGAAACAGACCAUCACCUCUACCUCGUGCCUGCCUGCCGUGCAGAAGAAACAAGCAGAGAAGAAUGCAGACUGCACAAUCAAAUCAACCCAGUAGAAGGAGUCUGAUUUGAAACCAAGGAACUCUCAUAUUCCUCGCUUAGAAUUCCAAACCAGUUCGAGAUCAAAGUUGUGGAAAGUCAACUAAAUCAUCUAUCUCCAAAACGAGAUUUGCAUUCUUAAACUCUACUUUGUCUGUUUUUUACUUUGCCACACUUGUCAUGUUUAUUCGUUGUUUGUUUGUUUGCUUGUUUUUGUGUGAGUUUAUGCUUGAAACAUUGAGGACAAUGUUUGAUUUAAGUGUUGGGGGGGGGGGGGUAACCAAGUUGUUUUGCAUGAAAUUCGUAGAAGUUUAUCACUCAUUACUUCUAGUGUUGUUCCUUGCUGUUUUUAAGUGUUUUUAAGCUGUUUUGGAGUGUUUUAGUGUGUUUUGACAUAAAAAUUUGAAAAAUUGUUUUGAAAAACCUAAAAAAAGUUGUUUUUGUGUGUUUAUUUGUGUCUUAGGGUACCUUCCAAUACAAUGAUGAGGAUUUGGUUUUUAAUUACAUGACUGUUAAAGAGAGUUAUAAACAUGGAUGAAAAUUUGAUUUACUCUUUGGUGUAUGCUUGGUUGUGGUUAUAAUUUAUGAAUUCACAUGCAAUCAUAAAGGAAAAAUUAGUUUUUGUAACAUGCUUAAAGGAAGGAACUCAAAUGAACGCUACAACCUUGUGAGACUUGAACCUAAACGUUUAUUUGGAGAGUUAAUAAUAUGUGCAUCAUUGUUUUCUAAAGUCGAUGCAUGAUCUCAUUAUUCUUUGCUUGGUUGCUACUUAGAAGGCGUUUCUCAUUAUGUGACUUAGUUAGCUUGUUCUUGUGCAUUUAUGUUGUUACUUCUUAGUUGAUUUAGUAUUUCAAGCCAUUUUUGUGUGGUUGUAGGUACAAAGGGUUAAAGAGGCAAAAAAGUGCAUUUUGGUGCCUUUUGGAGCAGUUUUGGGCAUAUAAUGGAUAUCACAUGCAUGGAGCAAAGUGGUUGGACGAAAUUAAAGAUCUAAAGAAGCUAGGAAUGUGCCAAGGAAAGGAAGAAAAUAAAUUGAGGACCAAGGAAGACAAGGAAACCAUUAAGAAUGAGGAAAGACUAGUCAAACUUGCCUUAUCUUGUCAUUACUUUCCUAAUCCUAAAUUACCAAAGAUUUAGUCACACGAAGGGUUCCUAAAUACUUUGGGACAUUUCAUUACAUAUUCUACAAGUCCUAAACCUGCCCUAAAAGUCUAAGCCAUACCAUCUUUCACCAUUUCUCUUCCUUGCCGUGCAAGGGAGCCAUUCAUUUCCUAUUUUCUGCCAUAAAUCACUCCAUGCUGUGCACAUUCAUCCAUGUUCCCUCCUUGCACUCAUUUCUUGCACCAUUCCACUUCUUUUCCUUUGUCUACCAUGUGCACAAUAUCCUUUCACCUCCUUGCACUCAUUGAUUCACCACUUAUUCACCUUUCCACCCAUGCCAUGCAUAAUCACCCAUGUCUCCUUCAUGCACCAGAUUUCUUGCACUCAUUUCAUGCACCAUUACACUCAUUAUCCACCCAUGCUGUGCACCACCCUUGUCUCCUUCAUUAUUUCUGAUUUCAUGCAUCAAAACAUUGAAUCAUUGCACUCAAUUGCUACACAUUUCUUGUCCCCUUCACCCAUCAGAUUUCAUACAACUUUUACCUCCACCACAUGCACUCAUUGAUGCACCAUCCACCACAUUUGGAAUCACAUGCUGUUCCUCAUGAGUCUUGCUGUACCUUUGACUUAUUUCUGCACCAUUCCACCUCCAUUUCCUUUCUCUACAAUGUGCACAAUCAUUCAUGUUCCCCACUUGCAUUCAUGGCUACAAAACCACUCCAUUUUACCCCCUAUGCUUUGCAUCAUCACUUCAUUUUCACCUUUGAAUCAUUUCAACACCACUCCAUGCACUCAUUGCUGCAACACCACUCCAUUUUACCCUCAUGCUUUGCAUCAUUACUUCAUUUUCACCCUUGAAUCAUUGCACACACCACCAUUUUUCCCCUCAUUACCGUGCACUUCCUCUAUAAAAGGAAGUGUGUGUGGCAGCCAUAAAGUUUAGUUUUUGCUUGAUCAUUCAUCCCCAUUUCAAUACAACCUUCAUCCAAACACAUCCAUUCAUCUUUACAUCCAUACAAACAAACCUUCAAACACUCACCAACACCUUGUGCCGUAGCAAAGAAAGGGAAGGAAAGUGCUUGGACGUGCUUGCUGUCCAACUUGGAUUGUUGGAGCGUUUAGGUGUUUUCUUUCUUUUGUUUCCAAUGUUUAAAUUCAUUUUCUUUCAUUUUGUUGUGAAUAUAAGUGGCUAAACCCCUCUUAGCUAGGGGUGAUUUCAAAGCCAUGAUUAUGUGUGUAAUAUGAUUUGAUACAUUCCAGUUAUGAACUCUUGAAUCGUGAAUGCAAUUGGCUUAACUAUUUGAUUGAUAACUUAUUUGUAUUUGUUGAUUAAGGGUCGACACUUAAUUGGCAUGCAUAAAUCCGAUGCUAGAAUAUAAGAAAGUUUCACAUAGUCGUUACAAACCUAUAUUCAUAAGUAGUGGAGGUCGCUUAUAAAUGAUCGCGUUAAGUUUAAUUCUAGCAUGAGUGACAUGAUGUCAUAGUUGCAAGUGCUUUAUCAAUGCUUAUGAUUUUCAUUAAACGUAAUGAUCUUUGAUUGUAUCUCUAUUAUGAUGUCAUGUAGGGAACGUUUGAAGAAUGUUUUGGGUUGUCGAGUGAUGUCAUCCAAUCCAAUAAAACAAGGAAAAUCUGAGGGUUAACUAGUGAUGUCACAGUUAAUUUGGAGCAUUGUCGUUCAUAAUUCAAUAAAGUAGUAAUUGGAAAUCGAAUUAUUUGCAUACAUAUCAUGUGUGGAGAGAAAGCCUCUAGCUAUCCCAUCCAUCACCUUAUUUCUCACAUUUGUUUUACAAUCUGUCUAGAUUUUCAUACUUGUUUGUUUGUUACAACUUCAUCCAAAUCAAAACCCCCCUUUUAGUUCUUGUUUCAAAGUGUUUCAAAUCUAUUUUAGUUGUGUUUUUAAGUGUUUUGAUUGAAGUAAAAGUCCAUUUUCGUCCAAAGUCAUUCCUAGUGUCUAGUUUAAGUUUAUUUGGUUGUUUUGAGCUGUUUUGAGUAUUUUAAGUUUGCUUUGAGUCUUGUGGAUCUUGUUAAGUAUUUUUAAGUUUAGUUUUAUGUUUUUGAGUUAGUUUAGAGGUUAUUAGCAAGCCCUCCUAAUCCCCGGUCCAAAACGAUCCCUACUUAUACUUAUACUACAAUUGUCAAAAAAUGGUUAAAUUUGUGUGUUAAGUUAAUUUUCGCAUCAACGGGUAACAUUAGUGAGCUUGUUGAAUGAAAUACUUUUUGGACAAUAUCUAAAGGGAAGUGAUUUCACACCUUUUUGGCUUCUUACGCGCCAAUAUGUAUUUCUAACUAUUGGAUUGAAUAAAUCACACAUAAUCAAUGGUCAUGAUUAAACAAAGGUAUGUAGGAGCCUAAAGCAGGUAUGUGUUUGUCAUGUCCUAUUCAAAAUCUGUUGUCUCUCAGGUCGAAGAAAUCCAGAAAUUGAUCUAUGAGCUGCACUACGAGGGAUGCGAGAUCAAUGAGCACUUCCAAGUUGGGGCGAUAAUUGAAAAAUUGCCAACUUCGAGGAAUGACUUCAAAAUUUAUCUUAAAAACAAGCGUCGAGAUGAAUAUGGAGGAUUUGAUCUUGAGGCUACGAGUAGAAGAAGACCGCAGAAAGGCAGACCAUUUUGGAGGGUUUGCUGCCAUUGAAGCCAAUGCAAAUUAUGUUGAGGAAGGAAACUCCAAGGCCAAGCCGAAGAAGAAUAAGGCUCUUAAAACCAAGCAGUUUGUACAAUCUGCCCUUGCUCCCAAAGGCAAUAAUCUGAAGAAGAUUAAGGGCGCAUGCUAUGUGUGUGGCAAAUAUGGUCACAAGGCACAAGAUUGUUAUCAUCGUAAGGAUGGAAAUCAUGCCAACGGAAACAACAACAACCAUGCUAACAUGGCAACCACCAAGGAAGAAUUGGCUGCUAUUGUGUCCGAAGUCAACAUGGUCUCAAAUGUGAGUGAAUGGUUAUUGGAUACUAGUGCUACUAAGCACAUAUGCGCUGACAGAAAUCUAUUCACUGAAUACCAUCCUGCUGCCUAUGGAGAAAAGCUGUAUAUCGGUAAUUCUGCCUUUACUGCGGUGGAGGGCAAAGGCAAAGUGGUACUCAAAUUCACAUCUAGAAAGAGUCUCACCUUGAUGAAUGUGCUGCAUGUUCCUGAAAUAAGGAGGAACUUGGUUUCUGGACCUAUUCUGAUUGCUAAAGGCUUUAAACUUGUAAUGGAAUCCAACAAAUUUGUACUUACCAAGGGUGGGAUGUUUGUUGGAAAGGGUUAUGUGGCUGAUGGCCUUAUGAAACUCAAUGUAAUUGCUAUUGAUGAUGCUAAUAAAAUAAAUGCUUGUACUUAUAUUGUUGAGUCUUCUAAUAUUUGGCAUGCUAGAUUAGGACAUGUUAAUUUUCGUUCCAUGCAUAGAAUGGUUAAAUUAGAAUUAUUACCUAAAUUCCAAAUUGAUUUUAAUAAGUGUGAAACAUGUACUAAAUCGAAAUUUGCUAGGCAAAUGAGAAAGUCAAUUCCAGAAAGAUCAAAUGAAUUACUUGGAUUAAUUCAUAGUGAUCUUUGUGACUUUAAAUCCACACCAACUCAUGGAGGAAAGAAUUAUUAUGUCACUUUUAUUGAUGAUUGCAGUAAGUAUUGCUAUAUUUAUUUGAUUCAUAGCAAGGACAAAGCUUUGAAUAUGUUUAAGACAUAUAAAGCCGAAGUUGAAAAUCAACUUGAGAGAAAAAUCAAAGCACUUAGAUCCGAUAGAGGAGGAGAGUAUGAGUCUACUACCUUCUCAGAUUUUUGUGCACAACAUGGAAUUAUACAUCAAACAACGGCUCCAUACACACCACAACAAAAUGGUGUUGCCAAAAGAAAAAAAAUAGAACAUUCAAAGAUAUGAUUAUUUUCAUGUUAUAUAGUUCAGGGCUUCCACACCGUUUGUGGGGUGAAGCUUUACUUACUGCAAAUACCAUAUUGAAUAAGGUUCCUCUAAAAAAGAUUGACGAGUCACCAUAUGAACUAUGGAAAGGACAUAGACCCACUUAUAAAACCCUCAAAGUGUGGGGUUGCUUAGCAAAGGUGCAAGUUCCGUUACCAAAAAGAACGAAGCUAGGAUCUAAAACUAUUGAUUGUGUAUUCAUUGGAUAUGCAAAUAAUAGUGCUGCUUAUAGGUUCCUUGUUGUAAAAUCUUCGAUUUCUGACAUACAUGUCAACACUAUAUUAGAAUCAGUGGAUGCAUAAUUCUUUGAGGAUAUAUUUCCUUACAAAGAAAAUGAAUCUGGUUAUAAUACAAAGAGGGUUCAUGAUCAUAGUCAUGAUGAAGCCUCUUCUUCUGGUGUCCAAGGAAAUGAUGUGGAACCAAGAAGAGGAAAAAGAAUCAAAGUUUCUAAAAACUCUGGACCAGAUUUCAUUGCUUUCUUGUCCGAGAAUGAACCUAGAACUUUUAAAGAAGUAAUGUCUUCUUCUGAGGCUCCUUUAUGGAAGGAAGCAAUUAAAAGUGAAAUGGAAUCCAUUAUGGAAAAUAACACAUGGGAAUUGGUUGAUUUACCUCCCGGUAGUAAACCAAUUGGUCAUAAACGAAUUUUCAAGAAGAAACUUAAGGCAGAUGGAACCGUUGAUAAGUUCAAGGCACAUUUAGUAGCCAAAGGUUAUCGCCAAAAAGAAGGUUGGAUUAUUUCGACACCUAUUCUCCAUUUUCUCGCAUAACGUCAAUUUGGACGUUAAUAGCGAUUGCAGCUGUAUACAACUUUGAUAUACAUCAAAUGGAUGUAAAAACAACAUUUUUAAAUGGAGAACUAGAUGAAGAAAUAUACAUGGAACACCUUGAAGGGUUUGUGCAUAAAGGACAAGAAAGCAAAGUGUGCAAAUUAGUUAAGUCAUUAUAUGGAGGGCACGAGAAAUUUGAUCAUACUUUGUUGACACAUGGGUUCAAAAUAAAUGAAUCUGAUAAAUGUGUCUACAUUAAAAGUAAUGAUAAAACUUGUGUUAUUGUCUGCUUGCAUGUGGAUGAUAUGCUCAUAAUGGGAAGCAAUAAAGAUGUAAUAAACAAAACAAAGAAAAUGUUGAAUUCAAGUUUUGACAUGAAAGACUUAGGUCAAGCGGAUGUCAUUUUAGGAAUUGAAAUUAAGAGAAAUAGUGAAGGAUAUGUCCUUACACAAUCCCAUUAUGCAGAAAAAAUAAUACGAAGGUUUGGUCAAUUUGACUAUAAACCUGCUGUAACUCCUUUUGAUGCUGGAUGCAAGUUGAAGAAAAAUAAAGGCGAUGCCAUAUCUCAACUUGAAUAUUCUCAAGUAAUUGGAAGUCUAAUGUACUUAAUGAAUUCAACUAGGCCCGACUUAGCUUAUGCAGUAAGUAGGCUUAAUAGAUAUACAAGUAAUCCGGCACAAGAGCAUUGGAAUGCUUUAGUAAGAGUGUUAAGGUAUUUGAAAAAUACACUUGACUACGUAUUAUACUACACAAAGUAUCCACCUGUUAUAGAAGGCUUCAGUGAUGCCAAUUGGAUUUCUGACACUACAGAAUCCAAAUCGACAAGUGGAUAUGUUUUUACCUUGGGAGGUGCAGCAAUAUCUUGAAAAUCCUCUAAACAGAAAUGUAUAGCUCGGUCCACCAUGGAGUCCGAGUUUAUAGCUUUAGACUUGGAUGGCGAAGAAGUCGAGUGGCUCAAAAAAUUUCUGGAGGAUAUUCCCAUGUGGCCAAAGCCGAUAAUUGCUAUAUGUAUACAUUGUGAUAGUAUGGCCGCACAAGCAAGGGCCAAAAGUCAUGUAUACAAUGGGAAGUCACAUCACAUCAGGCGUCGACAUAAUACUCUUAAGAAGUUGCUCUCCAAUGCAAUAAUAUCCAUUAAUUAUGUGAAGUUAAAGGACAAUAUAGCUGAUCCUUUGACAAAAGGCCUACCAAGAGAGCAAAUAUUAUUUACAUCGAGGGGAAUGGGUCUCAAGCCAAUUCAAUGAAUCGAACUGGGCAGACACCUAACCUAGCUGAUUGGUGAUCCCAUGGUCAAGGUUCAAUAGGCAAAGUGGUUGAGUUUGAUUCAAAGUUGAACACACAACUUACCCAUUCUUAUGAUAAAAUGUGUGUUGUCUGUUGACGUUUGAGGGAUAUAUUUAAUGACAUUAAUAUCUUGUUAUCAAGAGGAAUAUGGUAGACUAUUCUUAAUUAAUGUCACCUAUAUAGGAGUAAAUGGGGCCGCAUUUAUGAGAAUUGACAUGGCUAAAUUCUCUAAAGCUCCUAUGAAAUCUGGGAUCUGUUCAGGGCCAAAAUGAACACAACCGUAUGAAUUAAGGUGUGGCAAACAUGAUAUGUGUGUAGCAUAUUGUCUCGGUUUAUUACUACGGUGAACAGUUCAAGAUCUUUUACAUCCAAUGCAUCACCAAGUAAACCCGAUAUGUUUUCACUAGGGUAAGUUCAAGUCCAAAAGACACUUCACUCGAUGCAUAUCAUGUCUAUUAUCUCUCAGUUUUAAGCAACCUAGUCAUCCAUUUGCAUUUACAUUUGCAUUCAAAUGUGGGUUAAUUGUUGGAGUUUGAAUGAAAUUUCAACUCAAAUGUGGGGUAUUGUUGGAAAUUUGAGUAGUUUAAGUAGAAAUUUCUUUGUCCCACAUUGGCCAUUCCCAAAAGAUUUUAUCACUUUAUAAGGCUUUGUCCUUUAUAGAAAGUGAUUGGAGUAAUAGGCCUGGAGAAUAAAAUUGGGCUCACCCUUGGGGUUGGGCUUUGGGGUGCACUAAUUAAUUGGUAAUUAAUUAUAAUUAAUAUAUAAUUAAUUAUCAAAAGAUGAGCCUUGGGCCUCUUGGGCUUGGGCUCUAAUAAUUAAAUUAUUUAAUUAAUUAUUUUCGGAUUCAAUUAAUUAUUUUUAAUUAAUUUCGAAUUUAAUUAUUUAAUUAUUUUUUACCAACAGACUCAUCAUUUUAGAUGAAGUCUGAAGGGUUCAGAAAGAACACAGAGUAAAGCGCCCAUUUGGAGAAGAUGUCUCCCAACAGACACAUCCCAUUCUCAUACCUGUUGCAAACAGGCAUCCUUCUAUUAUAUAUACAUCCUUCUGCAUGGCAUUUAGGACACAUAAAAUCAAUAUUCUUCUUCUAAAAUCACAAACAUCCUUUAUGAGAGAACCACACAGAAAUUCGCCAGAAGUUAAGUUUUCCAGUGCUAGAAUUCUAACUUGAUUGUUGAAUCCUAGUGAAGCGAACGUCCGUAGAACUACAAGCACUGAGUAGGGACGAAAUUUUUGUUUCAAGGACAUUGCGGUACGCAAGCCUCGAUCUUCAAUUUUUCUGUUUAAAUUUAUUUCGUUGUUCAUACUCUGUUCAAUAAUUUUUAUAUUCGCAUUUAUUGUUUAUUAGCAUAUAUAUAAUUAAAUCACAGAUUAUUGAUAUAUAUCCAACACGUUUUACCGAGAUAACCUCGAGGAUGAUGAAUUGUGCAAGUGUAAGAUUAGGAAUACAACUUACAUUGUACUUGUUGCCCUAUAGAAGCGAUUAACGACUAACAUGGGCCAAAGGGGUUCCUUAUUCUAUAUGCACUUGAUUAAUGUUAAAGAAGAUUUCAGUAUUGAAGGCAAUGUUAUUUUAAGUAAUGUGAGUAUACAGUACUAAUUAACCUAAUAUGGAAAAGUAGAAAAUAGAAGUGAAUUUUUUUAGAUAAUGAUAAUGGGUAGAGAGAAUAAAUUGGUGGUAUACUUGACAUUUUUGAUAUUUAAAUCCAAGACCUCUCACCAGUUAACUGAAAUAUGCACCAGAAGUGAAUUCACUGCCUUACAGAAGAACAUAUUUAUGUAAAAGGAGAGAUGCCAUGCAUUUCACAUAAGAUGCAUCAGUAUACUCCAUUUAAUUAUAGCUUUAACCUUUUCCUUGAGUAGACUCUUCCAUAACAUUUUGGAUUAGAUAUGACAUGUUUGAGUGAGAUGAUCCUCCUUCUUCCAUAGCCCUUCUACUCAUCUCACCAAUUUCUCUUGCUCUCGUUCUUCGCUUUUUUCCUUCUUCGCUCUCAUCCAUCAGCGAUUCUAUUGCCUGCUUCACUCCUCCUUUCUUCACCAACACCCCAACUUUCUCUUCAUCCCCCCACCUAACCGGGACUUCUACACCAACCCGAACCCCGAUCCUCAAAACUUCUACAAUCAUUUUUUCGUUGAAGAACUGCUCGGCAAACAGAGGCCAUGUAAUCAUUGGUACACCGGAACAUGCCCCUUCUAUCGUUGAGUUCCAACCACAGUGAGUUAAGAAUCCUCCAAUUGCAGGAUUGGAGAGUAUAAGAACUUGUGGAGCCCAACCCUUGAUCAGAAGACCUCUCCCUUUGAUCCUUUCCUCAAAUCUUUCCUCCACUAACCACUUCUCUAAUUCUAAAUACUUCUCACUUGUUUUGACUACCCAAAUAAAUGGCCACCCUGAUGCUUCUAAACCAAGUGCAAGCUCAAUCAGUUGUGUUGGAACUAGUCUGCAAAGGCUACCGAGACACGCGUAGAUAACCGACCUUGGUUUCAUUGAUUCGAGCCAUUCCAAGCAUUGCCUCUGAUCAAUUAAGGGUUUGUUGCCUCUAGAAAACCUGUCCAGAUUGCUCUUGUUGCACAAGGAAACCGGCCCGAUGCACCAAAGUUUUUUUCCAAGCACCUUGCUCAACUCUUCAGCACACCCAUGCUCCAGUUCAUCACAGCUAUUCACUACAACCCCAUAGGAUGUUAAUUCUGCUUCUUGUAUCUUGUCCCGAAAAUCAUUUAAAUCGGGCAGGGUAACAAAUUCUCCGGGCAGCUGAGCCUUAGUGAUCUCAAUCCUCUGGGGCAGCCCUGGUACCACAAAAGGUUCAGAGUCAGAGGUGACAGAAUUGUGAGCAUUGCAGGCUUUCACAUUGUGAGAGCUCAACAGUGAGAAGCAGCACAUCCCAUGGAAAACAAUCCUCGGAACAUUGAACUUCUGAGCUGUUUUCGAAGUCCACGAUAGGGCCUUGUCCGAGAUUAUGCAGCUGGGGUGAAGAUUAUGCUCGCGAAGGUAGUUUUCAACCGGUUCUUGUAGCAAACUUAGAGCCUUGUAGAAUUUUCUGAGCAGGUCUCUUGAGGGUAAAGUGUCAAGAUUCUCACACCCGAUUGGAAGUCCGACUGCUUGGCAUGGAAAUGGGAUUUCCACAAGGACAAUUGGAAGUUCAGAUUCUCUUGCUCUGGAAAUCGUGGUGUCGAAUCGCGAGGCAUUGUUUGGAGUAGUGACCAAGCUAACCAUUACCCCACGCUCUGCAAUAAGCCUAGCCAUGUCUACCAUGGGGAUCAUAUGGCCUUGUGCCAUGAGAGGGAUUAAGACAAAGUGAGGCUGCUUUUGCCUUGCUAGGGAAGCCAUAGUAGAGAAAAGAAAAUAUCGGUUUGCAGCUCUUAUCAGCUACCAAGAUUAAACAUAUAGAUGAUACAUUUGUAUUUCAAACGCUGGUUCAAUAUUUUGCAAAAUGUCUCCCAAUGUGAACUUGACUUUGAAUAAUUAUUAUACUAAGAUGUCAUAUCAUUUGUAGUCAAAUGCAAAAAGAAAACAAAUUAUGGGUUGAAUGAGUCAUAGUCACAGGCAAUUUCAUUACCCUACAUGUGUUCUUUUCUUUGUUUAUGUUUCUUUUAAUUACGUGUGAAACACUUUAGGAUCCAUUUGGAUGAAGCAAUUUUAAUGUUCAUAAAAGGUGUUUUUUUCUAUGUUUUUGUUUCUUUUGAUUAUGUGUGAAACACUUUAGGACCCAAUUAGAUGAAGCAGUUCUAAUGUCUGUAGUGUGUUCUUUUCCUAUGUUUUUGUUUUUUAUUUUAUUACGUGAAACAUUUUAGGACCUAUUUGGAUAAAACAAUUGUAAUGUACCGAGUGUAUUUUUUUUAAUAUAUUUUUGUUUAUUUUGAUUAAAUGUGAAACACUUUUAGAUCCAUAUGGACCAAACGAUUCUAAAUGAUUCCUUGCAUAUUGUCCUCACUUUCAAAUUCUUCCAUCCGAGUGGUGUAAGAUUAUGACGAGUGUUGCUUUUAUACCAACCAUCCAAAUCGUUUAAUGAUAAUCAUUUCAGACAAGCACCGAAACCCCUGCACUAAAUUGAGGGUUCUGAUUGGUUGUCCAGACUUCACAAGAGAGCAUAAUAUUCCCUCAUCAAUAUUAAGCUUCUUUAUUUUAUUAGGCGUAGUUCAAAAUUUCCAUCGACUGGCACUUGGAAUGUUCCAAUGUUUAGUAGUUUUGGUUAAUGAACUUCUCUACCUCUCAUCAACGUAAUCUAUUAAGGAAAAGAAAUGAAAAAUAAGAACAGCACAGAUACAGCCUGCCUUGGCCACGCCCAUAGAUUUUGCUUUUGCAUCUGAUAUAUUUUAGGCACAAAAUUUUAUACAACCGGUGCCUUCAAAAUGUGCCUUAGAAAAACUGUGUUAUAUACGCAAAGUUGUAUAAAAUUAGUGUCACAUACAAAUUAGUGUCAUGUAUUAUGUAUACAAGUAUAUUGUGUAAUUUUCACCUAUUAUCGCACAAGAAGUUCUAUUUUAUGAUCAUCCGCUUACAAGCAUCAUAGCCAAUUAAAUGAGACCAAAUAAAAGCAUCUUCAAUAAUAUAGACAAACGAAUAAAUAAACUUAUUUUUGUGAGCGACGUAAACAAAAACUUGCUCCAACAAUAUAUAUAAAAGUAAUUGAAUAGAUAAAUCCUCAAUCCAUCAAAGUAAUGAUAAAUAGAAAGAAAGACUAGGUCAAUUGCUAUCAUUUGUAAGAUGGGGUUGCUAUCAUGUAAAUUGUAUUUUGCUUGGAUGUACUUGCCCAAGGCACACUUGACUAUUGACCCGGAAAGACAGACUUGACUUUGAAGGAUUCUAACGCGUAUAAUAUGUUUAGAUAUACAUGCAAUAUGACUCAGCCCUUGUCUGGGUUUGGUUUCUGUCGACCCUUUGCGUACCGGCGGGGUUUCGAACAACCUUCAUUUCUACAGAAAAAUGUUUGCUUUCUAUUGAACUCUGGCUCACUGAUCUGUACGUUACGAUGUUAGAUUUUGUCCAGUUCAGUGAAAAGAAAGAGGGUUACUCACAUAAAUAACAAUUUAUGUUAUUUAUGCGAGUGGGUGAAUAACUUUAAACUCACACAAAUCUUGCAUCAAACACUAUAGAAAAGUGAGCAAUAGCUAUCAAAACUAGUAGUUGUUAUUAGGGUAACAAUAAUGUUUCUAGUGAGAAAUAUAUAUAUUUUAAUACAUAUUAGUUAGCAUUAUGGUGUAGCAGUUACUUACCUUUUGGCUUUUUGUCACGUUUUCUCAUUGGUAACAUUGUUUUUACCACAGUAGUAGAAAGGUGUUGUACUCUUACAUAACAGUGUGCAUUCAAAUAUCGUUGGUUGCUAAUCUAAUAUCUACCUUACUAGUGAUAUUGCUCAACUCAAUAAAAAAAAAAAAAAAAAAAAGAAACACAGCUAUGAAAAUAACUACUAAUUGCGGUAGCUAUUGCCCCGUCUUUUUGUAGUGAAACUAAAUUUUUAAAUAUUUUGACAGUUUAUUGAAUAGAAAGAUGUUUGGUUUAAAGAGUCUUGCUCUCGUCUAUACGUUAAUUAGCGGUUGAUAAUUUUGUGGGCCAACAACUUAAACUUAUAUAAGAUUAACCUAAUGCAUCUUGCAUUAAACAAUGACUUGAUACAACUUUGUUCAACAAAUUGACAAGAUAACUGCGCAUGUUAUUUUAUUUACUUAUUACGUGUUUCGAGGUUUUAUAUAUUCUUUGGUAUUUAACAACGCUGGUUUGUCAAUUCCUGAAAUUUUUUUCUUAUAUAUAGAAAACUUUUUUCAGUACAAAAAUUAAUAUGAAAGUACUUUUCUAUAAGUGUAGCAUAUUCUAUUGACCAAUAUAUGAACAAAUUGAACUUAUAUUAUUGUUUGCUGCACUCGCUUUUUUCAUGUAAGGAUAUUUCAAUAUUUUAGUGUGGCCCAUAGUAAGUGGUUCAUGUGUGAUAUAUUAAAUUAAAUUGAUAUUGUUUUGGAAGCAAUUUUAUUGGUCAAAGAGCUGCUAUUGCUGUUGCCUUGUACUCUACUUCGUGGUUGAUAAAGAUACUGUUGAUUGUCUCUUACUGCGCCAUGAAAUUAUUCGUAAAUCAGUUUGAUGGGAGCAUAUUUAUACAAUUUUAUUAUCUUAUUUCUUUGCAUUUACUUAGUUAAUUUCUAUUUAUUAUAGUAAUUUAAGUUAUUUUCAUAUUAUUGUAGGUCCAGUUGGUAAUGAUGGCAAUAAAUGGCAAAACUAGAAGAAAAAAGCUCAUCUACCACGGUGGAUGUCUAUGAUAAAUUACAAUCUACCACAGGCAUUAUGCCCGUUAGUAUUUUGGAUGUGAUAGAAAGUUUUGUUUCUACCACGAACUAUUCACGUUGUCAAAUGCAAUGUAACCACGGAUUGUGCUUGUGGUAGAUUGGGAUCUAACACCACGUGUUAUGGCCAUUGUGGAUUACAAAUUGAUCACGGUUAAUGCUCGUUAUAAAAAAAUUUCCAAAGUAAAAAAAAAAAAAAAAAAUUAUUUAAUAGAUAAAAAAAUAUAUAUAAAUAUACAAAAUUGCAAAUUUAAUUUUAUUAAAAUUCAUAUAUUAAAAUUCAUAUAUUAAUAUACCAAAUCACCAAAAUAUGUAGAGACUUUGCUUCACACUCUAAAACAAAACUCAAGUCCUAGUACCAAUCUUGGUCCUCCAAUGCUAUUCGUCUUCUCUGCAAUUUUUUCUUUAAGAAGACACACAUCUUCUGCAAGCCAAUCACAUUUUAAAUUUGCAGGUGGCUGUAAAUAUAGCUGAUAUUUGAGUUAUAAACCCUCAUGAAUUAGAACCACCAACCAUCUAUGAGACAAACAAGGAAAAAUAUAUAGCUUACAAAUCAGAACUCAUCACACAGGGCCCAUAGACCGACCUGUAAAAAAAAUUGAUUGCAAUAAUUCAAGGUUUUCCUUUUUUAUUUCGAACCACCUAGUCAUAGAUUGAGUUUCUUACUCGAAGAGUAUUGUGAUAUGAAAAAUAAUAGUCAAAAUCUAGAAGGAGAGACACAAAGAGACCUCAUGUAUUUGUCAAGCAUAUGAAGAUCAAUGUGGAUGUCUUCCUCUGUGUGUGUGUGAGAGCGAGCGAGGAGAGAGGAGAGUUUUCCAUGGGGCUUCCAUUACAGUAAUUAAGAACAAUCAAAACAUGCCACUCUAAAAUUUUAGGAGAAAUGAGAGUUUGCCACAAUAACCAUCGAGGUUUGGAGCUCUUGAGGUGAGAUCUUCCUAAGAAUAAACAUGCCACUCUAAAAUUUUAGGAAAUUGUGAACCAUGCAUGGCAUUGUGAAUAAGAAGAGUGUUUUGCUUUUCAAAACAUUAUGAUUGCGGCUUAAACUAUAUUGUAUCGUCCCUUGCAUGCUUUCUUUUGAUUAAGAACAAUCAAGGGCUGGAAUUUGUAACUUCAAGUGCCCUGAUAUUAAGUGUGGAACCCACAUAAAGAAAUUCCUUUUAUACUAUAAAAUGGGAAAGGCUUAAACAAUAACAUAGCAUGACUAACCACUUGUUGCCAGCUCUCUUGCAUCCCGAUCGUUAUGGCCUCUGGCUCCGAAUGCACCUAAAAGAAUUCAAAGGACAGACCAAACAAAAUGACCAUCCAAAUUUUACCAAAAAAAAAAAAAAAAAAAAACCAGGAAUAUAAGCAUAAUAAUCACCACAAAUACAAAUAAUUUGUCUUUUCUUGCUUACACCAUUUUUUAUAUUUGUCCCGACAUUUUUGUUACCUUGGUUCUCUCAUUUGAAACCUUGAGAACCAUGAGUCUUUUGCGAGAUUGGCUCCAUUACAUUCUGGAGUUUGUUCUUUUACUCAUAAUUAAUUUAAACAUAAUUAUGCAGGAACACCAAACUCCCAUUAUGCAAACCCAAUUUAGCAACCCAACAAUUUUCUUCAGCAAUUCAAUAAGUAGGGACAAUCAGAGACUUAAAAUUUUGAUUAGUCCCAAGACCAAAAAUAAGCAUAAAAAUCAAAGAAUUAAACUUGGCAAUAAUUUACUCACCAAUUGUAAUCAGAUUUCUCAUUCCCUAAAUUCAACAACUCAUCCACCCAGCUAUUCCGUUGCUGCGCCACAACUAGAAAUCCUAGCAGCUUCGCGAAUGUCAAUUAUGCAGAAACCAAACACAACCCAUCAUCAAGACAAAGCGAGCUCUUCCUCCCCCCCCCCCCCCGAUCUCGAGACAAAACAAGCUCUUCAUCUCUGUAGUUUAGGGUCGGAAAAUCGUCGACAUAAGCGAAUUGGAUGAGACCUGAUGGUUGAGGGCAUCUGCCUGAAAAUUGUAAAUAGGGUUUGAGAUCUGAAAUUUGGGCAUUUAUUAUUAUACUAGUUGAUUUAAAAAAUAAAAAAUUUAAAUUACAGAUAACAAUUACAGUCAGUCAUAAAUUAAAAAGGCGCUGUUGUUAAAACUUUUUGCGAUCACAGGCUUUCCUUGUGGUAAUAUUUAGCUAAAUUAGAACGGGCUAUAAACGCGCAUUGUUAUUUUAACCAUUUCAAUCACAGGUUUGUUUAUGCCCGUUGUUAUAAUAAUUAUUUACCACGAACUUCAAAUGUCCAUGGUUAAAUUUGACUUUUUAUAACAAACUUUAUACGUCUGUGGUCAAUUAGCCAUGGUAGAUGUAGUGUUGUGGCGUAGUGUGGAGAAAUUUAGAGUAGUUUUGGACUUGGAUUGGAUAGCAGACUGAUAGGAGCAUAUUUAUGCGCCUUAGUUAGCUAGUUCUUAUGCAUUUUUGUUAUGUUUUUUUCGUCAAAGUAGUCUUUUAAGCUACUUUCAUGUGUUUUCAGGGUUAAAGGACAUAUUACACGAAAUGAUGCAAUUUGGAGCUUUUGGAGCAAAAAGUGAGCUGGAAUGUGGUGUAUGCAAAUGGAGCACGAGGAAUGGACGAGUUUGAAGGUCAAAGAAGCUUAAGAAUGAAGAAAUGAAAGUGAUGAACUAAGAAUUCGGAAUUGGAAACCAAAGUUUCUAAAGUUGGAAGUUUCUAUUCUUGGAGGUUUCCAAUUUCGAGAGUUUCUAUUCUCGGCUUUGGGCUUUUGGAUGACCCAUCUUUGCCUCUUGGACCUAUGCCGCACCUAGGCCUUGUUCACAUGAAAAAAAUCUGAUUACUUACCCUAAGCCCAUGCCGCACCUAAUGUUCUAGAAACCCUAGUUUUUGGUGGAUUUCCUAACCCUAGCCGCACCUAAAACCCUAGCCCAUUUGUCUAACCUGAUUUCUUUAGGGUUUGGCUGCCUAUAUAUAUGUGUUUUUACCUCCCUUGGCCGAACACCACCCUCUCCAUAUUCAGAAAUUCGUCCAAAACCCUAUUUCCCAUCUUGCCGCACCUUUCCUUCAUUCCAGCCGAUUUCUACCACCAUUCUUCAUCUCCACACCUUCCACACAACACCCAUACACCAUCCCCAAGCCUUGCCGUGCCUUCCCACCACCAUCACCACCUUGUGCAGCCACCAUUGGAGGAGGAAGAAGUAGUGCCGUGCAUUCCAAAGGAGGAAGACACCUUGCACAUGCAAUCUGCCAUUAGUGGAGUGUUUGGAGUUCUUUCUUUCUUUGUUUCUGUUUUCAUGUUUAAUUUAAAUUGUUGUUCAAUUAUGUUAGACAUGUGGAACUAAUUUCUUUUUAGUUAGAGGUGAAUUUGAAGCCAUGGACAUAUGUUUUAUAUGAUUUGAUUUCUUCCAAUUAUGAUUUCAGAAAUUGUGAAUGUGAUUUACUUAUCUAUUUGAUUGAUAACUUGUUUAUGUAUGUGGGUUGAGGGUCGACACUUAAUUUGCAUGCCUAAACUUGAUGCUAGGAUAUAAGGGAAUUUCACCUAAUCGCUAUUAACUUGUAUUCAUAAGUAGUGAAAGUCGCUAGUCACGAUUGUGUUAAGUAAAUCCUAGGCAAGAAUAACAUGUGUAUCCCAUAGUUAUGAAUGCCUCGUCAAUGCUUAUGAUUUCCAUUAAACUUAAUGAUCUUUGAUAUGUGUCUCUAUCAUGCGUAUUCCAUAGUUAGGGUCCUUGAUAAGAAUAAUUUGGUUGUAAUGCGUAUUCCAUUCAAUUCAAUGAAUCUAGGGAAAUCUGAGAAUUAAUUGGUGCAAUCUAGUUAAUUUGGGGCAUUGUCAUUCAUGGUUUGUUGAAAGAGUAAUUGGACAUCGAGUUGUAUGCAUAUGUUCAUGUGUGGAUAAGGAACCCUCUAACUAGCUUCUCACCAUUCUAUUUAAUCACAAUAUGUGCUGCUUUACAUUUGUUUUUAAAGUCUGAGUUUUAAAGUUUUAAUUUCGUCAAAAUCAUUCCCCCAUUUAUUUUAAAGUGUUAGAUUAGUUAGAAAUCCAUUUAGUUGUGUUUUUAAGUGUUUUGAGUCAAGUUAUAGUCCAAAUUCGUCCAAACUAGUGUUAGGUACUCAAAACUGCCCAGAAAGUGGUUUUAAGGCAGUUUUGAGCCUUUUAGUUGCUGUUUUGAGUUUUUAGUUUGUUUAGGUGUUUUAAACCCUAGUUUUGCAUUAAUUGAGUCUAGUUUAGUGUUCUACAUUAUAUUUUUAUGUUCUUGAGUCAGUUUUACAUUGAUUAGCAUCCCUAGUUAAUCCCCGGUUAGAACGAUCCCCUAUUUGCUCAUAUACUACAAUUGUCAUCCAUAGGGUUUAAUUUGUGUGUCAACAUAAUUUUCACAUCAAAUUUUGGCGCCGUUGCCGGGGAUUAGCAAAAUUGCUAAUCCCUUGUGUUUUUUUUGCCGUGUGUUUUAGUAUAAUUUACCUAGUUUGCUUAUUUUGUUUUGUUUUCUUGGUUUAGGUACUAGUGCAUGACGCGGAGCUCUCAAACCGUGCACGCACACAUAUUGGAUUUCAACGACGAUUUUGAACGUGAUUUGAGAAGAAAGAGGAGGCAUCCCGAACCUAGUGAACCUAGUUCAAGUUCAGAGGCCGAAUCUGAGUUUGAAGAAGUGGAAGAAGAAGUUAUGGCAGUGGACAAUCGGACCAUUAAAGAGCUUUCGGCCUCGGGGUUGACAAAUGCCGCACCAUUAUGCAUUCAAUACCCCGCGGCUGCCCAAGGCAAGACCGAUGAAUUCGAGUUGAAGUCAAGCUUGUUGCACCACAUUCCGAAAUACCAUGGGCUUUCCAUGGAAGAUCCCAACAAGCAUCUCAAGGAGUUCGAGGUUGUUUGUUCGAGCAUGACACCCAUCAAUGUUGACGGGAGUAUUUUGAUGAUGAAGGCUUUUCCAUUCUCACUUUUGGAAAAGGCGAAAGAUUGGCUUUACGAGUUAGCACCCGGAACGGUUACAUCUUGGGAUAGUAUGAAAAGAGCGUUCUUGGAGAAGUUUUUCCCAACGUCAAGAGUCAUUCUCUUGAGGAAACGGAUUAGUGGCAUCCAACAAAACCCAGGUGAAUCGUUUCCUUCUUAUUAUGAACGUUUUAAAUCACUUGUUGCUUCUUGUCCACAGCAUCAAAUGAAGGAGGAGCUACUCAUUCAAUACUUCUACGAAGGACUCCUCCCCAUGGAACGCCAAAUGCUUGAUGCCUCGGCGGGAGGAGCGUUGGUGGAUAAGACUCCGGGGGCUGCAAAAGUUCUAAUUGCCAAUCGAGCACAUAAUGCACAACAAUACGAAGGUGUUGGACAAAGGGACCCCCCACGGCCACAAGUGAAUGAGGUAAGUUCUAUGCCCGAGAUUCAAUCCCAAUUAGCUAACCUUACUUCUAUUGUUCUCAGUUAGCCGAGGGAAUGAAGAUUCAUGGACCAAGUGUGUGUGGCGUGUGCUCGGUGCAAGGACAUGCCAAUGAUCAAUGCCCUCAAUUGAUUGAGAAUGGGGGUUGGGAAGCUGCCAAUGUCGUUGGUUUUGGGAACCAAAAUCAACCACGCCAUGAUCCAUACUCUAAUUCCUACAAUCCGGGGUGGAGAGACCAUCCAAAUUUCAAAUGGCGGGAUCCUCAACAACCCCAACAACAAGGAGGAUUUAGGCAGCAACCACCGGGCUUUUAUACAAAGCCAUUCGUCCCCAAUCAAAACCAAGUGCAAUCUGCCCCACCAACCUCAGGUACGUCUUUGGAUAAUGAUCAAGUUGUUAAGUUACUUACUACUUUGACGCAGGAAGUACAAACUCAAAAUAAGGAGAGACAAAUCCAAGACAAACGGGUGGAUAAUUUGGAGAAGCAAAUGGGUCAAAUUGCCGAAUUCAUGGGGCAAAUUAGAGAACAAGGCAGAUUGCCUAGUUCAACCGUUGUGAACCCGAAGGGAGGAUUUGAAACCGCUAAGGCCAUCAUGUUGAGAAGUGGUAAACAGGUUGGAACGGACUCAAAUACAUCCAAAUCGAGUCAAGAAGAGGAGGACAGGUUGCUGCAAGAAGAAGCACAGGGAGCAAAGCCCACGGCCAAGGAUGACCAAACCUUGCCGCCACCCUCUAACCCUCCUAAAUCGUCCUCAACCACCAAGGUAAGUCCAAAUUCAACUUUUUCUAGUUCUAUUCCACUGAAUGUGCCCUUUCCUGGCAGGUUUAGGCAAUCAAAGAAGGAAGAACCCGAGAAGGACAUUCUAGAGACCUUUCGGAAAGUUCAAGUCAAUAUCCCGCUCCUUGAUGCGAUUAAGCAAGUCCCGAGGUAUGCUAAGUUCUUAAAAGAACUUUGUACAACAAGGAGAAGGAUUUCGAACAAAGAGGUGGUCCAAGUAAGUGAAAACGUCUCUGCUGUGUUACAAAGGAAAUUACCCCCUAAAUGCAAAGAUCCGGGUAGUUUUACAAUUCCAUGCGUUAUUGGUAAUACUAAGUUUGAACAAUGCAUGUUAGACUUAGGGGCUUCGAUUAAUGUUAUGCCAUACUCAAUUUAUGCAUCUAUGAACUUAGGUGAGCUUAAAAAUGAUGGUGUGAUAAUUCAAUUAGCCGAUCGUUCUAAUGCAUACCCAAAGGGUGUUUUUUUGGAAGAUGUUUUGGUGCAGGUUGGUAAUUUGAUUUUUUCCAGCGGACUUUUACGUGCUUGACAUGGAGGAUUCACCCCAUUCUACCCCAUUGCCGAUUCUAUUAGGGAGGCCCUUCAUGAAAACAGCCCGCACCAAGAUAGAUGUGUUUAAAGGAACUUUAACGAUGGAAUUUGAUGGGGAAGUCAUUGAUUUUAAUCUUUCUGAAAGUAUUAAAUUUCCUAAGGACGAUCAUUCUUGCUUUUCUAUUGAUAUAAUUGAUGAUUUGGCGCAGGAUUUUCUCGAUUGUUUGGAGAGGGAUACACUUGAAACAACAAUUGCACAAGGAAUUGGGCACAAAAAUGGUGUUGCCGUGCCUAGAAGUGAGGAUGAGGCCGAGAUAGUGGCUGCCCUUGAGUCACUCCCUCAACACCAUGGUAAGCCUUCUAACCCAAUUUCAAUUCCAGUUUCCACUAAUAAGAUGUUACCCUCAGUGAUUCAGGCACCCGUACUUGAGCUUAAACCGUUACCCGAUCAUUUAAAGUACGUUUUUCUGGGAGACAACGAGACAUUGCCCGUCAUUGUCUCUUCAUCACUCACGGCCAUAGAGGAGGAGAAGUUGAUCCGAGUGUUGAAAGAGCACAAGACGGCCAUUGGGUGGACUUUGGCCGAUAUUAGGGGAAUUAGCCCAACUACGUGCAUGCAUCGCAUACUUCUAGAGGAUGGGGCUAAACCAACUCGAGAGGCUUAGCGCCGUCUCAACCCUCCAAUGAUGGAAGUUGUGAAAAAGGAGAUUAUCAAACUUCUUGAUUGUGGAGUGAUUUAUCCGAUCUCUGAUAGUCGUUGGGUGUCACCGGUGCGAUGUGUUCCAAAGAAGUCCGGAGUGACCGUGGUGAAGAAUGCCGAGAAUGAGCUUGUGCCAACCCGUAUCCAAACAGGUUGGCGAGUGUGCAUUGAUUAUAGGAAGCUCAACGCCACCACAAGGAAGGACCACGUCCCUUUGCCGUUCAUUGAUCAAAUGCUUGAAAGGUUAGCCGGUCAUUCUUUUUAUUGUUUCCUUGGUGGUUAUUCUGGAUAUAAUCAGAUUGUCAUAGCGCCGGAUGACCAAGAAAAGACAACUUUCACAUGCCCCUUUGGUACUUUUGCUUAUCGUCGCAUGCCUUUUGGUUUAUGCAAUGCUCCGGCCACAUUUCAAAAGUGUAUGGUAAGUAUCUUUUCAGAUUUUGUGGAAAAGAUUAUUGAGGUAUUUAUGGAUGAUUUCAGUGUGUUUGGUGAUUCAUUUGAUGGAUGUUUGGAAAAUCUCACAAUAAUUUUGAAAACGAUGUGUAGAAACUAACCUAGUGCUUAAUUGGGAAAAAAUGUCACUUUAUGGUUAGACAAGGCAUAGUUCUAGGGCAUAUUGUUUCAGAAAGAGGAAUUGAAGUGGAUAAAUCGAAAAUAGAUCUUGUACGCUAUUUACCCUCUCCUACUUCGGUUCGAGAGGUUCGUUCGUUUCUUGGUCAUGCAGGAUUUUAUAGGCGAUUUAUCAAGGACUUCUCCAAGAUCUCAAACCCUCUUUGCCGUCUCCUCCAGAAAGAUGUGGCGUUUGACUUCAACAAGGAGUGUGAGAAGGCGUUCAAUCACCUAAAGGACAUGCUAACUUCGGCCCCUAUCAUAGUUCCACCGGAUUGGAGCCUUCCUUUUAAGCUUAUGUGCGACGCUUCCGAUUAUGCAUUAGGAGCUGUUUUGGGGCAAAGGAAGGACAAGAGGCCGCAUGCUAUCUAUUAUGCCUCUCGGACUUUAAAUGAUGCACAAUUGAAUUAUUCCACCACUGAAAAAGAACUUCUAGCUGUUGUAUUUGCUUUAGAUAAAUUCCGUUCUUAUUUGCUUGGUACUAAAGUUAUUAUUUAUACUGACCAUGCAGCAUUGAAGUAUUUGUUCACCAAGAAGGAGGCCAAACCACGACUCAUUCGUUGGAUGCUUCUUCUCCAAGAGUUCGAUAUCGAAAUCCGGGACAAGAAGGGAAGUGAAAACGUGGUGGCUGACCACUUGAGCCGUAUGGUGCAUGAGGAGGAUGCCGUGCCUAUCAUAGAGACAUUCCCAGAUGAGCAACUGAUGUCCAUCAAGGUAAGUGAACCAUGGUAUGCUGAUUUGGUGAAUUAUUUGGUGUCUAAACAUGUUCCUAGUGAAUUACUUAAACACCAAGGUGAUAAAUUGAAGAAAGAGGCACGGUUUUAUGUGUGGGAUGACCCGUAUUUAUGGAAAUAUUGCCCUGACCAAGUUAUACGUAGGUGUGUGCACGAUUCUGAGUUUAAUGCUAUUCUAACAUUUUGUCACACUUAUGCUUGUGGGGGACACUUUGGCACUAAUAGAACAGCACUUAAGGUAUUAGAAUGUGGUUUCUAUUGGCCUACCAUCUUUAGGGAUGCUAGAACAUUUUGCAUGUCUUGUGAUAGAUGCCAAAGAACGGGCAAUAUAGGUCCUAAACAACAAAUGCCGCAAACCCCCAUUUUUAGUGUUGAAAUAUUUGAUGUUUGGGGUAUUGAUUUUAUGGGUCCCUUUCCUUCGUCACAUGGAUUUCUUUAUAUAUUACUUGCUGUGGAUUAUGUGUCGAAGUGGGUGGAAGCAAAAGCCACCCGAACUAAUGAUUCUCGAGUGGUUGCAGAUUUUGUGAAAACUAACAUUUUUGCAAGGUUCGGAAUGCCACGAGUGCUCAUUAGUGAUGGAGGUUCCCAUUUUUGUAAUCGAACCAUCGAGGCGUUGCUCAAGAAAUACAAUGUCACGCAUAAGGUGGCCACACCUUAUCAUCCUCAAACGAGCGGGCAAGCCGAGGUUUCGAAUAGGGAAAUCAAGCAAAUUCUUGAGAAGACCGUGGGGCCUACGAGGAAGGAUUGGAGUUUGCGCUUAAACGAUGCAUUGUGGGCGUAUCGCACUACUUACAAAACCCCCAUUGGGAUGUCACAUUUUCGGCUCAUCUAUGGGAAGCCAUGCCAUCUUCCCGUCGAGUUAGAGCAUCGUGCACACUGGGCCGUCAAAACGUUUAACAUGGACCUUGAUGCCGCAGGUUUACAUAGGAAGCUCCAAUUGUGUGAACUUGAGGAAAUCCGAAAUGAAGCAUAUGAGAAUGCCCGGAUUUACAAGGAGAAAACGAAGGCAUUCCAUGACAAGAUGAUUCGUGCCAAGACGUUCUCUAUUGGGCAGAAAGUGUUGUUGUUCAAUUCUCGCCUUCGGUUGUUUCCGGGUAAGUUGCGUUCCAAAUGGGUUGGUCCUUUUAUUGUAACUAAUGUUUUCCCUCAUGGUGCAGUGCAAAUCAAGAGUGCAAGGACGCAACAAGAAUUCAAAGUGAAUGGGCAUCGAUUGAAGCCCUAUUACGAGAUGUUUGAGGAGCAUGUCGUGGAGGAGGUACCCCUCCAUGCCGUGGCACAUAGUCAAGCUUAAACGGAGGUACCGUCCGGCUGGAAGACGUUAAAGCAAGCGCUUCGUGGGAGGCAACCCAUGCAUUUGACAAAGGAAGACCUAGAGAGCACUCCAAUUCCAGAUUUGCGUUUCUAAACCCUUCUCUUUGUUGUUUCUUUCGUUUCUGCCAUGUUUAGUUUGUUAGUAUUGGUUUGUUUGUUUAUGUGUUUUUGUGUGAGUCUAUGCUUGAAACAUUGAGGACAAUGUUUGGUUUAAGUGUGGGGGGGGUAACCAAAGUGUUUUGAUGCAAAUUCGUAGGGUUUUCUCACUCAUAAUUUCCAAUGUUGUUUCUUGCUGUUUUUAGGUGUUUUUAGGCUGUUUUGGUGUGUUUUAAUGUGUUUUGAUUCAAAAAUCCGAAAAUCCCAUAAAAAUUUGAAAAUUUGUUUUAAAAAAAACCCAAAAAGAGUCGUUUUUAAGUUAUUUUUGUGUGUUUGUUUGUGUCUUAGGGUACCUUCCAACACAAUGAUGAGGAUUUGGUUUUUAAUUGCAUGACUAUUGAAGAGAGUUAUAAACAUGGAUGGAAGUUUGAUUUACUCUUGGUUUAUGCUUAGUUGUAGUUAUAACUUAUGAAUUCACAUGUAAUCAAAAAGAAAAAAAUCAGUUUUUGUGACAUGCUUGAAGGAAGAAACUCAAACUAAAGCUACAACCCUGAGAGACUUGAGCCUAAACUUUAUUUGGAGAGUUGAAAUCUGUGCAUUCUUGUUUUCUAAAGUCGUUGCAUGAUCUCAUUAUUCUUUGCUUGGUUACUACUUAGAAGGUGUUUCAUCAUUUAGUUCCAAAUGCUAGAACUCAUGCCAAUUUCAUUCAAAACAUUUCAUUGAAUUGCAUAACACAUAUUCGAGAAGAAGUUGUUUAGUAGUUGCCACCAUAUCCAAAAAGCCUUCAUUCCAUACAUUGUUUUUGUAGGUUUAACCCCGUUGAGCCUUAUUUAGCCUAUAUUGUUUGUUAACCCACAUUAUCCUUACCUAGCCUAGAUUAGGACCAUCCAUACCCUUGUUCUUGAAGCAUAGUAAGCAUGACUUAAAAUGAAUUCCUUUUGAUUGAGGGUGUGCAGAGAACAAGUGUGGGGGAGUGAUUUUUGAUAGGUGGAUGUGCCAAAGUCUCUUUUGAGGCACGAGAAAAAAAAAAUAAGAAAAAAAAAGAAAAAAAAAAGAAAGAAAAUUCGUAGAAAAAAAAAAGAGAAAAAAAAAGAAAAAUGUUGAGAAAAGUGUGAAAAAGAGUUGAAAGAGCAUGGAAAUGAGCUCUAAGGUGUUGGUUGUUGAAGAGGGGGUCCAAAACAUUGAAUUUGACCCCAAGUGUUGCAUGAAUUUCCCCUUUGAGUUAAAAGUUGAUUUUUGCAUUCAAAAGUGAAUUCUAAGUGUCAAUUUCAUUGCUUUGCUUACUAUUGUUUAAGAACGUUUGUUUAUCCUUCACCUUUCUUUGUUAACCAAUACCCCAAGCCCCGUUACAACCCUUAACUUCUAUCUUGAGUGUUGUGUAUUUCAAUUUAUGGAGUUUGGGAUUGGUAUGAGCAUAUGGUGUCACUGGUUCUCGCAUCUAAGUAGUAGCAUUCCUUUCAUGAGAUCAUAUACAUGCUUAUUAAAUUCAGAAAAAGCUUUCCUUGUUAUAACAUAUGUGAGCAUUCGUUUUCAUAUUUACAUCAAUCUUCUCACAUAUAACUAGUAUAGGGUGUGUAGUCAGAAAAUCUAUGUGAAAAUUGAGUGCAUAUCUAGUAAGGAAUUGAGCAAAUUCUCUAAGGCAUGUUACUACAUUCAAAAUCAUGUUUUAAUUGGUUAAAUGUGAACUAGUACGUGGUGGCUUUAAUUAAGUAUAUGCUUGUGUAAAGAUGACUAAAAUCUGUGGGGAUAACAAUCUUUAACAUGUCAUGUGCAUUGGAAAUCCCUGAGGCAAACGUUGGAAGGUUUAGGUUGUGUUUUGGUUAGUUUGUUUCGUUUUGUUUUCCUUCUUUUGUUUGUUUUGCUCGAGGACUAGCAAAAGCUAAGUGUGGGGGAAUUUGAUAGGAGCAUAUUUAUGCGCCUUAGUUAGCUAGUUCUUAUGCAUUUUUGUUAUGUUUUCUUCGUCAAAGUAGUCUUUUAAGCUACUUUCAUGUGUUUUCAGGGUUAAAGGACAUAUUACACGAAAUGAUGCAAUUUGGAGCUUUUGGAGCAAAAAGUGAGCUGGAAUGUGGUGUAUGCAAAUGGAGCACGAGGAAUGGAUGAGUUUGAAGGUCAAAGAAGCUUAAGAAUGAAGAAAUGAAAGUGAUGAACUAAGAAUUCGGAAUUGGAAACCAAAGUUUCUAAAGUUGGAAGUUUCUAUUCUUGGAGGUUUCCAAUUUCGAGAGUUUCUAUUCUCGGCUUUGGGCUUUUGGAUGACCCAUCUUUGCCUCUUGGACCUAUGCUGCACCUAACCCUAACCCUAGCCCACUUAAUCAGCCGCACCUAGGCCUUGUUCACAUGAAAAAAAUCUGAUUACUUACCCUAAGCCCAUGCCGCACCUAAUGUUCUAGAAACCCUAGUUUUUGGUGGAUUUCCUAACCCUAGCCGCACCUAAACCCUAGCCCAUUUGUCUAACCUGAUUUCUUUAGGGUUUGGCUGCCUAUAUAUAUGUGUUUUACCUCCCUUGGCCGAACACCACCCUCUCCAUAUUCAGAAAUUCGUCCAAAACCCUAUUUCCCAUCUUGCCGCACCUUUCCUUCAUUCCAGCCGAUUUCUACCACCAUUCUUCAUCUCCACACCUUCCACACAACACCCAUACACCAUCCCCAAGCCUUGCCGUGCCUUCCCACCACCAUCACCACCUUGUGCAGCCACCAUUGGAGGAGGAAGAAGUAGUGCCGUGCAUUCCAAAGGAGGAAGACACCUUGCACAUGCAAUCUGCCAUUAGUGGAGUGUUUGGAGUUCUUUCUUUCUUUGUUUCUGUUUUCAUGUUUAAUUUAAAUUGUUGUUCAAUUAUGUUAGACAUGUGGAACUAAUUUCUUUUUAGUUAGAGGUGAAUUUGAAGCCAUGGACAUAUGUUUUAUAUGAUUUGAUUUCUUCCAAUUA